UUCAUUCAGCUAUUACUAUUUCAUGUUUUAUUUACAAGGUUCUCAUUUUGAAACUUUUAUGACGGAGGGCAUCAGAGCUUCAUGCUUGUCUCUAUGAGUUAUAUGGUUCAUUUAUGUCUUAAUUCCUGCGAAAGAAUUUAAAAACAAUGUAGAGGAGGUAGUAGCUGUUACAAGACAUCAUGUCGUAGUACCUUAUAUCGAUAGUUGAUCCUUCACUACAACUUUUUUUAAAAAUCCAUAUGUUGGGGGUUUUCAGAAUUUGGUACACUUAAGAUGUAGAUACUGAUAAGAAGGCUCUCAAGUCAUUUGGCGAGAGAGCUGGAAAUAUAUAAAGAGGCUAGAGGCAAAAUGGAUUGAGAAAACUUACAAAGUCAAUGUGCAAACAUGGUGCAGAUUGUUGUAUCUGCUGCAUUUCUGAUGAUCUAUGAUGGGAAGGGGUGGGCAACAACGCAUUAUUUGGUUCUCUUGAAUGUUCUAUAACUUCAUUUUCUUGAUCAUAUAACAGAUUUUGAAGUCACUGAUCCAUCAACGGAAUCGGCAAUAGAAUGUUCCCCUUCAGAACCAGCAUGUGCUGAGUCGGAAUCAAAUUCUCAUGCUUCCAGUGAGGUGACUGAUUCAACAAUUGAUGAAAGUGAAAUUCAAUCCCCUACAAGCCGCACCAGAGGUUCCUUACGUCACCCUAUGUCCUUAGCAACUUGUUUCUCUAAGGGGGUCAACAGGCACUAACACUUUUACAUUUGCAGGUGCCACUAGGUCCAAAGCUAAGAACAGCAGUAAAAGCUUUCAAAACCUUGGCACUUCCAAUUCCAUUCAAAGUCCACAUGCAAUAUAUCAUGCAGGUGAAUGCUUGGAAUUUUCUUUUCUAAUCUAAGUUUAUUAGAAACUCUUGUCUCGACUUCUUAGCUUUUGUCAAGCUGCUGCUGCUGCUCAUGCUGGUGCUUCUGUCAUUCAGAUUUUUGUUGGUCGCCUGAGGGUAAACUCUUUUGUCUUAGAAGAAAUUUUGUUGUUUGGAUUUCUUUAAUUCUUUAGGCAUAACAUUUAUCACUAUUUUCAGGAUUGGUUUCGCAAUCACACUGGUGACUCUGAAGUUGAAAGUGCUCUUAGACGAGGAGAAGACCCCGGGUUAGCUCUAUUUUGUUUUCCACUUUGUUUCUGGAGUUGAAAGUGCUAGAUCUUACAUUUGAAGAUUUGUUGAGACCAUGUGUAUUCUCUUCCUGUUGCACAAAGGUUAUAUUUUUAUUUGCGAGACCAACCUGCUAAUCUAUACGGCCACCGUUUAAAGCCUAAUCUAUACGUAAAACUUAACGUCCACCAUUAAGUAAACAACCUUAUAUUAGUAAAUAACCUUAUAACCUUAAUGGCCACCGUUUAACCUUGUAAAUUAUAUUAUUAAACAACCUUAUAACCUUAACGACCACCGUUUAACCUCAUAACCUUAACGACCACUGUUUAACCUUAUAACCUUAUAUUAGUAAACAUCCUUAUAACCUUAUAACCUUAACGGUCACCGUUUAACCUAAUAACCUUAUAACCUUAACGGCCACCGUUUAACCUUAUAACCUUAUAACCUUAAAGGCCAGAGUUUAACCUUAUAACCACCGUUAAGUAAACAAACUUAUAUUAGUAAACAACCUUAUAACCUUAACGACCACCGUUUAACCGUAUAACUUUAUAUUAGUAAACAACCGUAUUGUCGCGCCCCGAACCAAGGUCCUAGACGUGGCACGCACCUGAUACUAUUGCUAGUACGAGCGAACAUUUUGGCGUAUCACAUGAGCAUACAGAUAACAUAAUGAAUAAAGAGGAAACAGAAUAGAAUAAGAUUUAUUAAAGGAUAAGUCUUUCAUCAAUGUCCAUUAAUAUCACUUAACGUCUGAAGAUACAAUAGUCAUGACAAAUAAUGCUAAAAAUUACAAGAUCUAUCUGGCAACUAAAUCAUAAUAAGUACCAAUACUAAAAGAAUAGAAAACAUAAUGAAGUCAUCAUAUCUCGUCCAACCUGCUGAUAGGAAAGAGGCUCACCAAUAGCAGAAGAUAGAGAUUCUAAUGAGGCGCCUGACCACAGACAUGAGAGCCAGAACCUACAUCAUGAAACGAUGUAGCGCCAAAGGCAUUCAAUACGUGGAAUGUAUUGGUAUGCAAAACCAUUUCAGGAGGGUAGUACAUAAAGAUAUUAGAAAUGACAAUAAAAUUCAAACGUAAAAGAGUACAACUGGAAAGGAACAAGAAUAUCAACUAAAUUUAUAAUUGACCAAUAAGGUAGAUUUAAUUGCUUUGGUUAUUUGUGGGAGAAAGUAGUGAACCGUCAUAAACCACCAUGUAAGAUCAUGGAAUCUUAUCUCGGUCCGAUCAGCUAAGACUUCCUAUACCUUGCCGGGCAUAGGACGUGACAUGACAUAAUUUGCUAGCAAGUAUCCAUGGUUAUCCCCUUUUCGGGACACAUAAAAAAAAGUUAUCCGCUUGCGAAAUGAUCUCUAUCCUAUGUUGGCAAACAUAGUUUCAGGCAUUUGUCAUUUAGACCUAUGCCUUCGCGGUCAACUAACCAACUCCCUUAUGUCCAUAAUAUUAUCUUACUGAUUCAUGUUCAUAGAUUAGCCAUAUUAGGCCCAUAUUCAUGGUUUAGCCACUUUAGGGCUCAUGCCUGAGAAUUAACCAACUUGGGUUCAUAUUUGAGAUUAAGCCACCAUAGACUCAUAAUCAAGUAUUAUCAUCGCUAGGACUGAUGGGAGGUAGAAUCAUAAUUCAUUAAGUCAAAUUAAUUGAUCAGUGAAGGAUUUUCGUAACUUUAUCAGGAGUUAGCCUUUGAAAUGUACAUGUUGAUUUUAGCAUAGCUUAUGAGUUUGGAGAUCAUAUCUUAAGGUAAUAAAGACAUUCAUGAAUUAAUUCGUAGAACUAGAAGUCAUACGGAUCGUGUCAUUUUGUGUUGUGGUUCAUAAGAGAGGUAUUUUAUGAUAUUAUGGAGAUCAUGGAAAAUUCAAAUCAUUAUAGCAUUGUUAUUUUGGCUGGUUUGUGACCAACGUGCUAGCUUUACUAGGAUCAUGUUAAUAUUUUAGCCUUUUUAUGGGAUCACAUUGGAAUUUAACAACUUUGGUUUCAUACAUCAUGAACUAACACUCAGUAUUGUUUGGCGAGUCAUUGAAAGCAACGUCUUGAAAUAUCAUUAUUACAAUAUUCCAAGUCAUAACUUCCAUAACACUUAAUGGAACUAAAGAGGAAAUUGAGGGAAUCUGGUUGAGCUUCAUGGAUCACGGUUCAUAUGAAAACAAUAGGAGUUUCCAGUAUGAUGUCUUCUAAGAAACAGAAUUAAAAAUUCACAGUAUUUAGUUAAAAGAAAAGCAACAGGCUAGCCAAAUGGGGAACAUAUGUUAAUUUGGAGUGUGUUGCUUAUGUUACAACCAUCCAGAAUCGAGAUACCAUCUAUUUAUGAUUGUAAUUUUGCAAGAAUAGUGAAUGACAGUUUACUUCUAUCGAAACUUAAACAAAAUAUCUACAACUACUACCUGGAAACAAACAUUUGAAAUGGACAGUCCAAAAUACCAAAGGCAGAAGACAACAAGCCCAAAUAUUUAGAACAGUUUAUGAAGAGUAUGUGAAUGCCAUAUGGAUCAAAAGAAAUCAUAUGUUCUUCAAAAGGAUAGCUAGAGACUGGGAAGUUUUAAUUUGCCAAAGAAAAUGCCUAUAUGUGCUGUGUGAGAUCAAAUUAUAGGGUGCAAAACUAGUUACAGUGUGCUAUGCUAGGCUAGAAUAUGAGGAUUGAUUCAAAGGCUAGUAGUAUGGUUUAGCUUUGCUUAAUUCUGUUUUGAGAUAGCCAGGAGUGUUAAUUGGCUAUGGAUUUAUAACUUUUGCAACAACUUGUAGAAUAAAUAUAAUUCACAUAAUAUCGAGUAUCCAUAGAAAAGAUUAAUGGACCAAGAUGUUUUUUUUUUUUUAAAAACUUUCCAGGUAACUUGAGACAGGGGACUCGAUUAAUGGACUAAGAUUUUUAAAACUCCUUCCACCAUCAUUAUUUUGAAAGUAAUCAUAAUUUGAGGAGAAAUUAAACCAAGAUAAAACAUAAAAGAAAUAAUCUUACAUACCUCAAAACGUUAGAGAAGUUAGUUACCGGAAGGGACGAAACCAAGAUUGAUUCUUGAGCCAAUUCUCUUGGAUUUCCUUUUUUUUUUUGAUUGAAUUUGAGAGGAAAGCUGGAUUUCUGGAUGAUGAAAUAGUUUGUAUAACUGUUGGAGAAAUUGCAAUUUUUUUAUUGUGUGUAACUGAGGAAGGCAGAGAGAUUGUAAUUAAUGGAGUUUUUAAUGUGAGUAAGUGAGGCAAAGAGAGAUUGUAACUGAUGGAAAAACAAAGAACUUCUAUCUACUGAAAUAAGGUAUGCCAGAGGAAAAGCAAGCGUUUGAAUAUUGAUGAAUAAAAAGGAAUUUAAUCACUUGGGGUAAAGGUAAAAAGGAAAACACGAAUUUUCCCUCGAAGGUACUUCACAUGUUACUGAGUAUGAGAUGUUACAAUAUCUCCCCCUUGGAAUCAUUCGUCCUUGAAUGAAGGUUAUAGACAUAUGAAAGAAAAAACUCUACGCACAAAAACUAGGGAAUGAGACUUAACGCAGACAUGACAUAAGUCUGAUUCUAAUUACACAUUCUUAGCAUAUUCAAGCCUAACUCAGAGGUACAAGAUGCCACACCUAAAACAAUCAUGCUAGUCUAAAUUUUAAAAUCCUAUAAUCUAUUUCUCCUUUAGGAACAUUCAUCUUUAUUGUUGACUUGAUCUUAGGUUUGUUCUAAAACUCAGGAAGCUCUCACUUUUAUCUAAAGUUAUCUCUAAGAAUACUACCUUUUUCUCAUUGCUAAAACUAUUAUCCUCGUGCUCUGAUUAAGAACUCACAAAUUUCAUCAUGCAUUUACCCAUAUAGGUAUCAACUUGAUAUCCAAGUCUACCACUAUAAGCACUACGUGGUAUCUUUAAUGUUAACACUAAAUAAAAAGAAAAAUCUUCCUCAUCUUCCCUAGAACCCCUUGACCCACAAUUUCAUGAACUCCUACUAGGAGGCAAACCAUAUGAACUCAUCUUACUCUUGUAGACACCUAAUUUCUUCCCUCCCCGAUAUCAUUUUUACCCAUUUUUUACUUUAUCUUACCGUGUACCCUCACCCAUGUGAUUAUACCCCACAAAAAUAUAAAAUAACAAAAAUUCAAUAAAUCCCUAACCUUAUCCUAACAAACUUUAUCCUAUACCCUACCCUACCUAUCCAACUCAUCCCUACCCUCACGUUUUUGAUUCCUUUUAACCAAUAUACACAAUACACACAAAAAGAUUUUUUUUUUGGGGGAUCUUUUUCUUUCUUCUCCAUUGAUAUAUAGACACAUAGGUACAGAGAUAGAGACACGAAUAGAAAGGGAGAGCACACACUCAUUCACCUUCUUCUUCACAGACACACUAACAAAAUAUAGCGAGGAGGAGACCACCUUCAUCACAAAAUCCACACACACCCCUCACCGAAAAACUCAACCACAUAACCACAACUCACGAAAUAAACACUGCCAUCGGAUACACACACGCUAUUCGGUCAAUAGAUAGUGAGAUUGAGAGAGAAAUAGUGACGAAGAACUGAGAUCGGGAGAGGUGGGGGGUCCGGAGAACACUGUUCCUGCAAUUGUUUGCUAGAAUCAGUCACUAUUUUACCGGAUGCAAGCAUCGUUAAUCCGUUGCUCACUCCUCUCGAUGUCAAAAAAUACAAAUCAACCAUCAAGCUAGCCAAAAUCGGCUUGCUUAGCUUGAUUCCAGCGAUAUUGGGGUAGCUCCGGCGAUGGGUCCAUCGGAAAAAUGACGUCAUUGACUCCUCUCUUCUAAGUUUGACUUGAAAUUGGUUCAUCAUCGCUAUUUCAUUUGAAUUUGCAUCCUGUUUUGGCUUGUUGGGUAUUCUUCGUAUGUCUUCGUACUGAUUUUGGGAAACUUGAUUACUAGUUUGGAAUUUGGAUCCGUUCGUGUCUAUCUGUUCGUCGCCAUUAAGUUUCGGGCUUUGAUUUUUCAAUUACCAAGUUAGAUUAGUUGUAGAUGAGGUUAUUCCAUCCUAAAUUCUAAGUUAGGGCAUCUUUAAUAUUAUUACCAACCGAAAUUGAUUAUCGGAAGGUCCAUUUCUUUAGCUCAUUCUCUUUUCUUUAUUGUAACUUGUUGAAUGGCCAUGAUUGUGUGUCGGGUGAUUAUGAUUGUUUGAUGUUGUUGAUGCUAUGAAUGAUGCUUGUUGAUUCGAUUUUGGUGGUUUGAGGAAUGAAUUUGAUCAUUUUUUAAUGGCGAUUGAUAAAAAAGGAAGAUGGGCGGUGGAAUUGAAAAUUAACGAAAAGGUUAGAUUCGGAUCAAGUUUGAUUGAUUGUUGAUAUAAAAUGUGAUAUUAUUAUGAGACGUUGAAAUGGAUAGGCCAAUGUAGGUCGGGUAGGAAAAUUAAGGACUAAGCUUUGUUUGAUUGAAUGUUGGAAAUUUUGUGGAAUGUUUGAAAUUUUGUUGAAUAGUUUGAUUUUCUCGCACAAAAAAUAUAUUUAUUUGACCGGGGAAUGCCUCAAGGGAUUUGUAUUGAUUUGAAUGUUUCGACGUAUCAUGUACGCAAAGAAGGUUCGUGAUCAACACCCGGGGCAUCAGGUAAAGAAUCAGAGCAUAGUUUAGGAUUAGUUUAGAAUAGGAUUUAUAUCUUCGCAUUUUUUAUUUUGGAUUGUAUAAUUGUACUGGAAACUAAAUUUUGAAUUAUUUUGUUCUGUUUGCUUGCUUGAUUGUUUUUGCAUGAUUUGUGUAGUUUAUGCACUUGUAAUGUCAAAGUUAGCUGAUAUGCUCUACCAAGCGACCAUGGUCAAACCACGGGAAUGAGGGGUGCCUAACACCUUUCCCUCGAUCAAUAGAAUUCUUUACCCGGAAUCUCUGUUCGCAGAUCAGUUUUAAAGAGUCAAAUCUGUUUUAAAAAAGGAUAUCCAAGGGUGACUUGGCACACCCAAUUUAUGCCAAGUGGCCACUCUGAGUUUUGAAUAUAAAAAGUCCUUUUCAAAACAAAUCUUUAUUUUGUCACUUCAAUAAUAAAAACCCUUUCAAACUUAAAACGAAUCUUUUUUGGUUGUAGAAAAAAGGGGUGUGACAGCUCUGACAACUUUGCUGGGGUAUUUUUAGAAUUCGAGCUUAUUUUGGAGUUGUAUCGGCUUAGUUUGACACUAUAGGAGUAUGGACAUUUUGUUUGUGUUGUUUUGUGUUAUUGUUUAUCAUUAUUGAGUGCCUAUGUGCUGUUUGUUUACCAUUUUUACUUUAUGUGUUACCGCUUUAUAUCUGGCAUUAUGUGCAUAACCCGAGUCUUUUUUUCUGCAACUAGUCCGUAGUACAUGUGUGUACAUGGCCUAUAAUUGAGUCACCCUUAUUUUAGGAGGGGGAGCCAUUUGGUUGUAAGGAGUAGGUGGACAGCUAAAGCAAUCCACUAUCGACCAUACGCUCCCCCGAACAACCUUGUUAGUAAACCACAACAUAAGUCAGCCUUCAGGUCAUACUUAUCUGCAUCAUUUUGAGACCUAGCGGGACCUACUUGGUCCUUCGUAGGUGACUCACUUUUAAAGCAUCCCUACGUGCUAAAUGUUGCAUCUUUGAGGGUAACGUGGUCAUUUGAUGGACUGAUUUGGGGAAAGCACGUGUUAGAAGUAAAGUGCGUAGGCAAGAAAUGUUGAAAAAAAAUAGAAAAAAGAUGAGUAGAAAAGAAUAAAAGAGAGAGUUUCGUAAAUUUUUAGAGUUCUUUAUGGCUUUUGAUUUUUUUUCACAAUCCAAAAAUUCAAAAAGAUUUUUUACCUUUUGCACUCAUUUUCUCAAAAAAACAUCAAAAAGAGUUUCCUUUUGUUUUUUUUACCAUGCAUUCAUAAUUCAAAAUUUUCAAAAGAUUUUUUUUAUAGGAGCUUUUUAUAAAAGGAAAAAAAAAGAUGACAGAAGUUUUGUACAUUCCAUAUAGCGAUAAUACCAAAAAGAUUUUUUCUCUUUCAUAGUUAUGGGUGUCAGUUUUGUGUGAAAUGUCUAAUUGAAAACUCAAAAGAUUUUAUUUUCAUCAUCCGUCUGUAACCGCGUCUCUCAAGUCAAGUCUUAGUUCGUUUUAAUCCUUAUUUGUCCAACCUGAACGAUCUAAGCACCCCUGAUUCUCCUCUUUCGGGAUGUGAGAUACGUAGGCAACCUAUUUUGAUUCGGGGAUCUUAUUUCAAAAAAUUAAAAAAAAAAUAUUUUUUUCACGCUUCAUUUAGAGUAGGUGUCUAUACAUCAAUAAAAUAAAACUACCAAAAGAUUUUCCUUUAAUAGGUUCAAUUUUCAUUUUCAUAUGUAAUUCGAAAUUGAAAACCCAAGAAGAUUUUCUUUGGUAAUCAUAGGUUUUAUUUUGUAUAGGAAUCUAAAAAAAAAUAAAUCCUAAAAAGAUUUUCUUCACUCUUCAUUUAGAGUAGAUGUGUCAUAUACAUCUUCGAAAAAAACCACAAAAAAGAUUUUCCUUUAAUAGUUUCGAGUUUCAUUUUCUUGGAUUCGGUGAUCUUUUCAAAAAAAAAAGACAAAAAAAAGAGAGGUUUUGAAAAAUGUUGAACUCUAAAAUAUUUGUUUCCUCUUGUUUAGUUAGUUUAAGGUGGUUGGUUUGUGGCUUCCUAGCUGGUACUCCAUAUCACAUCAAAUCCAAGGAAGGUUUAGUUGUGUCCAACAAGGAUAUAGAGAGUGGCACCAUGGAUGAAACAAAGAGUCAGGAAAUCGAGAGUUUAAAGGAAGAGAAUUUGAGACUGAGACAACAAAUGAUGGAAAUGUACUGAUCUUGGGCCAGUGGACUGCCUCCACCUCCGUUCCCCACUUUUGACCUUGCAAAUACCUUGAGUCUUCCACCAAAAUCACAAAGUCAGUUUCCUACUAUUGUUGAUGCACCACAGCAUGCCUCAGAAUCCAUUCUACAUCAAAUGCACCUCAAUACUUCCACCACUCUUUCUUUAGCUCCUCAGUAUAAGUCUACCACAUUCACACACCACAUACCGUCUGUGUUUUUCUUGUUCAACCUUCUACUAAGACUUCCACUUUGGCUAUCAAUCCUACGAUUGUGCUUCCCCAGGCCACUAAUGAAUCCACGUUCAAUACUCUUGAUGAUCAUUAUUAUACUCUUGAGCCUACCGUUAAAUUAAGGGGACCGCAAAAAUUUCUUACUAAGAAGCCUAGUAUGCUAGAAGAGCUAGAGAAAGUGGUUGGGAAAGUUAAGAGUGUAGAAAAUGAUAUGAAAAAUUCCCCUGGACUUAUGGGCUAUGAAGAUGUUUCACAUAAAAACUGGGGCAUGUCUACAAGUUUUAACCUUCCUCCCAGCUUUGAGACAUCAAAAUUUAGGGAGCCUGAUGGAUGGAAGGACUCUGUGAAACAUUUGUGUAACACCCCGCAUUUCGGACGAGAACGAAAAUCAUCAUUUCCUUCACGUAAAGAUUCCAAAAGCCAUAAAUCCAAUGCAAGUUUGGUGUGUUAAUAAAUUAUGUAGUGUGGAAACCUAUUUGACCAUGAAUUGAGAUCAUAGAGGUCCCCAACCUCAAGGACAAGUUGAAAGUUUUCCUAUCAUUCGAAUUUUAGUGAGCGUUGAAACUUAGGUCAACUUUAAUCAACCAUUAUUCUUUUUAUAUAUUUAAUUAGAGUUCUUACUAUAUAUCAAAUGAAAGAUAUUCGAAUUAUCUUUCCAAAGAUACCAAUUUCGCAAAAAUCCGACACCCGAGGAAGAAGUUAUGACUUUGCAAAGUGGAGUCUAUCAUGCAGCAUAAGGUGUGCGACGCACACCCUAACUUAUCCCAUAAGGUGUGCGACACACAACAUAAUGUGUAUGAUAAAGAUUGCACCGCACAACCUAUAUUAUGUGAUAAGGUGUGCGCCGCAUAUAUUAUUACUCAAGUGACUUAAACACUCCAUUUUUGGAGCAAAAUGGUCCUAUUCCUACCCUUAUUUAGCCAUAAAGACGAAAUUCAGUUCCCAAAUACCCCAAAUACACCUUCAUUCAUAAAAAUUUCUCAAAGAACUCUCCUUAGGUUUUUAAAAUAAAAUUGAAGCAACUCAAGGUUCAACCGUGAGAUUUUGAAACUAAUUGCAUAUUUGGAAUCCCCAGAACGUAGGCUUCAAGAAGCACCUAUCAUCUUCACAUAUAGAGGUACGUGGGGUUAUCUCAAAAAUCUCAUGGGCUUAAAAAUUCAUGUUUUAAAAAUGGGGGUUUUGAAAUUAUGAAUAUAAUCCCAUUUUAAACAUUUUAUGAUAUUGAUUUGGUCUUUAGGCCUAUUCCCGAAGUGGUUUGAUAUAUGAUAUAUGUAUAUGCAUGUAUUCUGAAAAGAUGUUAACUUGAGAUCAUGAAUUAUAUGAAAUCCCUCUCUUUAUAUGAUCUUGUUUUAAAUUCUCAUAUGAUGUGAAAUAUUUGAAAUCAUCUUGACAAGCGUGACAUGAAAUAUUUUGAAAGUGGUCAUGGUUUUGACUUGCAAUGAGAGGGUUGUUAUGUUGAAAUAUGAUGAAUAUAAUGGUUGCAUGAAAGAAUGAUNNNNNNNNNNNNNNNNNNNNNNNNNNNNNNNNNNNNNNNNNNNNNNNNNNNNNNNNNNNNNNNNNNNNNNNNNNNNNNNNNNNNNNNNNNNNNNNNNNNNNNNNNNNNNNNNNNNNNNNNNNNNNNNNNNNNNNNNNNNNNNNNNNNNNNNNNNNNNNNNNNNNNNNNNNNNNNNNNNNNNNNNNNNNNNNNNNNNNNNNNNNNNNNNNNNNNNNNNNNNNNNNNNNNNNNNNNNNNNNNNNNNNNNNNNNNNNNNNNNNNNNNNNNNNNNNNNNNNNNNNNNNNNNNNNNNNNNNNNNNNNNNNNNNNNNNNNNNNNNNNNNNNNNNNNNNNNNNNNNNNNNNNNNNNNNNNNNNNNNNNNNNNNNNNNNNNNNNNNNNNNNNGUUUAGGGGUCCAGAUAACCAGUAGAUCUCCUCCGAUAGAUUUACAGAAUCAAGUGGUGAGCCUUCUAGAUUUCAGAAGGCCUGAUGUCUGUCUGUUCAUUUAUCAUUUAGUAGUUUUGGAUCUACUGGGGGCCUAUCAUAGUUUUUAGACAGUAAUUUGUUUCAGUCAUGUAUUAGAGAUUUCACAGACGGUUGUUCAGAUGUUGAUUGAUAUUGUGGAACAUUAUUUCCCCUUUGUUGAUUUCAUUUGAUUUAUGACCAUGUUUUUCAUAAUAUUGUGUAUCUUCUGCAUAUCUUAUUAUCAUAUGAAUUAUAUGCAUGAUUACCAGAUAGAUAGAGGUGUUUUGAGCCUUCAUGUUUUGGAAUGCUCGUCAUGGCCAGGGCCUCGGUUCGUGUCGUGACAAACUUGUUAUCAAAGCACUGUUCAUUGUCCUAGGGUGUCUACGAAAUCGCGUCGGGUAGAGUAUUGUUUAUGGGUGUGUAGCGCGCCACACUUAUAAGCAGGAGGCUACUAGGAAUUUAGGAAUAUCUCUCUUUCUUCAUGUUCUAGUUCAUGCAAUAGAGUCAGAAUGUUCCUCUUUCAUACUCUAAUUCAUGCUAUGGUGUCGCCCAUACAAAAGUAAAAAAAGAGUUAUCCUAAAUUCUUUCCUUAUUCUAAUGUCCUCAUAUAUAUCUCAUUAUUGAGGUGAUUCCAGAGCAGAAGUUUAGAAUCUAAAUUGUAUGGUCCUUUCUGAUUGAACCAUAUAAAAGUUAAAAUUUGUGCAAGGACUUGAGAAGAGUCCGUUAGUGCUUCAAUGUGUAUUGAUUUCGAUGUAAACAUUGAUCGUGAUGGAAUCGUGCUUUUUAGCUUGAGGUAUUAAUUGCAUUUAGUCCCCUUUAAAUUUAUGUUACAAAUGUCUUGCUAAAGAGGGGAUGAUGUGUAGUAGAAUGUUGGAAUUGUAUUUCCACCCGAAUAGCAGUAUGCGUUAAAGUGUUGUUAUCAUGACCUAUUGGUAGUGAAAUUAGACCAAGAAGUUGGUGAUGUGAAGUCACAAAGUUAGAAGUCAGAGCGAGGUUGACUUUUGUGUAAAUGAAUAUUUUAGUUGAAUAACACAUGUUUAAGAAUGAUUUACCCCCUUAUGAUGAUAGACUAAUUGUAACACCCCGCAUUUUGGGCUAGAAUAAAAACCAUGAUUUCGAUGCGUUGAUAAUCCCAAAGCCAUAAAUCCUAUGCCAAUAUGGCAUGUUUAUUAUUUGCGUAGUAUGUGAAUCCUUUUAAGCUUGAAUUUAGACCAUAGAGGUCCUUCAACUCAAGGACGAGUUGAAGCUAUUUUGAUCGAUUAAGUUUUAGUGGAUGUUGUAAUUUGUGUCAGCUUCCAUCGAUGAUAACUCUCUAUAUAUGUUGAAUUGUAGAGCCUACUAUGUGUCAAAUGAGAGGUCCUCGACUUAGCUUUCCAACGAUACCAAUUUUGCUAAAAUCCGGCACCCGAGCAAGAAGUUAUGGCCCUUCAAAGUAGUAGGCGGUGCCUAUGUAAACAUAGGAGAUAGCAUAGGCGGCGCCUAUGUAAACAUAGGCGAUUGCAUAGGCUGCGCCUAUGUAAAAGUUUUAGGUGACUUAAACACUCCGUUUUUGGGGCAAAAUGGUCCUUUUCCCACCCUUAUUUAGCCAUAAACACGAAAUUCAGUCCCAAAGACCCCAAAAUACACCUUCACUCAUCAAAAUUGUUCAAGAACUCUCUCUAGGGUUUCAAAAUAAAAACUCAAGUAGUUCAAGAUUCAACCAUGGGUUUUUAAAACAAAGUGAAGAUUUAGAAUCUCCGCAACGUAGGCUUCAAGAAGCACUUAUCAUAUUCACAUAUAAAGGUACGUGGGGUUAUCUCAAAAAUCUCAUGGGCUUAAAAAUUCGUGUUUUAAAAAUAGGGGUUUUGAAAUUAUGAAUAUAAAUAUGUUUCAAGCAUCUUUAUGAUAUUGAUUUGGUCUUUAGGCCUAAUUCCAAAGUGAUUUGAUAUAUGAUAUAUGUAUAUGCAUGUAUUCCAAAAAGAAGUUAACUUGAGAGCAUGACUGCUAUGGAAUCCCUCUCUUGAUGUGAAUUUGUUUUAAAUGUUCAUAUGAUGUAAAUUGUUUGAAAACAUCUUGAAAAGCAUGACAUGAAAUGUUUUGAGAAUUGAUAUGAUUUUGACUUGAAAACGAGAGGGCUAUUUGUGUUGAAACAUGUUGAAUACAAUGGUUGAAUGAGAAGAAUGAUGUGAUAUUGAUGGCUUGCAAGUCGGGUAUGACGAUACCUUACAAAAUAUGAUAUGUGAUUGAAUUAGAUAAAAUUUGAAUGUAUUAAUUUUACAUGAGAUAGGUGGAUGCCCGAAGAAGGCGUUUGAGUGUACGGGCUUAUCGCUGGAAACCCUGUUUGCCAACAUUGGAACUUGGUACCAUGCUUUGUGAUUUUGCUUACCUGACUUUAUGUCAUUCCCAAAUUGGGACUAUGGUUAGGAGCCCUGCUUUGUGAUCUUGUGCACUACCAUUGGGUCGAGACACCCUGCUAUGUGAUCUUAUGUGUCUUCCCCUCACUUAUACUCUAAUCUCGGUGGUAACCAAGGUUUGAUAGUUGGUGUAAACGUGAUAUGUAGGGUAUUCCACCUAGCUCAGCUGCAUUGCAUUGUUGUUGAAAACAAUUACAUUGCGCCCAUGUGUUUUCAAGUGAUUUGAUAUGAAAUUUCUUUAUAAUGGCUCUCAACUAUAUUUUAUAAAAAUAUUAUGUUUUGUUUUGAUAUCUCUACGUACCAAUACCUUUGUAUUGACCCCCUUCCCUCCCAGGUUCGUAGGCACAGUCUAGGGGUCCAAAAAAUUAGUAGAUUUCCUCAGAAAGAUUCGUAGAGUCACUUGGUGAGCCUUCUAUAUUUUGGAAGGCCUGAUAUCUGGCAGUUUAAUUUAUCAUUUAUUAGUUUUGGGUCUACUGGCGGCCUUAUCCUAGUUUUCAGAUAGAUAUUUUUUUCAGUCAUGUAGUAGAGAUUUCGCAGACGAUAUAGAGAUGUUGUGUUGAGAUUGUGGGACAUUAUUCCCCAUUAUGGAUUUCGUAUAAUUCCUGCCCAUGUUUCCAUAAUAUUGUUUAUCUUCUGCAUUUUUUUUAUCAUAUGAAUUAUGUGCAUGACUACUAGACUGAUAGGGGUGUUUCGGUCCUUUAUGGUUUGGGAUAAUCAUCACGGCCAGGGCCUCGAUUUGGUUCGUGAAAAACUUUGUAUCAAAGAACGAUUCAUGGUCCCCGAGUGUGUAGUGCGCCACACUUAUAAGCAGGAGGCUACUAGGCAUUUAGGAAUGUCUCUCUUUCUUCAUGUUCUUGUUCCUGCAAUAGAGUCAGAAUAUUUCUCUUUCAUACUCAAAUUCGUGCUAUGGUGUCGCCCAUACAAAAAUAACAGUUACCCCAAUUCUUUCCUUACUUGGACAUUCUCAGACAUGUCUCAUCAUUAGGCCGAUUCAAAUACAGAAGUUUAGAGUCUAAAUGGUAUGGUUCGUUCUGAUGAAAUCAUAUAAGAGUUUUGCAAGGACUUGAGAAGAGUCCAUUAGUGCUUCAUAGUGUGUUGGUUCCAGUGUGAACCUUGAUUUUGAUAAAAUCGUGCUUUUCAGCCUGUAGUAUUAAGUGUAUUCAGUUCUUUUCAAAACUUAUGUUGACAGUGUUACGCUUUAGAGGUAAUAAGGUGUAGCAGAAUGUUGGAACUGUAUUUCCAUCCUAAUAGUAGUGUGUGUUAAAGUGUUGUUGUCAUGACCUAUUGGUAAUAAAAUUAGACCAAGAAGUUGGUGAUGUGAAGUCACAAAGUUAGAAGUCAGAGUGAUGAUGAUUUAUCCCUUUAUAGUGAUAAACUAAUUUGGUAGUUAGCAGUAUGUGUGGACAGUAUGGUAGUCCAUGGACAAAGUGUUUGACUCCGAUUUUAUUUCCACAGAAUAAGGUGUGUAUUCUUAGUUCAUUGAAUAUUGCAUAUUAAAUCUCUAUCUCAUGAAAUAUUGUCAACAAAGUAUUGUUGAAAAAUAAAGUCUAGUUAAGCCUUGUGGGGCUCUUUCGAUUCACUAGCAUAGUUGACUUGUCAUUCAUCCCAUUUUCUUGUUCAAAAUACAAAAUCAAAGUCUAGUGAAGCAGUGUGAGGCCUAUUUCAAUUCACUAGCAACUUGUUGUCCAACUUAUCAUUCUUGUGUAGGUUUAAUAUAUGUAUAGCUGAAUCUGGUUGCAUGAGAUUGAGCCAGUAAAGAGAUGAUUCGUCCUUGUGUGUUAUUAGUAGAAGGUAGAGAAGGAGUUGUUAGUCAGGGUGAUUUGUUGGUUUCUUGGAUGUGAAAAUAGCUAUAUUAAUGAGUAAGUUAUGAUUAUAGACUCAUAGUUGUUUGAGGAAUUUGAAGGCAGUCUAAAUGUAAGCUUAAGUAAGUAUGAGGUGAGAAAUCCGCAUAAGUAGAGAAGAUUGUAUGGGGUUAUAAUAUCAGAUUAAGGUUGAUCAUGUCUAUUUUAUGACUUUACCCCUUGACUUUCUUUUCAUUGGUAGUUGUAAACUAGUCCUACUUGUGAGAAGGUAUGUAGUAGAUUUUUGAGAUAUUUGGGUAGAAUGUCCAUAUUUGAUGAAUUAGUAUAUUUAUAUUAUGUUGCAUUCUUCAUUGGUGGUAAAUGAUUGAUACUAAAUUUUAAGCUUUUAAUUAAAUGGUGUGGUGGUAAAUAGUGGCAAGAGUUUGAUGAUGCAUGUUUUGUGGGAUUAAAUUAGUAGGCUUGAGGUGCUGAAAUAGUACAUGCUAAUGGAUUAUGAUAAGGAAAAAAAUUGUUAGGUCAUGAUUGAUUAUUGUGGUUAUGAAAUUCUAGUGCACUAGUGUUUCAUGAUGUUUAUUUAUAGUUUCCAAGUGAAAAUUUUGUGUAAGGUUGGGUUGUAAAUCAUGCAUAGCACUAGAUAUUAAGUUUGAAUAGCUGAUGUCCAUGAAGGUGGGUGUGAAGAUUUCUUGGUUAAUGAAUAAUAGUUGUAUAGAAAUGAUCUAAUAGGCUUGAAUGGUGCAUACAAUAGAUUAAGUUUAUUUGAUUCGUAGUGAUGAAUAAUAUUGUAUAUGUGAUGUAGAAGUAUGCCUAAGGUGACAUGACGUUGCGGCAUUCUUUCUAAGACUAUUACAUAAUUUGUGUGGCUAGUGGUACCAUUGAAUUGUUAAGUGGAGAAAGACUAGUAGAUGUUAUAUGGGUUCUAAAUAGUUAGGUUAAAGAGUUUUGAUUGAUAGUGUUGAGCCUUUUAUAUGAUCUUGAUUCUCAUAGUAAUGAGGCAUAAGUUGGGAGUCGCGAUAUUAGUACACUAUGUCGAAAGUGGUUUGGUUUAUCAAAGGCUUGGUGAUAUCCAUGUUAAGUGUUAGAAUCUAAGUUUGAGUUUUGAAGGUUGAACCGAUAGAAAUAAGUGUGAAAACUAAUGUAUCCCAGAAGGUAGUCAUUCGGGUUAAGUUCUAUGAUAUGAAUGCAUUGUCAUUUUUUUUUCAGACCCUAGAGUGCAGUAAGUGUAGUUCAGUUAGAAUCUGGUAAAGGAUCUCCCAAACUCUAGAUGAUGACAUGAAGCUGAGGGGGAGAUAAUAGAACAAAUGACCAAGUAAGACUCUUAGAUUCUAGUAGUGAUGCAGUAUGAUUUAGAGCAUCAGAAAGUGAGGGUGGAUCUCAACCCAUUCCUACCUCAGUAUUCUUUUUUAGUUAUCCGGAUGCUUUCUCAUGCCUUACGAUUUAGUUUCGUGAUCAUAGUUCAUGAUUCCGGUAUAUGAUAGAGAGUCACGUACUCUUCCAGUUCCAAGAUAAUGAGUUCUAGUUCAUUCAAGUAGUCGGAAUCACAUUCCUUAUGUUAUGAACUCUAGUUGAGGUCAUGCAACUCAUGACGCAUGUACUCACUCUUUAUAGUGUGCUCAGUCCCGUAUAACUAUCUUUUCACGCUUGAGGGUCUUAUGUUUUAACCUUUUAGUGACCCUCCCUAUGCAAUGACAGUGGUGACGAUGUAAAUGUUCUUGUUGAUGAAAGAUCAUAGUAUGCUUGCUUAGAUAAGGCCAUAAGCAUGAAGUAAGAGUUGGGGCCAAGUCUUUGAUACAAGUGAUGGUUAGUGGAAAUGUUUGUGUGUAUAUGUCUUAGGGUAGCGCGUGGGAGUUAUAUUGACAAUAAUUUAGAAACUAUGUGAAGUAUGUAUUUAUGGGUGGUUGACUUGAAGUCAACAUGUGGUUAUAAAAUAGGCUUAAAUGAUGUUUUGGGAUUGUAGUAGAAGGUCGCAGUAUGCAUGAGCGACUUCAUAUUAAGAGUUCAAGGUAGUCAUUGAAGUGGUAAGGCAUGUUAUACUUAGGAUGUGAUCUUUAAAAGAGAUAUAGAAGAUUGUAUCAUAUGGUUUAGAAUAAUAGCGUGGUCUGGCAUGUUGUAUUUUUUUGUGACUUAGAGUUAGGCUUGAUCAUAGCGAAGGGAUUAAGUUAUUUCUGACAUUAGUAGAAAGGUUUGUCAAUGCUCAUAUGAGAAUUUUAAGUUGAGUUGAAUGAAUAUGAUAUUUAUAGGGAAUAGUAUAGUUAAGGGAUAUUCGGGAAGUGCGCUAAGCCUGAAAUUAAGAAGUUGCAUUGCCAAAGGUCUGAAAAUUCUAUCCUAAUUUAGGAGUUAUAUGUCUAUAUUCCAAACUGCAGAGUAGUGUCAAUGUUGUGAUUUCCUCAGUUGGAUUCUUGUGUAAUCUAUACGCAAGAUUUAUGGAUCCCUAUUACCGCGAGAAUUUCUUUAGAGAAUUGUGCUGAAAAGAUACUCCAGUUAAGUAUGAGGGUGUAGUAAAAUUCAAUAUGUAUGGCCAAUAAGUCAGUUUAGCAGUCAGAUUCACAUGACUUGUUUUAUCGUCUUUGCACUUAUUCAUGCUACUCGAAAUCUCAGACAUGCUACUAUUCCAAGAUAGAGUAUACCAGUAGUUACGAGUAUAGCCCAGUUCAUGCAUCAUGCAUUAAACUCAAAUUCUAGAUUUUUAGUUAUGAUUCAAUUCGUAGAUGCCCUGUGCAUCGCCUUAGUUUUUCAAGUAUCUUAGUGAAUUGAGCAUUCGUAGAGGGACAUAAGGUCCCAAGGGGGAGAUACCCCAUUCAGCUGCAUGCAUAGAUUCUUAUUACAAGCUUCGCACCAGUUAUCAUUGCGUAUUCAGUCAUACGUCAUACGUCAGUUUAGUCAGAUAUGCAUGAAUUAAAAAUACAUGUUCAAUAGAAAAGUUUAGCUUAUCAGUGUAUUCAGUUCCGCGUUCAUGAGAACAACUCUAUAACAAAUCCAUACAUCAGAUAUGCAUGUCCGGUAUAAGAAUUUAGAACAUCAAUAGUUCCAGUCUUAUAGUCAUGUUUUAGAUCAGUGCAUUCUUUCUUAGAGAAACAUAUCAUGUUCGUGUUAUUCCAUACCUCUAAGCUUUAAUAUAUUCUUACCCAUCAUUCGAAGACGAAUGAUCCCAAGGGGGAGAUAAUGUAACACCCCGUAUUUCGGGCUAGAAUAAAAAUCAAGAUUUUGAUGCAUUGAUAAUCCCGAAGCCAUAAAUCCUAUGAAAAUAUGGCAUGUUAAUUAUUUGCAUAGUAUGUGAAUCCUUUCAAGCUUGAAUUUAGACCAUAGAGGUCCUUCAACUCAAGGACGAGUUGAAACUUUUUCUAUCGAUCAAGUUUUAGUAGAUGUUGUAAUUUGUGUCAGCUUCCAUCGAUCAUAACUCUCUGUAUAUGUCGAAUUAGAGAUCCUACUAUGUGUCAAAUGAUAGGUCUUCGACUUAGCUUUCCAAUGAUACCAAUUUUACUAAAAUUCGGCACCCGAGCAAGAAGUUAUUUUCAAAGUAGUAGGCGGCGCCUAUGUAAACAUAGGCGAUAGCAUAGGCUGCGCCUAUGUAAGCAUAGGUGAUAGCAUAGGCAGCGCCUAUGUAAAGGUUUUAGGUGACUUAAACACUCCAUUUUUUGGGCAAAAUGGUCCCUUUCCCACCCUUAUUAAGCCAUAAACACGAAUUCAGUUCCCAAAGACCCCAAAAUACACCUUCAUUCUCAAAAUUGUUCAAGAAAUCUCUCUAUGGUUUCAAAAUAAAAACCCAAGUAGUUCAAGAUUCAACCAUGGGUUUUUAAAACAAAUUGAAGAUUUAGAAUCUCCGCAACGUAGGGUUCAAGAAGCACUUAUCAUAUUCGCAUAUAGAGGUACGUGGGGUUAUGUCAAAAAUCUCAUGGGCUUAAAAAUUCAUGUUUUAAAAAUGGUGGUUUUGAAAUUAUGAAUAUAAACAUGUUUCAAGCAUCUUUAUGAUAUUGAUUUGGUCUUUAGGCCUAAUUCCAAAGUGAUUUGAUAUAUGAUAUAUGUAUAUGCAUGUAUUCCAAAAAGAAGUUAACUUGAGAGCAUGAAUGAUAUGGAAUCCCUCUCUUGAUGUGAAUUUGUUUUAAAUGUGAAUAUGAUGUAAAUUGUUUGAAAACAUCUUGAAAAUCAUGCCAUGAAAUAUUUUGAGAAUUGAUAUGAUUUUGACUUGAAAACGAGAGGGCUAUUUGUGUUGAAACAUGUUGAAUACAAUGAUUGAAUGAGAAGAAUGAUGUGAUAUUGAUGGCUUGCUAGUCGGGUAUGACGAUACCCUAUAGAAUAUGAUAUGUGAUUGAAUCAGAUGAAUUUUAAAUGCAUUUAUUUUACAUGAGAUAGGUGGAUGCCCGAAGAAGGCAUUUAAGUGUAAGGGCUCAUUGCUGGAAACCCUGUUUGCCAACAUGGGAACUUGGUACCAUGCUUUGUGAUCUUGCGUACCUGACUUUAUGUCAUUCCCAAAUUGGGACUAUGGUUAGGAGCCCUGCUUUGUGAUCUUGUGCACUACCAUUGGGUUGAGACACCCUGCUGUGUGAUCUUGUGUGUCUUCUUCUCACUUAUACUCUAAUCUCGGCGGCAAUCGAGGUUUGACAGUUGGUGUAAAUGUGAUAUGUAGGGUAUUCCACCUAGCUCAGCUGCAUUGCAUUGUUGUUAAAAACAAUUACAUUACGCCCAUGUGUUUUCAAGUGAUUUGAUAUGAAAUUGCUUUAUAAUGGUUCUCAACUAUAUUUUAUAUAAAUAUUAUAUUUUGUUUUGAUAUCUCUACGUACCAGUACUUUUGUAUUGACCCCCUUCCCUCCCAGGUUCGGAGGCACAGUCUAGGUGUCCAGAAAAUUAGUAUAUUUCCUCAGAAAGAUUCACAGAGUCACUUGGUAAGCCUUCUAUAUUUCGGAAUGCGAGAUUGUGGGACAGUAUUCCCCAUUAUGGCUCUCGUAUAAUUCCUGACCAUGUUUCCAUAAUAUUGUUUAUCUUCCAUAUUUUUUUUAUCAUAUGAAUUAUGUGCAUGACUACCAGACAGAUAGGGGUGUUUCGGGCCUUUAUGGUUUGGGAUACUCGUCACGGACAGGGUCCCGGUUUGGGUCAUGACACUAAUGUGGUAACUAAUAGCAUGUGUGGAUGGUAUGGUAGUCCGUGGAGGAAGUUUUUGACUCCAAUUUUAUUUAUACAGAUUAAGAGUGUAUUCUUAGUUCAUUGGAUAUUGCAUAUUAAAUUUCUAUCUCAUGUAAUCUUGUCAUCAAGGUGUUGUUGAAAAAAAUAAAGUCUAGUGAAGUCGUGUGUGGCUCUUUCGAUUCACUAGCAUAGUUGACUUGUCAUUCAUCUCAUUUUCUUGUUCAAAAUUCAAAAUCAAAGUCUAGUGAAGCCGUGUGAGGCCUAUUUUGAUUCACUAGCAACUUGUUGUUCUUGUGUUGGUUUAAUAUAUAUAUAUAGCUGAGUCUAUUUGCAUGAGAUUGAGUUGGUAAAGAGGUGAUUCAUCCUUGUCUGUUAGUUUAGUAGAAGGUAGAGAAGGAGUUGUUAGUUAGGAAGAUUUGUCGGUUGCUUGAAGUGUGAAAAUGGCUAUAUUAGCCAGUAAGUUGUAAGUAUAGACUCGUGGUUGUUUGUGGAAUUUGAAGGUAGUAUAAAUGUAUGUUUGGGUAAGUAAGUAUGAGGUGAGAAAUCCGUAUAAGUAGAAAAGAUUGUAUGGGGUUAUAAUAUAAGAUUAAGGUUGAUCAUGUCUAUUAUGUAACUUUACCCCUUGACCUUCUUUUCGUUGGUAAUUGUAAACUAGUACUACUUGUGAGAAGGUAUGUAGUAAUUUUUUAGGCGUUUUUAUAGUAUGUCCCAAAUUUUAUGGACUAGCAUAUUAUGUUGCAUUUUUCAGUAGUGAUAGAUGAUUGGUACAGGACUAUAUGCUUGAAUUUAAUGUAGAAUGUGGUGGUAAAAAUAGUGGCAUGAGAUUAAGUAUGUAUGUUUUGUGGGAAAAAAAUUAGUAGGCUUCAUGUGUUAAAAUAGUACGUGCUAAUGAGUUAUGAUAAGGAAGACCGUAAGGGCAAGAUCAAUUAUUUGUUUUUUGGAAGUUCUAGUGUACUAGUGUUUCUUGAUGUCUAUGUCAUGGUAUCCAAGUGAGAAUCAUGCGUAAGGUUGGGUUGUAAAAUCUUGUUUAGCACUAGACAUUAAGUUUUGAACAAUUGAUGUCCAUGAAGGUGGAUGUGAUGAUUUCUUAGUUAAUGAUACUAGUUUAUGGAAGUAAUCUAAUAGGCUUGAAUGGUAUAUGCAAGAGCUUAAGUUUAUUUGAUUCGUAGUGAAGUAUGAUGUUGCAUAUAUAAUAUAGAAGUAUGCCCAAGGUAAUUUGAGGUUGCGGUAUUUUCUAAAACUAUUACAUGUUUUGUGUGACGAGUGGUACCGUUGAGUUGCUUGGUGGAGAAACACUAGUUAGAUGGUAUAUGGUGUUCUAAAUUGCCAAGUUAAGGAGUUUUGAUUGAUAGUGUUGAGCCUUUUUAUAUGAUCUUGAUUCUCAUAGUAGAGAGAUGUAAGUUUGGAGUCGCGAUAUAGGUAGGCUAUGUCGGAAGUAGUAUGAUUCAUUGAAGGCUUAGUGAUAUCCAUGUUGAGUGGUUGAUUCUAAGUUUGAGUUUUUAAAGAUUGAACUAAUAGAAAUAAGAUUUAAAGCACUANNNNNNNNNNNNNNNNNNNNNNNNNNNNNNNNNNNNNNNNNNNNNNNNNNNNNNNNNNNNNNNNNNNNNNNNNNNNNNNNNNNNNNNNNNNNNNNNNNNNNNNNNNNNNNNNNNNNNNNNNNNNNNNNNNNNNNNNNNNNNNNNNNNNNNNNNNNNNNNNNNNNNNNNNNNNNNNNNNNNNNNNNNNNNNNNNNNNNNNNNNNNNNNNNNNNNNNNNNNNNNNNNNNNNNNNNNNNNNNNNNNNNNNNNNNNNNNNNNNNNNNNNNNNNNNNNNNNNNNNNNNNNNNNNNNNNNNNNNNNNNNNNNNNNNNNNNNNNNNNNNNNNNNNNNNNNNNNNNNNNNNNNNNNNNNNNNNNNNNNNNNNNNNNNNNNNGGUCUCAGUAUUUUUCAGUUAUCCUAAUACCUACUCAUACCUCACGUUUCAGUUCCAUGAUCAUAGUUUAUGUUCAUGUAUAUGAUAGAAAAUCACGUGCUCUUCCAGAUUCCUAAAUGAGGAACUUCAGUUCCUUCAACCAUCGGAAUCACAUUCCAUAUGUUAUGAACUCUAAAUUGAGGUCAUGUGAUGGUUAGCUGAAAGGUGUGUGUGUGUAUGUCCUUGGGGUAGAGUGUGGGAGCUAUAUCGAUAGAUGGUUAGUAGAAUAUGUGAAGUGUGUCUUUAUGAGUGUUUAUGUUGAAGUUCAUAUGUCGUUAUAGAGAUAGGUUUGAAUGAUAUGUUGGAAUUUUUGUUAAGGAACUCUAUAUGCGCUAGCGACUUCGUAGUAAUAGUUCAGAGUUAGCCAUUGAAGUGGUAAGGCAUGAUAGGCUUAGGGAGUGAUCUUUUAAGAGAUAUAGAAGGUGGAAUAUUAUGAUUUAGACUUGUGUCGUGGUGUGGCAUGUAGUAUUUUGCGAGUUGGAGUUAGGCCUGAUCACGGUGAAGAGGAUUUAAGUUACUAUAGACAUUAGUAGAAAGAUUUAUAAAUGAAAAUAUGAGAACAAAUAAGUUGGAUCGAAUGAAUGUGGUAUUUACGGGUAAUAGUACAGUUAAGGAAGUAUUCGAGGAGUGUGCUAAUCUUUAAAGUAAGAAGUCGCAUUGACUAAGGCCUGGAAAUUCUAUUCUAAUUUAUGAGUUAUAUGUCUAUAUUCCAGACUGCAGAGUAGUGUAAAUGUUGUGAUUUCCCUCAGUUGGAUGUCUUAUGUAAUCCAUAACCAAGAUUCGUGGCUUCCUAUUACUGCUCGAACUUCUUUAGAGAGAGUGUUGAAGAGAUACUCCAAUUGAGUAUAAGUGUCUUGUAUAAUUCAGUCUGUAAUUCAGUUUAACAAUUGGGCAGACAAGUUACUAUGGUUUUUCCACCUUUUCACCCAGUCCUACUAUCCGAAGUCUCAUGCGUAUGGCUAUUCCCAAGAGAUAAUCUAUUCCAACCAUAUAAAUUGUGAGUUCAGUUCAGUCCAAGCAUCAUGUUUCAGAUUCAGCUCUCUAUUCAUGACUCGGUGCAUAAGAGUUCAGCGUAUAAUCUCAAAAUUUUUCAAGUAUUUCAGCUCAGAUAGUGCAAUACCCUUGUACGAUCUAAGUCUUGAUGUCUUUUGAUUCGUACUUGCAUAAGUUAUCACUUCCUAAUUUCAAUAUGUAUGAUUGGAUCAUGAAUAUUUCAAGGGAAUCUUAAAUUUUCAGCACGAAUCAGCUUCUUGAAGCAAGAAAAUUCAGUCAGCUCAGAAUUCAGUUUCAUUAUAGAAGUUUAAAUAUUUCAGAUCAGUUAUGUCCUUUCUUAGAAGUCACAUCAUGUCUGCGUUAUUCCAUACCUUUAAGCUUCAACAAGUUCCUACCCAUCAUUUGGGGCCGAAUGAUCCCAAGGGGGAGAUAAUGUAACACCCUACAUUUCGAAUGAUAACGAAAAUCGUCAUUUCCUUCACGUAAAGGUUCCAAAAGCCAUAAAUCCAAUGCAAGUUUGGUGUGUUAAUAAAUUAUGUAGUGUGAAAACCUAUUUGAGCAUGAAUUGAGAUCAUAGAGGUCCCCAAGCUCAAGAACAAGUUGAAAGUUUUCCUAUCGUUCGAAUUUUAGUGAGCGUUGAAACUUAGGUCAACUUCAAUCGACCAUUAAUCUUUGUAUAUAUUGAAUUAGAGUUCCUACUAUAUAUCAAAUGAAAGGUUUUCAAAUUAUCUUUCCAAAGAUACCAAUUUUGAAAAAAAUCCGACACCCAAGGAAGAAGUUAUGGCUUUGUAAAGUGGAGUCUAUCGUGCAGCAUAAGGUGUACGAUGCAUACCUUAACUUAUGCCAUAAGGUGUGCGACGCACAACCUAAUGUGUGCGAUAAAGAGUGCGCCGCACAACCUAUAUUAUGUGAUGAGGUGUGCACCGCAUAUAUUAUUACUCAAGUGACUUAAAUACUCCAUAUUUGGUGCAAAAUGGUCCUUUUCCCACCUUUAUUUAGCCAUAAACAUGAAAUUCAGUCCCCAAAUAUCCCAAAAUACACCUAAAUUCAUCAAAAUUGCUCAAGAACUCUCCUUAGGGUUUCAAAAUAAAAACCCAAGCAACUCAAGAUUCAACGGUGAGUUUUUGAAACUAAUUGAAUAUUUGGAAUCCCCAAAACGUAGGCUUCAAGAAGCACCUAUCAUCUUCGCAUAUAAAGGUGCAUGGGAUUAUCUCAAAAAUCUCAUGGUCUUAAAAAUUCAUGUUUUAAAAAUGGUGGUUUUGAAAUUAUGAAUAUAAUCCCGUUAUAAAUGUUUUAUGAUAUUGAUUUGGUCUUUAGGCCUAUUCCCGAAGUGGUUUGAUAUAUGAUAUAUGUAUAUGCAUGUAUUCCGAAAAGAUGUUAACUUGAGAUCAUGAAUUACAUGAAAUCCCUCUCUUUAUAUGAUCUCGUUUAAAAUUCUUAUAUGAUGUGAAGUGGUUGAAAUCAUCUUGACAAGCGUGACAUGAAAUAUUUUGAAAAUGGUCAUGGUUUUGACUUGCAAUGAGAGGGUUGUUAUGUUGAAAGAUGAUGAAUAUAAUGGUUGCAUGAAAGAAUGAUGUGAUAUUGAUGGUUUGCAAGUCGGUUAUGACGAUACCCUACAGAAUAAGAUAUGUGAUUGAAUUAAAUGGAGUUUGAUGCAUUGAUUUUACAUGAGAUAGGUGGAUGCCCAAAGAAGAUGUUUGAGUGUAAGGGCUCAUCGCUGGAAAUCGUGUUUGCCGACAUUAGGAUUUGGUACCAGGCUAAGUGAUCUUGUGUACUUGACUUUACGUCAUUCCCAAAUUGGGACUAUGGUUAGGAGCCCAGGCUAAGUGAUCUUGGGCACUACUAUACUUUAUUGGAUCGAGACACCCUGCUGUGUGAUCUUGUGUGUCUUCCCCUCACUUAUACUCUAAUCUCGGCGACAACCGAGACUUGAUAGUUGGUGUAAAUGUUAUAUGUAGGGUAUUCCACCUAGCUCAGCUGCAUUACAUUGUUGUUGAAAACUAUUACAUUAUGCCUAUGUGUUUUCAAAUGAUUUGAUAUGAAACUGCUUUAUAAUGGCUCUAACCUAUAUUUGGAAAAAAAUAUUAUAUUUUGUAUUUGAUUUCUCUGCGUAUCAGUACUUUUGUAUUGACCCCCUUCCCUCUCAGGUUUGGAGGCACAGUUUAGGGGUCUAGAUAACUAGUAGAUCUCUUCCAAUAGAUUUGUAAAAUUAAGUGGUGAGCCUUCUAUAUUUUGGAAGGCCUGAUGUCUAUCAGUUCAUUUAUCAUUUAGUAGUUUUGGAUCUACUGGGGCCUUGUCCCAGUUUUUAGACAGUAAUUUGUUUCAGUCAUGUAUUAUAGAUUUCCCAGACGGUUGUUCAGAUGUCGAUAGAUGUUGUGGGACAUUAUUUCCCCUUUGUUGAUUUCAUUUGAUUUAUGACCAUGUUUUUGGUAAUAUUGUGUAUCUUCCGCAUAUCUUAUUAUCAUAUGAAUUAUAUGCAUGAUUACCAUAUAGAUAAGGGUGUUUCGGGCCUUCAUGGUUUGGAAUGCUCAUCACGGCCAGGGCCCCGGUUUGGGUCGUGACAAUUUGGGAUGACAUUGCAAUGAACUAAGGGAAACCGAAGGAAAGAAGAAGAAAAAUACAUCUAUUGUCAUGCCAGGGCCAAAGCAGAGUUUGAGAGAUCCAACCCACCAAUAUUGUCAUUCUCAAUCCCGAGCUUACAUAUUAGAUCCACAUAACCACUUGCAACAUGGUUUCUUUCUCCAAAAUCCAAGAAAUCCCAUUCUACUUCCUCAAUAUCCUUUGAACAAUGCACAGUUGUAUUCUCAUCCGUCUUUUUAUCCACAAUGGCAUGCACCUAUCCCUCAACAUCGUCCUCGACCCCCACAAAUUUACCAAGGAACCCCUAAAUCCAAGUUUCAUCCGAGGCCAGAGUUUGCAAAGAAGAGGAAGGAAAAGGAUAAUUUCACUCCUAUUGAGGAAUCCUAUGAUAGUUUGUUCUAGAUUUUGAGACAGAAAGGCUUGAUUACUCCUCUCCUUGGGUAUACACCUGACCCAUAUUCAAGAAAUUUUCUAAUGUACGGUGUGCAUAUCAUUCUAAUGUUCAGGGUCACAGUAUUGAAGAUUGUCGUACUUUGAAAAGUAAAAUAGAAAAGAUGAUUCAAGAAAAAAUGAUUAUAGUGCAAAACUUUGACACCUUGAGAAUCCCAUAGAGUUCUUCACCAGUAUGCGGUACUGUAAAAUAUGUGGGAGGAAAUAAGUUAAGCAUGGGGAUCUAGAACUUAUUUGCUGAAGGAAAUGUGUCUGACAGUGAGGGAAGCUCUAGUCAUGCUAGUAUGCAAACCAGUGGCUAAGUUGUCAGGCUGAGAAAUUAAGAAGUCACCCCUCUCCCUACUAGGAAGAGCACUGGUAGAUUUUUUUUUCUAUUUUCUGAAUUAUUUUAGGGUUGUAGUUCGGGUUCUAUCUUUUUUUAUCCCUUUAUCGUGCAUGUUCAAACCCUUCUAUAUUUUAUUUCAACUAAAUAAAGUGUCCCUUCCCCUUUGUGUUUUAAAUAUGUGUUGUUUGUUUUCUUUACACAGUCCAUUUUGUGUUGAUUCUAGUGAUAUGACAUGCUUGCGGAAUUUUCAGCUGGAUCUUGAAAACCAGUUUUAGCAUGAACUUUGAAUCAAAGGGCUAAGGUUAAAAAAAGAAGAAGAGAGAAACAUCUAAGAAAAUAGGUAGAGUGCUGAGACAUUUGGUGACAAGUUGAAGCCUUUUCUAGAAAUUAAGGCACUUAUUUUGAGAAUCACAAGAAUAACUUGGUCAUCAAUUGAACGACAUGUCUCAAUUAGGUCAAAAAGUGGCUGUGUGAACAGAAAGAAAAUCAACUCCACAAAAUCAUGAGUCAUUCAAUGUGAGGACUGUACAAUAAAGGUGGAGUUUGCAAAAGAAAUAGUAACGUACAGACGCAGUCAAAGUUAAUGCUGUAAAAGAUGUCACAAGUGAUCUUCAUCUUUCAUUUUCAUAUUGCAUGAUAUGUACUUGCAUUUUUAAGGAUUGAUAUGACGAAGGCAUUUCAUUCUGUUAUCCAAACAUCAUGUCAUCCUUUGUUUACCCCCAUUUGAUCCUUUGUUUUAUUUUCUUUCAUACCCUUUUUUUGAAAUCAAGAUAGAGUCAGUAAAACUCAAAAGAAAAGUGUCGAAAAACAAUGUGUCCAAAGGAAAGAAAAGAGAAGAGUGUCAAAAAAAGGGUCAUAAAAAAAUCCCAAAGAGAAAAAAGAAAAAAAAAGAAUCAAAAAAUUAGAAUCAAUCAAAAGAACAAGCUGCCAGAACUACGCAUGACUUGAUUCUCCUCUCUCGGGGGUGAGAUACGUAGGCUGCCCUACUCUGGGCUCAGUCAAAUCAAAUAAAUAAUUUAGAAUUCCCAGUCAAAAAAACUGGGGAAUAAGUUAAUCCUCAUUAUUUGAGUUGAUUCCAAAAGUUGUAAGUCCUACCCCACCUCAGGUGUCGUUUGGCCUCAUGCUAUCCUUUCUUUCUAAUCCUAUCCAAAAACCAAGUUACAACCAAAUAAAGACCUUCAGAUCAAUCUUUGAGAAAUGCAAUGGAUGUGAUGAUGUAUUUUGGGAACUACUUGUCUUCCUCAACAUAAGGAAUCAGGAGAGGAAAAAAAAUGAAAGAGUCUUAUCGGUGAAAAACCUUACAGGCAUCGUAAAACGAUGGUAAGUUGAGAGAGAUAAAAAUGAGAGAGUCUUAUCAGUGAAAACCCUCACGGGUACUGUAAGAUGGCGGUGAGUUGAGAAAACUGAAAAUAAGAGAGUCUCAUUGGUGAAAAACCCUCACAGACACCAUAUGGCAAUGCUGAGUUGAGAAAAGAAAUAUGAGAGAAGCUCGUUGGAAAAAAUCAUUCAAGGCGCCACUAGCCAAAUGAGGUCUUAAAUGCAAUCGAUCUAAGGAAAGAACUUAAUUUUGAGGUCAUUAACAACAAUUUGUGAGAGUUUUGGAUGGAAAGAGCAGGUAGUUUAAUACGAUAUACAUGUCAUAAUCAUUAGAGUUGGAUAAAAUUUUCUUUCAUCUUUUUCAAUGGGGAUAUUCAUUAUCAUUUCUUUCUUUUCUAUAGUUAUAUUUUUAUUUUUCUUACGUCAGUUAUCCAAAUAAAAUCAUUGUCAUUUUUCUCUUGUCUUUGAGUCAAGUCUAUGUCAAAAUAAGUGAGAAAACAUUUCAAAACUGGCUACCAACUUCUUCGAUUGUACAAAGCAAGGCAGAAAGGCCAACGCAUGAAAAAGACAUGAUUGUGAGCCAAAAUGAGGCAAGAAGAAAAUAUGUAAACAAAUAAGUCUGGGAACUCAUGAAAUAUCAAGGUUCCUAGGGGUCUAUAUGAGAACCAUGGAAAAGCAGAGAUGCUGUGUUUGUCUUAGUCACUCUUAAUAAUCUGAGUUUGGUCAAUAAAGCAGCAAGUCAAUGACACAGGCUAAUGGUUGGAAGCAAGGUUAAAUGUGAUGAUGACAAGAGCGUUUGCCACAAAAGCCAAAGCCACAAACCAGCCACUAUGUUUUUAAACUCACAACCUUUCUUUGCAUGAAAUAGGAACACAUGUUACCUUCAAAUCAAGGAUUUCAAAGCCUAAACAUCAAGGCCCGUAUUUCUUACUUUUACAAAUGUAGGAAGCAAUGUUGCUGUACAGGUUUGAUAAUUAAAUCAUGGUAACAAUUCAUCAUCUUAUAUCCCUCAGAGAUACACUUACUUGUCUAGGGAUUUCAGUUUUCAUUUGAUGGGUGAUACACUUCUUAAAUUAAACCUGCACUCUUAGAAUACGUACCUUCUAGUUGAGUCAUUCCAUUUGACCCCUAGAAGAUGUACCUUUUAGUCGAGUCAUUCCCUUUGACCCCUAGAAGACGUACCUUUUGCUCAAGUCAUUCCCUUUGACCCCUAGAAGACGUACCUUUUAGUCGAGUCAUUCCCUUUGAUUCCUAUAAGAAGUACCUUUUAGUCGAUUCAUCUCCUUUGAUUCCUAUAAGAUUUUAGUCGAGUCAUUCCCUUUGAUUCCUAUAAUAUGUACCUUUUAGUCGAGUCAUUCCCUUUGAUUCCUAUAAGACGUACCUUUUAGUCCAGUCAUUCCCUUUGACCCCUAGAAGACGUACCUUUUAGUUGAGUCAUUUCCUUUGAUUCCUAUAAGACAUACCUUUUAGUCGAGUCAUCUCCUUUGAUUCCUAUAAGACAUACCUUUUAGUCAAGUCAUUCCCUUUGAUUCAUAUAAGACGUACCUUUUAGUUGAGUCAUUCCCUUUGGCCCCUAGAAGACGUACCUUUUGGUCGAGUCAUUUCCUUUGAUUCCUAUAAGACGUACCUUUUAGUCGAGUCAUCUCCCUUGAUUCCUAUUAAGAUGUACCUUUAAGUUGAGUCAUCUCCCUUGAUUCUUAUAAGACUUACCUUUUAGUCUAGUCAUUCACCUUGACCCCUAGAAGAUGUAUCUUUUUGUCGAGUCAAUUAUGUAACACCCCGUAUUUUGGACUAGAAUAAAAACCAUGACUCUGAUGCGUUGAUAAUCCCAGAUCCUUAAAUCCUUUGUAAUUUGGCAUGUUUAUGUAGUAUGUGAAUCCAUUUGAGCAUGAAUUUAGACCAUAGAGGUCCUUCAACGCAAGGACUAGUUGAAAACUACUUCGAUCGAUUAAGUUUAAGUGGACAUUAUAAUUUGUGUCAACUUCUAUUGACCAAGACUCUUUGUAUAUGUCGAAUUAGAGAUCCAACUAUGUGUUAAAUGAUAGGUCUUUGAGUUAACUUUCCAACGAUACCAAUUUUGCUAAAAUCCGACACCUGAGCAAGAAGUUUUGGCCUUUCAAAGUAGUAUGCGUCGCCUAACUAAUCGCACAUGGCUGCUAGAAAACAUAGGCGAUAGCAUAGGCCGCGCCUAUGUAAACAUAGGCGAUAGUAUAGGUGGCACCUAUGUAAACAUAGGCGAUAGCAUAGGCGACGCCUAUGUAAAGGUUUCAAGUGUCUUAAACAUCCUUAUUUAGCCAUAAACACGAAAUUCAGUUCCCAAAGACGCCAAAAUACACCUUUAUUCAUCAAAAUUAUUCAAGAACUCCCUCUAGGGUUUCAAAAUAAAAACCCAAGUAGUUCAAGAUUCAACCAUGGGUUUUCAAAACAAAUUAGAGAUUCGGAAUCCCCAAUCCAUAAGCUUCAAGAAUCACCCGUUAUUUUCUGAAAUAGAGGUACGCGGGGUUUUCCUAAAUUCUCAUGGGCUUAGAAAAAUCUUGUUUUAGAAUGGGGUUUUCGAAACUAUAUAUAUAUAUAUAUAUAUAUAUAUANNNNNNNNNNNNNNNNNNNNNNNNNNNNNNNNNNNNNNNNNNNNNNNNNNNNNNNNNNNNNNNNNNNNNNNNNNNNNNNNNNNNNNNNNNNNNNNNNNNNNNNNNNNNNNNNNNNNNNNNNNNNNNAGAUUUUUCAUAGCAUAUGAAUUGUUUUGCAAUGCAUUCUUGAAAAGCACUAUAUGAAAUGGUUGAACUCUUGUUAUGAUUUAAAGGUGGUUUUAAAUCACUAAAGAGGGAAUUUAGCAUGAAUUUUUAAUGUUCAUAAUGCAUGUAAUGAAAGAGUACAUGGAUUUGCUAAAGGCAUUAGACCACCAUAUGUUUGAUGAAGUUUUUACAUGGUUUUGACUUGAGUUUCGGAACAUGAAUCUUUUAUGCAAAUUACAUGUUUGGGUGGUCUAAAACUAUAUUUUAUGAAAGAUCAUGCUUAAUGCAUUAUGGGUCAGAAAUGGGACUUUCAAGUCUUGGUAUGACGAUGCCAAACUCAGAAAAUGCCAUAAUAGACACAGGCGAAUACAGAAAUCAGACUUUAUCAGAUUUGCAUAUUUUAGAACUUCAGAAUGAUCCAUGUUAAGAAAAGGCUAAAAUAAGGCAUAAAGAGAGUUAGGUGGUUCCCUGAAGAAGGCAUGAGUUUAGAUAAUUCUUUUCCUAAAACCAUGGUUUGCCGGCUCGGGUAUAUUAUUAUACGCUGACUUAAGUAUCAUGUGGCAUAUCAAAUUCAAGAACUCCAACCCUUGCGGCACACUCGGGUUGGAGGCUUCCCCACAAAGUCAAUGGCGAAUUCCAUAUCACCCAUGGAAUAUCAGGUUUGUAGGGGAUACCACCUAACUCAGAAGUAAUACACAGAUCAAAAUUUGAAAUUUACAGAUAGGUUACAUAUUUUCAAAAGGUGCCCAUGUGUUUUUCAGAAACUAUUUUAUGUAUGAUGUUUUGAUGAAAAUUGAUCUCAUGUAUUGUAUAUAUAUAUAUAUAUUUUCAAUUACUCUAUUUUGGAUUGCUUCGCGUGCCAGUAUUUUUGUGCUGACCCCCCUUAUUCCAGGUUUUAAAACUCAGUCUAGGGGUCCAGAUGAAUAGUUGAUAUUUCAGAUCGCAGAUCAGAUUGUGUAGUGGUGAGCCUUCUAUAUUCCAGAAGGCCUAUUUACUUUCAGAUAUUUAUCUUUAGUCAUGUUUUGGUCUACUGGGGCCUUGUCCCAGAUUUCAGACAGUUGCUAUUAGUCAUGUAUUAGAGAUUUCGCAGACGGAUUUUAGAUGUUGGUAGAUGCUGUGGGACUUUAUUUCCCAUUAUUGAUUUUAUUAGACUUAUGACCACGUUUCUGUAAUAUUGUGUAUCUUUUGCAUUUCUUUUAUCAUAUGAAUUAUGUGCAUGAUUACCAAAUAGAUAGGGGUAUUUCAGGCCUUCACGGUUUGGGAUGCUCGCCACGGCCAGGGCCCCAGUUUGGGUCGUGACAAACUUGGUAUCAAAGCAUGGUUCAUGGUCCCAGGGUGUCUGCGAAAUCACGUCAGGUAGAGUCUUGUUUAUGGGUGUGUAGCGUGCCACACUUAUAAGCAAGAAGGUACAAGGCAUUUAGGAAUGUCUCUCUUUCUUCAUGUUCUAGUUCAUGCAACAGAGUCAGAAUGUUCCUCCUUCAUACUCUAAUUCGUGCUAUGGUGAUGUCCAUACAAAAUUAAAUCCUAAAUUCUUUCCUUACUCUGAUGUUCUCAGACCCAUCAUAUUACUGGGGUAAUUCAAGUAUAGAAGUUUAGAGUCUAAAUAUUAUGGUUCGUUCUGAUCGAAUCAUAUAAGAUUUUUGUAAGGACUUGAGAAGAGUCCGUUAGUACUUCAGAGUGUGUUGGUUCUAGUUUGAACUUUGAUUUUGAUAAAAUUGUGCUUUUUAGCUUGCAGUAUUAAGAGUAUUCAAUUAUUGUCAGAAUUUAUGUUGCCAGUGUCACGCUUCAGAGGUAAUAAGGUGUAGCAGAAUGUUGGAACUGUAUUUCCACCUGAAUAGUAGUGUGUCUUAAAGUGUUGUUGUCAUGACCUAUUGGUAAUGAAAUUAGACCAAGAAGUUGGUGAUGUAAAGUCACAAAGUUAGAAGUCAGAGUGAGGAUGAUUUACCCCUUUAUAGUGAUAAACUAAUUUGGUAGCUAGCAGCAUGUAUGGAUAGUAUAGUAGUCCAUGGAGGAAGUGUUUGACUCAAAUUUUAUUUCUACAGAGUAAGAUGUGUAUUCUUAGUUCAUUGAACAUUGCGUAUUAAAUCUCUAUCUCAUGAAAUAUUNNNNNNNNNNNNNNNUGUUGAAAAAUAAAGUCUAGUGAAGCCGUGUGGGGCUCUUUCGAUUCACUAGCAUAGUUGACUUGUCAUUCAUCCUAUUUUCUUGUUCAAGAUACAAAAUCAAAGUCUAGUGAAGCCAUGUGAGGCCUAUUUUGAUUCACUAGCAACUUGUUAUCCAACUUGUUGUUCUUGUGUAAGUUUAAUGUAUGUAUAGCUAAAGCUGGUUGCAUGAGAUUGAGUUGGUAAAGAGAUGAUUCGUCCUUGUGUGUUAUUAGUAGAAGGUAGAGAAGGAGUUGUUAGUCAAGGUGAUUUGUUGGUUGCUUGAAUGUGAAAAUGGCUAUAUUAGCGAGUAAGUUAUGAUUAUAAACUCAUGGUUGUUUGAGGAAUUUGAAGGCAGUCUAAAUGUAUGCUUAAGUAAAUAAGUAAGUAUGAGUUGAGAAAUCCGCAUAAGUAGAGAAGAUUGUAUGGGGUUAUAUCAUCAGAUUAAGGUUGAUCAUGUCUAUUAUAUGACUUUACCCCUUGACCUUAUUUUUGUUGGUAGUUGUAAACUAGUACAACUUGUGAGAAGGUAGGUAGUGGAUUUUAAGGUGUUUGAAUAGGACGUGUCAAUUUUAUGGACUAGCAUAUUAUUUUGCACUCGUCAUUGGUGGUAGAUGAUUGAUGCUAAACUAUAGGUUUGAAUUUAAGUGAAGGAUGUGGUGGUAAAAAAAAUAGUGGCAUAAGAUCGAUGAUGUAUGUUUUGUGGAAUUAAAUUAGUAGGCUUGAUAUGUUGAAAUAGUACGUGCUAAUGAGUUAUGAUAAGGAAGACCGUAAGGUCACGAUCGAUUUUUUUUUUGUGUGGCUAUGUAGUUCUAAUGUACUAGUGUUUCUUGAGGUAUAUGGUGAUCUAAAUAGCCAUGUUAAGGUGUUUUGACUGAUAGUGUUGGGCCUUUUGCGAUGAUCUUGAUUCUCACAGUAGAGGGAUAUACAUUUGGAGUCGCAAUGGUGGUAGGCUAUGUCGAAAGAGAUAUGGUACAUCAAAGGCUUGCUGAUAUCCAUGUUAAGUGUUAGCAUCUAAUCUUGACUUUUGAAGGUUUAACCGAUAGAAAUAAGUGUACAGGCAGGGAAAGAUAGAGUGUAUCCUGAAAGGUAGUCAUUUGGGUUAAUUUCUAUGAUAUGCAUGUAUUGUCAUUUUCUAGACCCUAGAGUGCAGUAAGUGUAGUUCAGUUAGAAUCAGGUAAAGGAUCUCCCAAACUCUCGAUGAUGACUUGCAGCUAAGGGGGAGAUGAUAGAACAAGUAACCAAGUCCGGCCCUCAGAUUCUAGUAGUGAUGUCAGUAUGACAUAGAACAUCAGAAGGGCAGGGUGAGUAUCAACCAUUCCUAUCUCAGUAUUUUUCAGUUAUCCCAAUACCUACUCAUACCUCACGUUUCAGUCCCCUGAUCAUAGUUCAUGUUCAUGUACAUGAUAGAGAAUCACGUGCUCUUCCAGAUUCCUAAAUGAGGAACUUCAGUUUAUUCAGCAGUCAAAAUCAUAUUCCAUAUGUUAUGAACUCUAGUUGAGGUCAUGCAUCUCAUGAUGCACGUACUCACUCUUUAUAGUGUGCUCAGUCCCGUAUAAAGAUCUUUUCACACUUAAGGGUCUUAUGUUUUAACCUUUUAGUAACCCUUCCUAUGCAAUAAUAGUGGUGAUGAUGUAAAUGUUCUUGUUGAUGGAAGAUCCUCGUAUGCUUGUUUAGAUAAGGCCAUAAGUAUGAAGAAAAAUUUGGGGCCAAGUCUUUGCUACAUGUGAUGGUUAGUGGAAAAGUUUGUGUGUGUAUGUUUUUAGGAUAGUGCAUAGGAGUUAUAUUGAUAAUAGUUUAGAAACUAUGUGGAGUAUGUAUUUAUGGGUGGUAGCCUUGAAGUUAACAUGUGGUUGUAAAUUAGGCUUGAAUGACGUUUUGGGAUUCUAGUGGAAGGUCGUAAAAUGCAUUAGCGACUUCAUAUUAAGAGUUCAGAGUAGUCAUUGAAGUGGUAAGGCAUGUUAUGCUUAGGAUGUGAUCUUUAAAAGUUGGUAUAGAAGGUGGCAUCAUAUGGUUUAGAAUACCAGCAUGGUGUAGCAUGUUGUAUUUUUGUGACUUAGAGUUAGGCUUGAUCGCGGAGUAAGGAUUAAGCUAUUUUAGACAUUAGUAGAAAAAUUUGCCAAUGCUCAUAUGAGAAAUUCAAGCUGAAUUGAAUGAAUAUCAUAUUUAUAGGGAAUAGUAUAGUUAAGGCAUAUUUGGGAAGUGCGCUAAGCCUGAAAGUAAGAAGUUGUAUUGCCAAAGGUCGGAAAAUUCUAUCCUAAUUUAGGAGUUAUAUGUCUAUAUUCCAGAUUGUAGAGUAGUGUCAAUGUUGUGAUUUCCUCAGUUGGAUGUCUUAUGUAAUCCAUACCCAAGAUUCGUGGCUCCCUAUUACUAUUAGAACUCCCUUAGAGAAAGUGUUGAUGAGAUACUCCAGCUAAGUAUGAGGGUCCAGCCUAAUUCAGUCUGUAUAGCCAGUAAGUCAGUAAGUCAGUUUAGCAGUCAGAUUCGUAUGACUUAUUUUCUCAUCUUUUCAUUUAUUCAUGCAAUCCAAAAUCUCAGACAUGAUACUAUUCUAAGAUAGAGUAUACCAGUAGUUAUGAGUAUAGCCUAGUUCAUGCAUCAUGCAUUAAAUUCAGAUUCCAGACGUUCAGUUAUGAUUCAAUUCGUAGGUGCCCUGUGCAUCGCCUCAGUUUUUCGAGUACCUUAGUGAAUUGAGCAUUCAUAGAGGGUCAUAGGGUACCAAAGGGGAGAUACCCCAUUCUGUUGCAUGCAUAGAUUCUUAUUACAAUCUUAACAUCAGUUAUUAUUGCGUAUUUAGCCAUACGUUCAUACGUUAGUUCAGUCAGAUAUGCAUGCAUUAGAAAUGCAUGUUCAAUAGAAAAGUUCAGCUUAUCAGUGUAUUCAGUCCUGCAUUCAUGAGAACAACUCGGUCAUAGAUCCAUGCAUCAGAUAUGCAUGAUUCAUUAUGAGAAUUCAGCCUAUGAGUAGCUUCAGUUGUGUAUUACAUGCCUCGGAUAUGCAUGUCUGGCAUAAGCAUUUAAAACAUCAGUAGUUCCAAUCUUAUAGUCAGGUUUCCAAUCAGUGUAUUCUUUCUUAGGGAACAUAUCAUGUUUGCGUUAUCCCAUACCCUUAAGACUUCAACAUUCUAUCUAUCAUUCGGGGACGAAUGAUCCCAAUGAGGAGAUAAUGUAACACCCUGCAUUUCGGACUAGAAUAAAAACCAUGAUUCUGAUGCGUUGAUAAUCCCAGAUCCUUAAAUCCUAUGCCAAUUUGGCAUGUUUAUGUAGUAUGUGAAUUCAUUUGAGCAUGAAUUUAGACCAUAGAGGUCCUUCAACUCAAGGAUGAGUUGAAAACUACUUCGAUCGAUUAAGUUUAAGUGGACAUUAUAAUUUGUGUCAAAUUCUAUCGACCAUGACUCUUUCUAUAUGUCGAAUUAGAGAGCCAACUAUGUGUCAAAUGAUAGGUCUUCGAGUUAACUUUCCAACGAUACCAAUUUUGCUAAAAUCCGACACCCGAGCAACAAGUUAUGGCCUUUCAAAGUAGUAUGCGUCACCUAACCAUUCACACAUGGCCACUGGAAAACAUAGGCUAUAGCAUAGGCAGAGCCAAUGUAAACAUAGGCGAUAGCAUAGGCGGCACCUAUGUAAACAUAGGCGAUAACAUAGGCGGCGCCUAUGUAAAGGUUUCAAGUGACUUAAACAUUCUAUUUUUGGGGCAAAAUGGUCCUUUUCCCAUCCUUAUUUAGCCAUAAUCACAAAAUUUAGUUCCUAAAGACCCCAAAAUACACCUUCAUUCAUCAAAAUUGUUCAAGAACUCCCUCUAGGGUUUCAAAAUAAAAACCCAAGUAGUUCAAGAUUCAACCAUGGUUUUCAAAAUAAAUUAGAGAUUUGGAAUCCCCAAUCCACAAGCUUCAAGAAUCAUCCGUUAUUUUCUGAAAUAGAGGCACGCGGGGUUUUCCUAAAUUCUCAUGGGCUUAGAAAAAUCAUGUUUUAGAAUGGGGUUUUCGAAACUAUAUAUAUAUAUAUAUAUUCAUGUAUUAGAUGUUUUAACAUUAUUAUUUUGGUCUUUUGACCUUCCCCAAAGUGAUUUGAGAAUAUGUAUGUAUGAAAACAUGAAUUUAAGAAUGAAUUCUUGUUAAGAGCAUGACUUUUGGUGAAUUCCCCUUUUUUAUGAAUUUUCAGAUUUUUCAUAGCAUAUGAAUUGUUUUGCAAUUCAUUCUUGAAAAACACAAUAUGAAAUGGUUGAACUCUUGUUAUGAUUUAAAGGUGGUUUUAAAUCACUAAAGAGGGAAUUUAGCAUGAAUUUUUAAUGUUCAUAAUGCAUGUAAUGAAAGAGUGCAUGGAUUUGCUAAAGGCAUUAAACCACCAUAUGUUUGAUGAAGUUUUUGCACAGUUUUGACUUGAGUUUCGGAAUAUGAAAUCUUUUAUGCAAAUUACAUGUUUGGGUGGUCUGAAACUAUAUUUUAUGAAAGAUCAUGCUUAAUGCAUUAUGGGUCAGAAAUGGGACUUUCAAGUCUUGGUAUGACGAUGCCAAACUCAGAAAAUGCCAUAAUAGACACAGGCGAAUACAGAAAUCAGACUUUAUCAGAUUUGCAUAUUUUAGAACUUCAGAAUGAUCCAUGUUAAGAAAAGGCUAAAAUAGGGCAUAAAGAGAGCUUAGGUGGUUCCCCAAAGAAGGCGUGAGUUCAGACAACUCUUUGCCCUAAACCGUGGUUUGCCAGCCCGGGUAUAUUAUUAUACGCUGACUUAAGUGUCGUGUGGCGUAUUAGAUUCAGGAACUCCAACCCUUGCGGCACACUCGGGUUGGAGGCUUCCCCGCCAAGUCAAUGUGGGAUUCCAUAUCGCCCGUGGAAUAUCAGGUUUGUAGGGGAUACCACCUAACUCAGAAGUAAUACACAGAUCAGAAUUUGAAAUUUACAGACAGGUUACAUGUUUUCAGAAGGUGCCCAUGUGUAUUUCAGAAACUGUUUUAUGUAUGAUGUUUUGAUGAAAAUUGUUCUCAUGUAUUAUAUAUAUAUAUAUAUAUAUAUUUUCAAUUACUCUAUUUUGGAUUGCUUCGUGUGCCAGUACUUUUGUGCUGACCCCCUUCCUUCUAGGUUUUGAGACUCAAUCUAGGGGUCCAGAUGAAUAAUAGAUAUUUCAGAUUGCAGAUUUGAUUGUACAGUGGUGAGCCUUCUAUAUUCCAGAAGGCCUGUUUACUUUUAGAUAUUUAAUUUAUCUUUAGUCAUGUUUUGGUCUACUGGGGGCCUUGUCCCAGAUUUCAGACUGUUGCUAUUAGUCAUGUAGUAGAGAUUUUGCAGACGGAUUUCAGAUGUUAAUAGAUGUUGUGGGACUUUAUUUCCCAUUAUUGAUUUUAUUAGACUUAUGACCAUGUUUCCAUAAUAUUAUGUAUCUUCCACAUUUCUUUUAUCAUAUAAAUUAUGUGAAUGAUUACCAGAUAGACAGGGGUAUUUUGGGCCUUCAUGGUUUGGGAUGCUCGUCACGGCUAGGGCCCCGGUUUGGGUCGUGAAAAUUUACUUUGAUUCCUAACAGACGCACCUUAUAGUCGAGUCAUUCUCCUUGAUUCCUAUAAUGAUGUGACUUUCGCAAAAGUACUUUGAUAAUAAACUGUGGUAAAAUUUAAUUAUUGUGUUGGAACUUCACUUUCCUGGCAUAUGAAAUCUCUUUAUAAUAAUCUUUGUUUGGGACAAUUUUCUUUCUAGUUUUGAUGUGAUUUCAGGAGCUGCCCAAAGUAAAGGGUGAAUAAAUGGAAAGUCAAGCAGCCAGGUGAAGAAAUUGAAAGUCAAGAAACAAAGUGAAGUAAAUGAAAGUCAACUGAUUGAAAAUAGCAAGUCAGGAGCCCUUCUGGAGAACGGGGUGAUGAAAUUGAAAACCAAGCAACAAGUUGAAGAAAUUUCAAAUCAGGAGCCCGCCUGAAGAAUAGGGUGAUGAAACUCAAGUCAAGAGUCCAACAUAAGCCGCGUAGAUAGGAUUUUGUAAUUUCAUUUAUGUUUUUAACUUGUAAUUUUCAUUUUUGAUGUAAUAACAGAGCCGCGGACUAGAACCUCGAUGGGACCAUACUCGACUCUCCAACUUGGCAUAGUCCAUUUCCUUCCAAUCCUUUGAGACACCGUCACUUGAUUCCUCCAUAACUUGGGUGGGUAGGAUGGCUUAAGUCGAAACUCGGUUGUUUUUCUUCUUUCUGUUUCUUCCUUUGAAUAAUGUUUGGGAUAAAAUUCUGUCUUUUUGUCUACUUCUUUGUUUGAAAACACUUUGUGUUUACAUUUAAAGGGGGCAUGAUGUAGAAACCUAAUUUCGUCCCUCCCCGAUAUCGUUUUUGCCCAUUUUUUACUUUAUCCUAUCGUGUACCCUCACCUAUGUAAUUAUACCCCAUAAAAAUACAAAAUAAAAAAAAUUCAAUAAAUCCCUAACCUUAUCCUAACAAACUUUAUCCUAUACCCUACCCUACCUACCCCACUCACACCCACCUUCACGGUUUUUAUUCCUUUUAACCAAUAUACACAAUACACACAAAAAAGAUUUUUUUUUUAUGGGGGUCAUUUUCUUUCUUCUCCAUUGAUAGACACAUAGGUACAGAGAGAGAGAAACAAAUAGAAAGGGAGAGCACACACUCAUUCACCUUCUUCUUCACGGAUACACUAACAAAAUAUAGGGAGGAGGAGACCACCUUCAUCAAAAAAUCCACACACACACCUCACCGAAAAGCUCAACCACAUACCCACAAAUCACGAAAUAGACACUGCCAUUAGAUACACACACAAUUUGGUCAAUAAACAGUAAGAUUGAGAGAGAAAUAGUGAUGAAGAACUGAGAUCGGGAGAAGAAGGGUCCGGAGAACAAUAUUCCUGUGAUUGUUCACCAGAAUCAGUCAUUGUUUUAUUGGAUGCAAGCAUCAUUAAUCCGUUGCUCACUCCUAUCGACAUCGGAAAAUACAAAUCAACCAUCAAGAUAGCCGAAAUCGUCCUUCUUAGCUUGAUUUAGGCGAUAUUGGGGUAGCUCCGGCGACGGGUCCACCCAUUUUGGCUUCUUGGGUAUUCGUACUGAUUUUGGGAAACUUGAUUACUAGUUGGGAAUUUGGAUUUGUUCAUGUCUAUCUGUUUGUCACCAUUAGUUUUGGGCUUUGAUUUCUCAAUUAUUGAGUUGGAUUAGUCGCAGCUGAGGUUAUUACAUCUGAAAUUCCAAGUUUUGGCUUCUUUAAUAUUAUUACCAACCGAAACUGAUUAUCGGAAGGUCCAUUUCUUUAGCUAAUUCUCUUUUCUUUAUCGUAACUUGUUGAAUGGCCAUGAUUGUGUGUCGGGUGAUUAUGAUUGUCUGAUGUUAUUGAUGCUAUGGCCAUGAUGCUUGUUGAUUCAAUUUUGGUGGUUUGAGGAAUGAAUUUAAUCAUGUUUUAAUGGCGAUUUAUAAAAAGGAAGAUGGGCGGUGGAAUUGAAAAUUAACAAAAAGGUUAGAUUCGGAUCAAGUUUGAUUGAUUGUUGAUAUGAAACGUGAUAUUAUUAUGAGACAUUGAAAUAGAUAGGCCAAUGUAGGUUUGGGUAGGCAAAUUAAGGACUAAUCUUUGUUUGAUUGAAUGUUGGAAAUUUCGUGGAAUGUUUGAAAUUUUGUUGAAUAGUUUGAUUUUCUCGCACUAUAAGUGUAUUCAUUUGGUCAGGGAAUGCUUCAAGGGAUUUGCCUUGAUUUAUCCGGGGAAUGCCCUGACGUAUCAUGUACGCAAAGGAGGUUCGUGAUCAUGGCCCAGGGCAUCGGGUAAAGAAUCAGAGCAUAGUUUAGGAUUAGUUUAGAAUAGGAUUUAUAUUUUCGCAUUUUUGUAUUUUGGAUUGUAUAAUUGGACUGGACAGUAAAUUUUGAAUUAUUUUGUUCUGUUUGCUUGCUUGAUUGUUUUUGCAUUAUUUUUGUAGUUUAUGCACUUGUAAUGUCAAAGUUAGCCGAUACGCUCUACCAAGUGACCAUGGUCAAACCACGGGAUCGAGGGGUGCCUAACACCUUCCCCUAGGUCAACAGAAUUCCUUAGCUGAAAUCUCUAUUCGUGGAUCAUUUUUAAAGAGUCAAAUCUAUUUUAAAAAGGAUAUCCAAGGGUGACUUGGCACACCCGAUUUAUGCCAAGUGGCGACUCUGAGUUUUGAAUAUAAAAAGUUCUUUUCAAAACAAAUCUUCAUUUUGUCACUUCAAUAAUAAAAACCCUUUCAAACUUAAAACAAAUAUUUUUUUGUUGUAGAAAAAAGGGGUGUGACAACUAUUACGAAUAUGUAAUCGUCAUCUCACACAUCAUUCAGACUUAUGAUCUUAGAUGGAACCAGUACAGCACAUUCAUCAUAACAAGAAAUAUAUACUCGCUUCUAUCCAACCAUUACUCAUGAAUUGAUAUCAUACCACUGCCAUGAUAUAGGGAAAACCACUGAAGGUCUAGAAUAAGAGCACCAAUAAUAGAAGGGAUACUGCUUCUGUCUAAUAGGAACAAAUAGUUCAUGUACCAAAACACCUAAGGUGUGAAUAAAGAGUCAUUCUAGGCAUGAGGAUAACAUAGCACAAGCUAAGAACCUAUCAUAAAGUUUGGUUUCUCAGAGCUGAACCUAUCGUAAGCAUGUGUUUUUGGCUCAUGAAUAGUGUAGCAUAGAACCUGAACUUCUAGAACCUUAGAGAAAUAUUAAGAUCAUGGUGUGAAGUUAUUAUUUCCUAUUCUAGGGUUAAAACAUGGACAUGACUUUGUGUAAUACCCCGAGGCUCUAACCAAUAGUGCAACCAUGAAUCAAGCACCUGAGAAAUAAAUUAUAAUGUUUUGGGUUGUUUUUUGAUCAAGGAUGGUGUGUAUUAAGGCCUUAAAGAUGUCCUAAUGGUUGGGUGAAUCAGAACAUUCCUUACCGAUUGAAUUUUGGGAAGGAUAUUGGUAUAUUCAACUUCAAAUGAGCAUAUCUCUUAUUAUAAUUGGAAUUUUUGAGCUCAUGACCUAUCAACAUAUAUAUUAUUGAAUUAUCUUUCCAAUGAUACUAAUUUCUUCAAAAUCCGAUACCGGAGCAAAGAGUUAUACUCAUUUUACUCUAGCAUCUCAAUCUGGAAAAGGCUGACGACGUUUCUAACGGCCUGUCAUGUUUCUGACAACAUUUCUGACGACAUCAUCACAUUUUUGACGACAUCGUCAGCCUUAGGCAGAAAAUCAUAAAAUUCAACCCUUUUGUGAUGAUAUUUCGUGAUGGCCAAUCACGGGUCUGACGACCUGUCACGGAUGUUGUCAACUAUUUUUUUCAACAAUUUAGAGACAUUUUGCAAGGGUAUUUUGGUCUUUUUAUCCAUAAAUCUUCAAAUUUUCUUCAAUAAUCAAGUUCCUCAUAGUGUGGGCUUCAAGAAUUAUUUAUUUCAAGUGUGGAUAAAGUCUCAAGCACUAAAGUUCAUCCAAUUUCAAAGAUUAAGGUAUAUGGGGUUUUGAACAAGAACACUUCUUUUGUUCUUGUGCCCAAGAUUUAAUUUCUAUUGAAUUUCAUGAAUUUUACAAAGUGGGUUUACACCCAAAUUACUUUAUCAAGGAUUUAUGAGAUUUGAGCUUUACAAGAUUGAUACAUAUGACUACUUCAUUGUCUUAUUUCUUAAAAUUAAGACUUUAUGUCAUAAGUUAUAUAUUGUUUCAUGAAAUGAUAAUUUCUAAGUGAUUUAUGAUAAGUGUCAUGAUUUAUGUUUUUCCAUGAGAAGUUUGUCUAUUGAAUAUAUAUUGAUAUUGAGAUUGAGAGUCAAGAACGAGUUCUAUGAUGUUUUCUGGAAGAUGUUUCCUAGGGAGUCUGACAAGACGCAUUACGUAGAGUCUUGAUCAUCGGUGUGUAGAACGCUACAUCUAUGAGCAAGAGGCUACGGGAUGUUUUAGGAAAAGUCAUUUCUUUCUUUUAGAAGUCUUUCAUUUCUACGACUAUUUCUCUUUGCUAAUAAUUCAUGCUCUCUUAUGACAGAAAAUGCCUCCUCGUAGAGCUCACAGAUACAACAAAUAACCUCAACCUGUUGAUCCUUUAAAUGAGACGGUGACUCAUGCCGAAUUUUGGGUAGAUUUUCGGGCGCUAGCCCAGGCAGUUACCACCAAUGCUUAGGCCAAUGUUUAGGCCUCUGUUUCACCUCCGCAAGAAGGUAAUUCUACAGCAGCUCAAGCUUGGGAUUUUAUACGGAUGUAUCUGCCAGAAUUUUAUGGGUCAAGGGUAGGUGAGGACCCACAGAUGUAUCUUGAUGAGGUGAAAAAGAUCACCCAAAUUAUGCAUGUAACAGAGGAAAAAAAUGUGGAGCUAGCUUCCUAUCACUUGAAAGAUAUUGCUUAUGAUUGGGUGGCGAUGUGGAGGAAGAGUAGAGGGGAGGAUGCCGCUCCCAUGACUUGGCAGUUAUUCCAGGAUGCGUUCUUAGACUGAUUCAUUCCCCCGAAGCUGAGGGAAGCAAAACUAGAAGAAUUUAUAAACUUGAGACAAGGCUCCAUGAAAGUUAAGGAAUAUUGUCUUAAAUUUAACCAGUUGUCUAAGUAUGCUCCCGGUAUGAUGGUUGAUUCCAGGACAAGAUGAAAUAUUGUCUUCUUUAAUCUUGUGUGUCAAUAAAUAUUGCAAGAGAUCACAUCCAGUGAGCAAAGUUCCUACGUCAGCUGACUCACACACUUGGAAAAGCCUGAUGAAGAUCAAAGCGCAAGCUGAACCUCACAUUAUGUGGAAAGUUCAAGCAGGAAAUUCCAGCUUUUGGUGGGACAAUUGGACAGGUUUAGGUGCCUUGGCCAAGCUGUUCCAGGGCCUAGGUAAGUCUUCUAAAAUUCUUAUCAACUCUUUUAUUGAGAAUGGUACCUGGAACUUUGAAAAGUUAAGUACGGUUAUUCCUAAUUACAUUGUGAACCUGAUUUCUAAUGUUGUAAUUGGUAAUAACAACGAACUUGACUACCCCAUAUGGAAUCCCUCUGAGAAUGGUAUAUUCACUAAUAAUUCUGCCUGUUAAGGAAUAUUGUCUUAAAUUUAACCAGUUGUCUAAGUAUGCUCCCGGUAGGGACAUGGAUCUUUCUAGAUUGAUGAUACAUGCCCAGUAGAUUAAAAUGGACAAGGUAAAAGGAAGAGAGAAAGUAAGAGGGAAUAAUAGAGUUAGAUAAGAGUAGCAGAGGUAUAGUCAGAGUAGAUUUUCUGAAGGGAUCCACCCUCAGUUUUAGAGUCGUUCUUUUAUGCCAGCACUAUCAUCAGCUAGUACUCCCACAUCCAGAGUCAGAUAGGAGAAGGAUAAUAGACCUACUGUGUCUAGGUCUCAGGACAGUGUGAGUAAUAGACCUAACUAUCCCCCAUGUGCUAAGUGUGGUAGGACACAUCCUGGAGAGUGUAUGACUGAGCAGAGAAGUUGUUUUGGUUGUGGUAAGUUGGGCCACAAAUUUAGGGAUUACCCAUAUGCUAGAUAGGGGAGCCAUGAUAUUCGUCCCCAGAGUCAGGCUAUUAGUGCUCCAGCCCCUUGGGUUUGUCCUACUCCUCCUCAGGGUGCCUCGUCUAGUACUGCCAGUGGUCAGCGCCAGAAUUGCUUUUAUGCUAUACUACCUCACCAGGAGCAAGAGGAUUCACCAGAUGUUGUUGUUGGUACGCUCCAUGUAUUUCAUUUUGAUGUGUAUGUGUUGAUGGACCCUGGGUUAAGUCUUUCUUAUGUGACUCCGUUAGUGGCUGUGAAUUUUGAGAUCAAUGCUAAAAAGAUUCCUGAGCCUUUUUUAGUUUCUACUCCAGUAGAUGAACCUGUUGUUGCUAAGCAAGUAUAUAAGUAGUGUCCUAUCACUAUCCUUCACAGAGUUAUGUUUGCAGAUUUGAUUGAGCUAGACAUGGUUGAUUUUGACAUUAUUCUGGGUAUGGAUUGGCUUCACUCUUGUUAUGCGUCUAUAGACUGUCGUAGCCGUGUAGUCAAGUUUCAGUUUCCCAAUGAGCUAGCCUUUGAGUGGUCUAAAAAUUCUGUAUCUCCCAGGAGUCAUUUCAUAACCUAUCUUAAAGCUAGGAAAUUGAUAUCUAAGGGUUGCAUCUAUCAUUUGGAUCGAGUUAAAGACACUAAGUUCGAGACUUCGACCAUUCAGUCGAUCAAUAUGUUAAUGAGUUUUGUGAUAUUUUUCUAGAAAAUCUCCCAGGGUACCUCCCGAUAAAGAGAUAGAAUUUGGGAUUGAUCUUCUCCCCAACACGCAACCUAUUUAUAUUCCUCUAUAUCGUAUGGCCCCAGCAGAACUUAAGGAGUUGAAAGAGAAACUCAAAGAUCUUCUAGAUAAGGGUUUCAUAAUGCCUCAUAUAUCUCCUUGGGGUGCACCAGUUCUGUUUGUGCAAAAGAAAAAUGGUUCAUUGCAGAUGUGCAUUGAUUAUUGGUAGCUUAACAAGGUCACAGUCAAGAACAAGUACCCUCUUCCUAGAAUUGAUGACCUGUUUGAUCUGUUGUAAGGUGCUAACUAUUUCUCAAAAAUAAAUUUGAGAUCUGAUUAUCACCAGCUUAAAGUUAGGGAGUGUGAUAUUCCAAAGACAGCUUUUCGCACUCGAUAUGGUCAUUUUGAGUUCUUGGUCAUGUCUUGUAAUACCCAACAAAAUCGCGUGUCAAAUUCAGCUCGUAAAGCUCCAUGAAAGAUCCCAAAACUUAGAAAAUUUUUCUAAGUGUUCAAGAUUCAACACUUAGUCUUAUUUUAGACCUCCAAACUUUGGGGAUUUAUGUGGAGACCUUCCCGACGUCCAUUUUUCAAUUUUCAAGUUGAGUUACGAUAGGGAAAGCUCAUAGCAUAUCCCGGGUGAGUUUCGGAAUUUUAGGAAUCCGUUUAGGGCAUGUUUCGAUUUCAAAAUAGAAGCACCAUGCGAUUUGCAUGCGUCGCAUGCUCUAUAGCAUGCUUCAGAAAUUUUCAGCAUUUCAGGGUCAACUUCAAAUGAUCAUAACUUCUUGAAUAUUUUGAACUGUGAGAGAUGCAAUAUAUCAAUGAAAAUAUCUUUGAGUCCUCUUUCUAAUGCAAUUGGUUUCAUCCAAUUUAAACAUCGGAGCAAAGAGUUAUGAUCAAGUUACUUCAGCCUAUCAGCCUGAAAAUAACAUAGGACAGCUGUGUCUUUCUCUCUUUCUCCAGGGGUAUUUUAGUCUUUUGCCCAUCCUAUAUAUCUGCUCAAACAUGGAAUUAAGCCUAAUUUAGAGCAGAAUAUACUUCAUUUUUCUCAAAUUCUCUCAAAAAUUAUCAAGAAAAAGUAAGGGUUCAAUUGGGGGUUUCAAGAUUCAAGCCAAUUUCACCAUUAACUUUCACGGAUAAUCAAUCUAAGGUAUGCAUAGUGUUCAUUCAUGCAUUCUUUUCAUCCAUGGAGCUCAAGAAUCAAGUUUUAAGUUAUGUAUCAUGAAUAUUUUGUUGUGGAAUAUUUUUAAUCAUGUUGUUGAUGUUAAAAUCCAAUUUAAACAUCGGAGCAAAGAGUUAUGAUCAAGUUACUUCAGCCUAUCAGCCUGAAAAUAACAUAGGACAGCUGUGUCUUUCUCUCUUUCUCCAGGGGUAUUUUAGUCUUUUGCCCAUCCUAUAUAUCUGCUCAAACAUGGAAUUAAGCCUAAUUUAGAGCAGAAUAUACUUCAUUUUUCUCAAAUUCUCUCAAAAAUUAUCAAGAACAAGUAAGGGUUCAAUUGGGGGUUUCAAGAUUCAAGCCAAUUUCACCAUUAACUUUCACGGAUAAUCAAUCUAAGGUAUGCAUAGUGUUCAUUCAUGCAUUCUUUUCAUCCAUGGAGCUCAAGAAUCAAGUUUUAAGUUAUGUAUCAUGAAUAUUUUGUUGUGGAAUAUUUUUAAUCAUGUUGUUGAUGUUAAAAUGAGUUUUAAUUCCAUGAGUUAUUUCAAGAAUCAUGAAAACUAAUUUAUUUUUGGUAUUAUUCAUAUGAGAUUUAUCUUGAGUUCUUGGGAUUUGUAAGUUGGAUGUUAUACCCAUAAUAUUGAUAUAUGUUAAUUGAUGAAUGAAAUAUCCAUGUUUCCCAUGUGUGUUGAAUCAUGACCAUCAUAUGUUGAAAAUCUUGAGAUGUGAAUUGGUGGUUAUGGUCAUGAAUUGGGACCAUGUUAUAUAUGCCUAAGUAUAAAAUCAUGUCUUUCAUGUGUUUGUGAAAAUGUUCAAGUGAAUGAAUUGUGACUUGUGAUCCAUUGGUGAUCUAAAUAAGGAAUUCAUGUUAAUACUACAUGAUCUAAAUGAUUACCAUGUUGAUGCUAUGUCUUGCAAGUGGUUGACAAAUGGUUCAUGAAAGUUAAGUAAUGAAACUACAUUAUGUUAGCAUGUAUACAAGUUCAUGUCAUGCAAGUGAAAUUAAAAUUGUGAAAUUAUGAUAUGUUAGGAUACAUUCCUAUUCAUGUACAAGAUUAUGAUUAUCAAGUGCUUUUAUGAAAUCCCCAACUUACGGUAUUAUGAAUUUCGGACUUUAGUCCUAUGAUCAAGAAUUUUCAUGAUGUGUUAGUUUCAUUCCAUCGAGUCCUGGGGGUACUUGUACCCGAAAAAUAUAGCUGGGUGCCUAGAGCCAUGUCAUGUUUUCACGAUACUCUCAGUCAAGCUAUGUUCAGUAGACUUCAGUUAGUCUCAUGACUCGGGAAAACUUAUGUAAAGGCAAUAUCAGUUUAGUUUUACUUAGUACUAGUAAUCUACGUAAUCUCAGUAAUAUUCCAUCAGUCUAUGGAAUUCAGUACAGUUUAGUUCAGUAUUUAGUUUAGACAUCAGUAAACUCAUUCAGCUAAUAGAACUCAAUAGCAUUUAGUCAGUUAACAGAAUUUAGUAGUGUUUCGCUAGUCAUCGAAACUCAAUAAACUCAGUCCAUGUUCAGUUCAGUUAAAUAGAACAAUCAGUAACAGUUCAGUUAAUUCUAGUAUGAACUAGGAAAUCAGUUUAGUAUAAUCAGUUCAGUGUCAUUCAUUUGGGAGUAGGAUUCAGCAUCGAGCGAAUCCAAGGAUGGGAGCUCACCUGCCAAUAGAGGGUGUGAUUCUUAGAAGUAGUCCUUGCAUUACAGAACUAUAUAGCCAACAUAGGUUGAGACAUCAAUACCUGUCAGUUGAGGGUAGAUGAGGUGGUUUAACCUGUCAGAUGAGGGUUCCCACCUUUUUCAUUAGAGUACCUGGCAGAUGAGGGUCACUCACAGCUUGUCCUUACCAGUGGCGCGGUAUUGACCCCCUUCCAAUCAGGGCAGAUAUUGGACCCUAGCUUAGCUAUUAUAGUGUAUUUGGGGCUUGUCGAUUAGAGAACUACUUCCCACAGUUUCAGUAUCAGUCUGAGUAAAAGAACUUAGAUAGUUCUUCAGGAUAUCAGGACUGACAGAUACAGUCAACUCAGAUACAGUACGAAACUCAGCUAGUUCCAUUAGAUUUAGGACUGUCAGAUACAGUCAUUCAUGCUAACAGUUAUCAAAACUUAUGUUAUCAGAUAUAUCAGUUAUCAAAAUUCAAUUAUCAUUUGUGAUAUGUUAUUAGUAAAUAUAUGUCAUCAGUAUUCAUACUCAGUAUUCAUGUUAUCACGAGCUCAGUUUCAGGACUGUUAUAUACGGUCAAUAAAAUCAGUUCUUCAUAAUUAGAACUAUCAGAAACAAUCAUUCCUUUAUCAGUAAUAUAGUAUUAGUCUCCCAGUAUUCAGUAAUACAUUAUCAGUUCCUCACUUAUUAGUGAAUUACAUAUCAAUAUCAGUAAACUCAGUCAUUCAGUAUCUCAGCAUCAAUAAACUCAUGUUGUAAGUAUUCAAACUCAGUAGUCAGUAUCACUAUGAGUUUAGUUGCAGUUACGUAUGUGUGUAUGUAUUCUCACGUUUAUAUCAGUCAGCAUUGCUCAUACAUAUAAAACCCUUUGUAUUUAGCCUACCUCACUCAUAUACUCAGUACAUUCAGUCGUACUGACGCAUUCGUUCUAUGGUGUUUUAUUUGAUUCCAUAGGUAUAGAGGCACGAGUUUCAGAGUAGCAGUAGCAUUGCAGAUUUCAGCAGUUAGUGCUCCUCUUCAUUUGAGGGCAGUAUUAUUAUACUUUAUUACAGUAUUUCAGAUUAGUUUUUUAGUUCAUGGAGUUAGUUAGAGACAUGUUCCUUCAACUCCUUAUUCAGUUCAGUUAGAGGCUUUCGAACUAGAUGUCAGAUUAGAUGUUCAGACUUCAGUAUUUAUGUUUUUUUUUGUAUUUUUAUACCAUGUUUUUCAAAUAUGUAUCAGUAUUAAACCUUAUCGCUUUACAGUUCAUGUUUUCACAUAUUUCAUGAGAUAUUAUGCAGUUUACAGGUACAAAUUAUAGUCAUGGGUUAGCUUAUGGUCCUUCGGGGCCAUGAGCAUCGUGUAGUAUUUUGGUUUAGAAAAUUGGUGCUUUAGAAGAUGUGUAUCAGAGCUGAAGGUUCAACAGUAUCCUAGGAAGUCUGAAAGCUGCAUCAAGUAAAGUCUUGUACAUGGGCGUGUUGUGCACCACACUUAUGUGCAGGAGGCUAUGAGAUUUUUUAAGAAUAGUUUCCCUUCUUUCAUGUCUCAAGAUCAUGCUAUAGCAAGUUUCUCUAAGGAAACCAUGUAGAUUCAUAUCAUGCACUCCUCAUGUUUACUUUACCUUUCUUUCAAGGUAACAGAAAUAGUGAAGUUCAAAGUCCUAAAGAUAGGGCUUUCUCAGACAGUCCCUACAGUCAGUUAUGGGAUUAGCCAUAGACUCAAAUAGUAUCCUAUCAGUUCAUUAUUGUUCCAAGGUCGUAAGAUUUUAUUCAUGAACAUGAGAACUCAUUCUUGAACCCAGAAGUUUAGCAGUAGUAGAGUUGGGAUAGUGUUAUUCUAUUUGAUCAGAUUAUGUAUUCAUGGGGAUUAGAUCAGUAGGCUUGAACAGUACGAGCUAAAAAUUUAAGUUUAUUGACUACAAAUUAAGAAUGAAAGUGUGAAUGUGAUAUUAGCAGUAUAUGAGGAAACAAAAUCAGAUGAUGUGUUUAGUAAGAUAGGUAGGUGUUGAACAGAAUGUAGGUAUGUGAUGGUAGAUCAAGUACCUAAGCCAGGCCCUCAGAUUUCAGUAGUAGAGCCGAUAUGUAUAGAAAGCAGUAAGGGAAGACAAUUCCAGACCCAUUCUUAUCUCAGUGUAGAGUUUUUCACUUAGCUAUCAAGAAAUCAACUCAGGCAUUGCAUACCAACUCUAUGGUCACGAACCAUGCUCAUGUAUCUCUUUUUCCAUAAUCAUGUAUGAAUUCAAUUUCCAUCAUAAGGAGUCCAUUUUACUCCACAGUAUGAAUCAUAUUCUAUGAGCACAAUCUAAUUUCACACACUUUCCAUGGGAUCAUGUGCGCCUUCAGUUCCUAGCAUAAGGGGUUCAGUUCCAGCUCCCUCAGUGUUACGAAUCAUGUCUCACAAAUAUAGAAAUUUUAGACUCAGGUCAUGCAGCUCAUGAAUCAUGUACACAGAUCAUGCUUUAAAGUAUACUCAAUUUUCAUGACUCAUGCUAUGCCCCUACAUAUCAGAUAAAUUCAUACCACGUUAUGUAUAUCCUCAGUUCAAACCUUUUUGGUAAAUCUAUGUUCAGUUACGUCAUGUUACUUAGUCAGUCCCUUCUCAUAUGUAUAAUACUUUAUGGCCUCAGCUCAACUACUCAGACUAAGUACAAUUCAGUUUUCCAGAUCCAAUAUUUAGCUACCAGUUAUUCAAUUAAUAGUAUAAGUCAAUAUGUCUAUCCAUUACGCUCAUCACCUAAAUGAAUCUUUUUACUAGUAUCAGUUGCAGUGCGUGGGGUUUAGUUACUACCACUUAGGUGAUGUUCAUAGGCCUCAACUUAUCUUGCCAAAUCCUAAUCUGUUCAUGAUUUUCCUAAUCAGCUAUCUUAUACAGACCACACUAAGAUUUCCUUGCAAUCUAGAGCCACUAGAACUCUAUAGAAAGAGUGAUAAAGAAAGGCUCCAGUCGACCAUGAGUUUUUAGAAGAUGCAAGCUCAGUUCAUUUUAUAUAUCAUGUUCCAGGAUUAGUUACAUCCUCAUGUUCCCGCUCAUACCUAUUGAGUAAUUAAUCUCAGACUCAUUGUUAUUUCCAGUUCAACGUAAUAGUCUUCUUUGAACUUACUCAUUCUCAUGUUCAGAUUUUAUUACCAAACUUGGUAUUUAGUUCCAUGCCUAGUUUUUAGUUCAAAAGUUAUUAUCUUUUACCAUUGCAUAUUUAGUCGCAUGUUCACGAUAGAGUUCAGUUAUGUAUUCACGCAUCAAUUAUUCGUGAUCUACUUAUCCAUACUUUCAGUUAUGUAUUCAUGUAUCAGCUCAUCCAUAUAACCAUGUAUCAGAUAUGCAUGGAUUCAUCUUAUCAAUUAUGCAUUAGAUAUGCAUUCCCAUUUGAGAAACUCAGUUCAUCAGAACACUCAGUCCUUCAUUCAUAAACCAGUUACCCUUGCAUCAGAUGUGCAUAUUCAGCAUAAUAUGCUCAAUUUUCAGUCAUUUCAGCCAUGAACCCAUGUCUCAGUAGUGAAUGUCUUGUACGUACUCCAGUUUAUCAUUUUCCCCCUCUCAGUCAGUCUCAUUCGAGGAUGAAUGUUCCCAAGGGGGAGAUAUUGUAAUACCCCACAAAAUCACAUGUCAAAUUCAGCUCGUAAAGCUCCAUGAAAGAUCCCAAGACUUAAAAAAUUUUGUUAAGUGUUCAAGAUUAAACACUUAAUCUUAUUUUAGACCUCCAAACUUUGGGGAUUUAUUUGGAGACCUUCCUGACGUCCGUUUUUCAAUUUUCAAGUUAAGUAAUGAAACUACAUUAUGUUAGCAUGUAUAUAAGUUCAUGCCAUGAAAGUGAAAUUAAAAUUGUAAAAUUAUGAUAUGUUAGGAUACAUCCCUAUUCAUGUACAAGAUUAUGAUUAUCAAGUUCUUUCAUGAAAUCCCCAAGUUAUGGUUUUAUGAAUUGCAGACUUUAGUCCUAUGAUCAAGAAUUUUCAUGAUGUGUCAGUUUCCUUCCAUCGAGUCUUGGGGGUACUUGUACCCAAAAAAUAUAGCUGGGUGCCUAGGGCCAUGUCAUGUUUUCACGAUACUCUCAGUCAAGCCAUGUUUAGUAGACUUCAGUCAGUCUCAUGACUCAGGAAAACUCAUGUAAAGGCAGUAUCAGUUCAGUUUUACUCGGUACUUAGUAAUCUACGUAAUCUCAGUAAUAUUCCGUCAGUCUAUGGAAUUCAAUAAAUCUUAAUAUCAGUACAUUUUAGUUCAGUAUUUAGUUCAGACAUCAGUAAGCUCAGUCAGCUAACAGAACUCAGUAACAUUUAGUCAGUUAACAGAAUUUAGUAGUGUUCCACUAAUCAUCGGAACUCAAUAAACUUAGUCCAUGUUUAUUUCAGUUAAACAGAACAAUUAGUAACAAUUCAGUUAAUUCUAGUAUAAACUAGGAAAUCAGUUUAAUAAUCAAUUCAGUGUCAUUCAGUUGGGAGUAGGAUUCAGCAUCGAGCGAACCCAAGGAUGGGAACUCACCUGCCAAUAGAGGGUGUGAUUCUUAGAAGCAGUCCUUGCAUUCCAGAACUAUGUAUCCAACAUAGAUUUAGACAUCAAUACCUGUCAGUUGAAGGUAGAUAAGGUGGCUUAACUUGUCAGAUAAGGGUUCCCAGUAUUCACAUUAGAGUACCUGCCAGAUGAGGGUCACUCACAGCUUGUCCUUACCAGUGGUGCGGUAUUGACACCCUUCCAAUCACGGCAGAGAUUGGAACCCAGCUUAGAUAUUAUAGUGUAUUUGGGGCAUAUCGGUUAGAUAACUACUUCUCACAGUUUCAAUAUCAGUCUCAGUAAAAGAACUCAGAUAGUUCUUCAGGAUAUCAGGACUAACAAAUACAAUCAACUCAGAUACAGUACGAAACUCAGUUAGUUCCAUCAGAUUCAGGAUUAUCAGAUACAGUUAUUCAUGCUAUCAGUUAUCAAAACUCAUGUUAUCAGAUAUAUCAGUUAUUAGAAUUUAGUUAUCAGUCAUGAUACGUUAUCAGUAAAUAUAUGUCAUCAGUAUUCAUACUCAGUAGUCAUGUUAUCACGAGCUCAAUUUCAGGACUGUUAUAUAUGGUUAAUCAAAUCAGUUCUUCAUAAUUAGAACUAUCAGAAACAAUCAUUUCUUUAUCAGUAAUAUAGUAUCAGUCUCCCAGUAUUUAGUAAUAUAGUAUCAGUUCCUCACUUAUUAGUGAAUUACAUAUUAAUAUCAGUAAACUCAGUCAUUCAGUAUCUCAACAUCAGUAAACUUAUGUUGUCAGUAUUCAGACUUAGUAGUCAGUAUCACAAUGAGUUUAGUUCAGUUAUAUAUGUGUGUAUGUAUUCUCACGUUCAUAUCAGUCAGCAUUGCUCAUGCAUAUAAAACCCUUUGCAUUUAGCCUACCUAACUCGUAUACUCAUUACAUUCAGUUGUACUGACGCAUUCAGGCUAUGGUAUUUUAUUUGAUGCCAUAGGUACUGAGGCACGAGUUUCAGAGCAGCAGUAGCAUUGCACAGUCAGUGCUCCUCUUCAUUCGAGGACAAUAUUAUUAUUACUUUAUUACAGUAUUUUAGAUUAGUUUUUCAGUUCAUCGAGUUAGUUGGAGACAUUUUCCUUCAACUCCUUAUUCAGUUCAAUUAGAGACUUUCAGACUAAAUGUCAGAUUAGAUGUCAUCGAGUUAGUUGGAGACAUUUUCCUUCAACUCCUUAUUCAGUUCAAUUAGAGACUUUCAGACUAGAUGUCAGAUUAGAUGUUCAGACUUCAGUAUUUAUGUUUUUUUUGGUAUUGUUAUACCAUGUUUUUCAGAUAUGUAUCAAUAUUUAACCUUAUGGCCUUACAGUUCAUGUUUCUGCAUAUUUUAUGAGAUAUUAUGCAGUUUAUAGGUACAGAUAUCAAUCAUGGGUUAGCUUGUGGUCCUUCGGGGUUAUGAGCACCGUGUAGCAUUUCGGUUCAGAAAAUCUGCGCGUUACAUGUCCUUUGGGCUAACAAAUGCCCCAGCAGCAUUUAUGGACCUCAUGAAUCGGGUGUUCAAACAGUACUUGGAUAUGUUUGUUAUUAUGUUCAUAGAUGAUAUUCUUGUAUACUCCCAAAGUGAGAACGACCAUGCAGAUCAUCUCCAAAUAGUCUUGCAAACCCUUAGAGAUCAUUAACUAUUUGCCAAAUUUAGCAAGUGCGAAUUUUAGCUAAGGUUAGUUACUUUUUUGGGUCAUAUUUUUUCUUCUGAAGGUAUUUGAGUUGACCCUCAAAAGAUAAAAGCUGUGAAAAAUUAGCCUAGACCUAUUUCCUCAACUAAUAUUAGGAGUUUCUUGGGUCUAGCUGGCUAUUACCGUUGUUUUGUUGAGGGUUUCUCUUCCAUUGCAUCUCCUUUAAAUCGUUUGACCCAAAAGAAAAUUAAAUUCCUAUGGUCUGAGUCUUGCGAGAAGAGUUUUCAGGAGUUGAAGACUCGACUCACUUCGGCCCUUGUGUUGACCCUUCCAAAUGGUGUAGAUGAUUUUAUGGUAUACUGUGAUGCUUCUAGAGUUGUGUUGGGUUGCAUGUUGAUGCAGAAAGGUAAGGUUAUAGCCUAUGCCUCCAGACAGGUGAAACCGCAUGAGAAGAACUACCCUACCCAUGACCUUGAGUUAGCUGCAAAGGUUUUUGCCUUGAAAAUCUGGAGACACUAUUUGUACGGUAUUUAUGUUGAUGUCUUUACGAAUCACAAGAGUUUGCAGUAUGUGUUUACUCAGAGAGAUUUGAAUCUUCGUCAGAGGCGAUGGUUAGAAUUGUUAAAGGACUAUGAUAUGAAUAUGCUGUAUCACCCAAGCAAGGCCAAUGCAGUGGCAGAUGCCCUUAGCAGGUCGUCCAUGGGUAGUGUAGCACAGGUCGAGGAAGAUAGGAAGGAGUUAGCUCAUAAGGUGCAUUGUCUGUCUAGGUUGGGAGUUAGAUUGCUUGAUUCAGAUGAGGGUAAUGUUUGGGUCCAGAGUAGUUUCCAGUCUUCUCUAGUUUCGAAAGUAAAGGAGAAGCAAGAUAUGAAUACUAGUUUGGUCAGACUGAAGGAGUCAGUUAAAGACCAAAAGGUGGAGGGUUUAUCCCAAGGGGGAGAUAUUGUAUUCAGAUUUCAACCUGAUGUUGAAGAUUUAAGGCAGAGAAUUAUGGAUGAAGUGCAUGGCGCGUGAUAUUCUAUUCAUCCCGGUGCUACCAAGAUGUACCGCAAUUUGCGAGAAAUCUAUUGGUGGAAUGGUAUGAAAAAGGAUAUAGCAAAAUUUGUAGAGAAGUGUACAACUUGCCAAUAGGUUAAGAUAGAACACCAAAGACCCGGUGGAAUGAUGCAACAAUUUAGUAUUCCUACUUGGAAGUGGGAGAAAGUAAAUAUGGAUUUUGUGACUAGUUUACCUCCUUCUCAAUGUCAUCAUGAUUCUAUUUGGGUCGUUGUAGACAGGUUGACUAAGUCCGCACAUUUCUUGCCAGUGCAUACAUCUUUUACCAAUGAGGACUAUGCUAAGCUGUACAUUCGAGAGUUAGUCAGGUUGGAUGGAGUUCCUUUGUCUAUUAUCUCCUAUAGGGGUACUCAAUUUACUUCUCAUUUUUGGAGGGCUUUUUAGAAGGGUCUUGGUACCCAAGUUUAUCUUAGCUCCGCUUUUCAUCCGCAGACUGAUGGUCAGGCAGAGAGGACCAUCCAGACCUUGGAGGAUAUGUUGAGGGCAUGUGUUCUUGAUUUCAAAGGAAGUUGGGAUGAACAUUUGCCAUUGAUUGAAUUUGCUUACAACAAUAGUUUUCAUGCUAGCAUUGGAAUGGCUCUAUUUGAGGCUUUAUACGGAAGGUGAUGUAGAUCACCCAUAGGUUGGUUUGAAGUGGGUGAAGCCACUGUGAGUGGACCUGAUACUGUGUUUGAGGCUAUGGAGAAAGUUAAGCUGAUUUGGGAAAGGUUGAAGACAACCCAGAGUUGUCAGAAGUCAUAUGCAGAUCUGAGAAAAAGAGCUCUUGAGUUUAAGGUUAACGAUCUACUGUACUUGAAGAUUUCACCCAUGAAGGGGGUGAAAAGAUUUGGUAAGAAACGGAAGCUUAGUCCCUGAUACAUUAGCCCUUAUAGAGUUUUGAAUCAUGUUGGGAAAGCAACUUACGAGAUUGAAUUGCCUAUCGAGUUGUCAGUUGUCCAUCCUAUCUUUCACGUUUCUAUGCUCAAGAAGCACAUUGGUGAUUCUAUUGUUGUUGAUCUGUCAGAAAGUUUUAAUGUUUAGGAUAGCCUUUCGUAUGAUGAAAUUCCGGUUGAAAUCCUAGAUUAUUAAGUUCGUAGACUAAGAAAUAAGGAAGUUCCCUUGGUCAAAGUUCUAUGGCGAAAUCAAUCAGUCGAGGAUGCUACUUGGGAAGCAAAAGUAGAUAUACAAACCAGAUACCCUCAUCUCUUCUCCGCGAGUUCAAAUGAUGCCAAAGGUACUAUUCUUCCCUAAUCCAGUUUCCUUCUAAUCCAGUGUAUUCAGCUAUAUGGUUAUUCUCUCUAUGAUUCAUGUAUUUUGUGAAGCACUCGAAAGUUUAGAAUGAAGUAAGCCCUUUUAGUGAGUCGUUCCAGCUAUACGUCCUUAUUUUAUCUUAUUCUUGGCCUAUCUGGCCACAUUUGAGGAUGAGUGUUUCUAAGGGGGAGAUAUUGUAAUACCCUGAGACUCUAACCACUAGUGUAAUCGUGAAUCAAGCUCAUGAGAAAUAAAUUAUAAUGUUUUGGGUUGUUUUCUGAUCAAGGAUGGUGUGUAUUAAGUCCUUAAAGAUGUCCUAACGAUUGGGUGAAUUAAAACAUUCCUUACCGAUUGAAUUCUUGGGAAGGAUAUUGGUAUAGUCAACUUCAAAUGAGCGUAUCUCUCAUUAUACUUGGAAUUUUUGCGCUCAUGACCUAUCAACAGAUAAUUUCUCCAAAAUUCGAUACCGGAGCAAAGAGUUAUACCCAUUUUACUCCAGCAUGUCUAUCUGGAAAAGGGUGAUGACAUUUUUGAUGGCCUGUCACGUUUCUGACGAUAUUUCUGAUGAUAUCGUCACGUUUCUGAUGACAUUUCUGAAGACAUCGUCAUCCUUUGGCAGAAAAUCAUAAAAAUUCGACCCUUUUGUGACGACAUUUCGUGACUACCUAUCACGGGUCUGACGGCCUAUCACGAAUGUCAUCAACUAUUUUUUUUCACCAGUUUAGAGACGUUUUUUCAAGGGUAUUUUAGUCUUUUCCCAUCUUUUGGAGGCCUCUAUAAAUAUGAGAAUCCCAUUCAAACCCUAAUUCCAUCAUUUUCUCAUCCAAUUCUCUUGAGAUAAUAUAUCUAGGGUUAUAUCAAGAACAUAAAUCUUCCAAGAAUCAUCCAUAAAUCUUCAAAAUUUCUUCAAGAACCAAGUUCCUCAUAGUGUGGGCUUCAAGAAUUAUUUAUUUCAAGUGUGGAUAAAGUCUCAAGCACUAAAGUUCAUCCAAUUUCAAAGAUUAAGGUAUGUGGGGUUUUGAACAAGAACACUUCUUUCGUUCUUGUGCCCAAAGAUUUACUUUCUAUUGAAUUUCAUGAAUUUUGAAAAGUGGGUUUACACCCAAAUUACUUUAUCAAGGAUUUAUGAGAUUUGAGCUAUACAAGAUUGACACGUAUGACUACUUCAUUGUCUUAUUUCUUAAAAUAAGAAUUUAUGUCAUGAGUUGUAUAUUGUUAUCAUGAAAUAAUAAUUUCUAAGUGAUUUAUGAUAAGCAUCAUGAUUUACGUUUUUCAAUGAGAAGUUUGUCUAUUGAAUAUAUAUUGAUAUUGAGCCUGAGAGUCAAGAACGAGUUCUAUGAUGUUUUCUGGAAGAUUUGAUACUUGAUAUGAUUUAAUAAGCAAGUGUAUUUGAUGAUGAGAAAGGUUAUUUUGAGAUUUAGUCGAGUUAGGAAUCCACAAGUUGAUUAUGAUUUACAAGUGAGAUAUAUGUUUAUAUUUUGGUCUUCAUGAUAGACCCUUGAGUUGAUUAAGGUGGAUUUUCUAACGCGUUCUGAGCUUAAGUCUGGGAGUAGUAUUUAGCACCAAGCGGGAAGUAUGGGUUCAGCGCAUUCUACUUCCCCAGAACUACGUGCCAUCGUAGGAUUAAGAUUAAGGGCCAAACGCCAAGACAGUUAUUACUAAAGUUAAGGUUCUACUCCCCUGAAUACUAUAACUUUAGGUAUGCAACCCUUUCUAGGACUUCAUCCUAAGAUACUUAUCUUAGCAUUCUCUAAACUUUGUAGACAUCAUUUUAUAAUUUAUGCUCUCAUUGGUAUACACAACCACUUCUUCUAUACCUGAUCUUCCCUUCUUAAUCUACUAACAUCACACCCCUAAAUUCUUAUCCACCCACUCCAAUGGAAAUUAAAAUUGAACGAAAAGGCUCAACAUCGUCCAUUUAUAAUACUCUCAAUUCAGCUCUCAAGAGCUCCCCAUACUAGAUAACUAGGCUUCUCCACACUUAGAAACUCAAGGGUACUAACUAGGAUCUCAUAGCACAAAAUAACUUAGAAUCUUAUAUAAUAACAUACUAUCUUGGGUGCACCUUUAUUUUCAUAUAACUUAAGGCCCUUCUUUAUCUAAGGACUUAGCUACAAUUCACUGUUUCACUUCUAUUCCACAUAUGUAUUAUUUUUUUUGCAGAUUCACACUAUUCCUAAAUUAUCAAACUUAAGCUCUUCAACACACAAAAAUCAAGCCUACCAGAUCGAUUUUCCAAAACUAGUGCUAUCACCCUUUUACCGCCAUUCAUUAAUCAUUGUGGUUGUCUAAAGCUCAAGCUUAGUGUCUACUAAACAUGGAUAGAAACACUAUCUAAUAAUACUAAUUUGAACUGUAUCUUAUAAAAAAAAUCAAGAACCACUAGUCUAUUCAGGUAUCAUGACAACAUUGCCAAUCUAAAUCAGACCAUUUAUCUCAUAGCCUACAAACACAUUCUCCUUCACAACAUUACAUCAUUCCUUACUAACAUAAACUUAAGCAAUAAUAAACUUCUUUCUUAAACAAAGUAUACUCCAUGUCGUCUUAACCAACCAUUCUUCCUUUAUUAACUAUCGUAAAAUUUUGCGAGUCUUGAUACAUCCUAGCCAACACCAAAUGACAUUCCAUCCCAUUUCUUGCUUAAUAAAUACAACCCUUGCUACAUACUCCAAUUACUCGCUAUCCUCACUUUUCGUCUUCUACUCUGAUGACUUCAUAUUUUCGAACUUGAGAUUAUACUACUACUUAUGGCAUACCACAAAACAUCCCAAAUAGUAAUAUCUCUCGGGUGACAACACUAUCCAAGAGUCUAGACACACUCUUCCACCUAUUAAAGGUGUCAUCUGGAAUAAGUCUUUGUAGAAGGCAUGUGAGAACAAUCUUACUAUAGCUCAAAUGCACGAUUUGUACGAAUAAGAUUGUAAGUUUUUUUUUUUUUUUGAAUUUAUAGACUCAAAUAGACUAAUGGGCUACUAAAAAGCCCUUGUGCGGUCAGUUGAUAAGGGUAUGAUUUUCAUAACUCCUACUACCUUAAAGAUGAGGAUAAGAUAGCGAAAUGUGAGAAAUGCACGAAUUUGAGUAAGUUUUUUUUUUGGGACCAUUUUAUUGCAUCGUCUAGAAUAUUAAAGAACGGAAAAGUUCUCCUAAAUGGCAGUAGCCUCCUUAUUAUAAGUUUGGCGCACUACACACUUAUGAAAAGGACUCUACUAGUCACGGCUUCAUAGACACCCUAGGACACUUGAACUUUGUGCGUUGAUACCAAGUUUGUCCCGUCCCGAGGCGAGGCCCUACACGUGGGACGCAUCCGAUACUAUUGCUAGUACAAGCGAACGUUUUGAUGUAUCACAUGAGCAUACAAAUAACAUAAUGAAUAAAGAGGAAAAAGAAUAUAAUAAGAUUUCUUAAAGGUUAAGACUUUUAUCAAUGUUCAUUAAUAUCACUUAACGUCUGAAGAUACAAUAGUCAUGACAAAUAGUACUAAAAAUUGCAAGAUCUGUCUGGCAAUUAAAUCAGUCUGCGAAGCCUCUAAUAAGUACCAAUACUAAAAGAAAAGAAAAUAUAAUGAAGUCAUCAUAUCCGUCCAACCUCCAAAUAGGAAAGAGGCUCACCAAUAGAAGAAGAUAGAGAACCUAAUGAGGCGCCUGACCACGGACAUGAGAGCCAGAACCUACAUCAUGAAACGAUGUAGCACCAAAGGCGGUCAAUCCGUAGAAUGUAUUGGUAUGCAAAGCCAUUUCAGGAGGGUAGUACAUCAAGAGAUUAGAAAUGACAAUAAAAUUCAAACGUAACUGAGGACAAAUGGAAAGAAACAAGAAUAUAAACUAAAUUUCUAAUUGACCUAAUAAGGUAGAUUUAAUUUCUUUGAUUAUUUGUGGGAGAAAGUAGUAAACCGUCAUAAACCACCAUGUGAGCGCAUGGAUCCUGAUCUCGGUCCGAUCAGCUAAGCCUUCCUAUACCUUUCCGGGCAUAGGACGUGACAUGACAUAAUUUGCUAACAAUUAUCCGUGGUUAUCCUCUUUCCGGGACACAUAAAAAAAGAGUCAUCCACUUGCGAAAUGAUCUCUAUCCUAUGUCGGCAAGCAUAGUUUCAGGCAUUUGUCAUUUAGACCUAUGCCUUCGCGGUCAGCUAACUAACUUCCUUAUGCUCAAAAUGUUAUCUUACCGAUUCAUGUUCAUAGAUUAGCCAUAUUAGGCUCAUAUUCAUGGUUUAGCCACUUUAGGGCUCAUGCCUGAGAAUUAACCAGCUUGGGUUCAUAUUUGAGAUUAAGCUACCAUAGACUCAUAAUCAAGUAUUAUCAUCACUAGGACUGAUGGUAGGUAGAAUCAUAAUUCAUUAAGUCAAAUUAAUUCAUCAGUGAAGGGUUUUCGUAACUUUAUCAGGAGUGAGCCUUUGGAAUGUACAUGUUGUUUUUAGCAUAGCUUAUGGGUUUGGAGAUCAAAUCUUAAGGUAAUAAAGACUUUCAUGAAUUAAUUCGUAGAGCUAGAAGUCAUACGGAUUGUGUCAUUUUGUGUCGUGGUUCAUAAGAGAGGUAUUUUAUGAUAUUAUGGAGAUCAUGGAAAAUUCAAAACAUUUUAGCAUUGUUAUUUUCGCUGAUUUGUGACAAACGUGCUAGCUUUACUAGGCUCAUGUUAAUAUUUUAGCUUUUUUGUCGGAUCACAUUGGAAUUCAACAACUUUGGUUUCAUACAUCAUGAACUAACACUCAGUAUCGUUUGGUGAGUCAUUGAAAGUAGCGUCUUGCAACAUCAUUAUUACAAUAUUCCAAGUCAUAACUUCCAUAGCACUUAAUGGAACUAAAGAGGAAAUUGAGGGAAUCUGGUUGAGCUUCAUGGAUCACGGUUCAUAUGAAAACAAUAGGAUUUUCCAGUAUGAUGUCUUCUUAGAAACAGAAUUAAAAAUUCACAGUAUUUAGUUAAAAGAAAAGCAACAAGCUAGCCAAAUGGGGAACAGAUGUUAAUUUGGAGUGUGUUGCAUAUGUCAUAACCAUCCAGAAUCGAGAUACCAUCUAUUUAUGAUUGUAUCUUUGCAAGAAUAGUGAAUGACAGUUUACUUCUAUGGAAACUUAAACAAAAUAUCUACAACUACUACCUGGAAACAAACAUUUGAAAUGGACAGUCCAAAAUGCCAAAGUCAGAACACAACAAGCCCAAAUAUUUAGAACAGUGUAUGCUGAGUAUGUGAAUGCCGUAUGGAUCGAAAGAAAUCAUAUGUUCUUUCGAAAGGAUAGCAAGAGACUGGGAAGUUUUAAUUUACCAAAUAAAAUACCUAUAUGUGCUGUGUGACAUCAAAUUAUAGGGUGCAAAACUAGUUACAGUGGUCUAUGCUAGGCUAGAAUAUGAAGAUUGAUUCAAAGGCUAGUAGUAUGGUUUAGCUUUGCUUGAUUCUGUUUCGAGAUAGCAAGGAGUGUUAAUUGGCUAUGGAUUUAUAACUCUUGCAACAACUUGUAGAAUAAAUAUAAUUCACGUAAUAUCGAGUAUCCAUAGAAAAGAUUAAUGCACCAAAAUGUUUUUUUUUUUUUAAAAAAACUUUCCAGGUAACUUGAGACAGGGGACUCGAUUAAUGGACUUAGAUUUUUAAAACUCCUUCCACCAUCAUUAUUUUGAAAGUAAUCACAAUUUGAGGAGAAAUAAAACCAAGAGAAAACAUAAAAGAAGUAAUCUUACAUAUCUCAAAAUGUUAGAGAAGUUAGUUAACGGAAGGGACGAAACCAAGAUUGAUUCUUGAGCCAAUUCUCUUGGAUUUCCUUUUUUUUUGAUUGAAUUUGAGAGGAAAGCUGGAUUUCUGGAUGAUGAAAUAGUUUGUAUAACUGUUGGAGAAAUUGCAGUUUUUUUUGUUGUGUGUAAUUGAGGAAGGCAGAGAGAUUGUAAUUGAUAGAGUUUUUAAUGUGAGUAAGUGAGGCAAAGAGAGAUUGUAACUGAUGGAAAAAGAAAGAACUUCUAUCUGCUGAAAUAAGGUCUGCCCGAGGAAAAACAAGCAUUUGAAUGUUGAUGAAUUAAAAGGAAUUUAAUCACUUGGGGUAAAGGUAAAAAGGAAAACACGAAUUUUCCCUCGAAGGUACUUCACAAGUUACAGAGUGUGAGAUGUUACGAUAUCUCCCCCUUUGAAUCAUUCGUCCUCGAAUGAAGGUUAUAGACAUAUGAAAAAAACUCUACGCACAAAAACUAGGGAAUGAGACUUAACGCAGACAUGACAAAGGACAUGGGUUUCUAGGGACAUGAACAUAACAACUGAAUCCUUGAAUUCAUUGAAAUCACAGGCAUGAGCCAAAGGGGUAAUUUAGUUAUCUGAUUUGGGUUCACAGAGCAUGAAGGACAUAAUGAAGACUUGGACAUAAGUUCCCUUCGAUAAGAAGUUAUAUGACAUGAAACAAUGGUACAUUACACAUAGGAAUAGGAGCAUUUUCACCUCUAAUAUUGGUAUCCUUAGAUCUUAGCAACACCUUUCGAAGCUACCCCUUUUUCCUCUGAAUACCACACUUCAAUAUUUCCAACUCACAUGGACAUAUACAUAUACUAAAGUCUGAUUCUAAUUACACAUUCUUAACAUAUUCAAGCCUAACUCAGAGGUACAAGAUGCCAUACAUAAAACAAUCAUGCUAGUCAAAAUUUUAAAAUCCAAUAAUCUAUUUCCCCUUUAGGAACAUUCAUCGUUAUUGUUGACUUGAUCUUAGGUUUAUUCUAAAACUCUGGAAGCUCUCGCUUUUAUCUAAAGUUAUCUCUGAGAAUACUACCUUUUUCUCAUUACAAAAACUAUCAUCCUUGUGCUCUGAUUAAGAACUCACAAAUUUCAUCAUGCAUUUACCCAUAUAGGUAUCAACUUGAUAUCCAAGUCUACCACCAUAACCUCUUCGUGGUAUCUUUAAAGUUAACACUAUAUAAAAAGAAAAAUCUUCCUCUUCUUCUCUAGAACCCCUUGACCCACAAUUUCAUGAACCCCUACAGGGAGGCAAACCAUAUGACCUCAUCUUACUAUUACGAAUAUCUAAUCGUCAUCUCACACUUCAUCCAGACUUAUGAUCUUAGAUGGAACCAGUACACCACAGUCAUCAUAACAAGAAACAUCUACUCGCUUCUAUCUAACCAUUACUCAUGCAUUAAUAUCUUUCCACUGCCAUGACAUAAGGAAUGCCACUGAAGGUCUAGAAUAAGAGCACCAGGAAUAGAAGAGAUACUGCUUAUAUAAAAGGAGCAAAUACUUCAUGUACCAAAACACAUAAGGUGUGAAUAAAGAGUCAUUCUGGGCAUGGGGAUAAAGAUUGGUUUCUUAGAACUCAACCUAUCGUAAGCAUGUGUUUUUGGCUCACGAACAACGUAGCGUAGAACCUGGACUUCCAGAACCUUAGAGUUAUAUUAGGAUCAUGGUGUUAAGUUAUUGUUUCCUAUUCUAGGGUUAGAACAUGGACAUGACUUUGCACAUAAAAAUUUGGAUCUUAGACACAAGCAUGACAUGAAUGCAUAACUCAUGGAUAGAGUGUCAUCUUGGCUGAAGUCAUGAAAUACACUAGAAUAAGAUUGAAUGGUAGUGAAACUCGUCAUCUCUCUUUUCUAAAAACCCUUACUAUCUGCAUCUCAAGACCCAUUUUUUUUUGCCCUAUCAUCUUUCCCUUAGGUAAAAGUCGAUAUUUAAAGUAUGCAAACCUAUUCUCAAAUCUAAGCUAUCAUCACCUUAUUCCCCUGAAUACUAUAUCUUUAGGUACGCAACCCUUGCUAGGAUUUCAUCCUAAGAUACUUAUCUUAACAUUCUCUAAACUUCGUAGACAUCAUUUUAUAUUUUAUGCUCUCAUUGGUAUACACAACCACUUCUUCUAUACCUGAUCUUCCCUACUUAAUCUACUAACAUCACACCCCUAAAUUCUUAUCCACCCACUCCAAUGGAAAUUAAAAUUGAACGAAAAGGCUCAACAUCAUCCAUUUAUAAUACUCUCAAUUCAGCUCUCAAGAGCUCCCCAUAAUAGAUAACUAGGCUUCUCCACACUUAGAAACUCAAGGGUACCAACUAGGAUCACAUAGCACAAAAUAACUUAGAAUCGUAUAUAAUAAAAUACUAUCUCGGGUGCACCUUUAUUUUCAUAUAACUUAAGGCCCUUCUUUAUCUAAGGGCUUAGCUACAAUUCACUGUUUCACUUCUAUUCCACAUAUGUAUUAUUUUUUUGCAGAUUCACACUAUUCCUAAAUUAUCAAACUUAAGCUCUUCAACACACAAAAAAUCAAGCCUACCAGAUCGAUUUUCCAAAACUAGUGCUAUCACCCUUAUACCGCCAUUCAUUCAUCAUUGUGGUUUUCUAAAGCUCAAGCUUAGUAUCUACUAAACAUGGAUGACAACACUAUCUAAUAAUACUAAUUCGAACUGUAUCUUAUAAAAAAACUCAAGAACCACUAGUCUAUUCAGGUAUCAUGACAACAUAGCCAAUCUAAAUCACACCAUUUAUCUCAUAGCCUACAAACACAUUCUCCUUCACAACAUUACUAUCAUUCCUUACUAACAUAAACUUAAGCAAUAACAAACUUCUUAGUUAAACAAAGUAUACUCCAAGUCGUCUUAACCAACCAUUCUUCCUUUAUUAACUAUCAUAAAAUUUUGCAAGUCUUGAUACACCCUAGCCAACACCAAAGGACAUUCCAUCCCAUUUCUUGCUUAAUAAAUACAACUCUUGCUACAUACUCCUAUCAAUCGCUAUCCUUACUUUUCGUUAUCUACUCUGAUGGCUUCAUAUUUUCGAACUUGAGAUUAUACUACUACUUAUGGCAUACCACGAAACAUCCCAAAUAGCAAUAUCUCUUGGGUGACAACACUAUCCAAGAGUCUAGACACACUCUUCCCUCUGUUAAAGGUGUCAUUUGGAAUAAGUCUUUCCAGAAGGCCUGGGAGAACAAUCUUACUAUAGCUCAAAAGCACAAUUUAUAAGAAUAAGAUUGUAAGUUUUUUUUUUUUUUUGAAUUUAUAGACUCAAAUAGACUAAUGGGCUACUAAAAAGCCCUUGUGCGGUCAGUUGAUAAGGAUAUGAGUUUCAUAACUCCUACUACCUUAAAGAUGAGGAUAGGAUAGCGAAAUGUGAGAAACGCAUGAAUUUGUGUAAGUUUUUUUUUUCUUUUUUGGUGCCAUUUUGUCGCACGGUCUAGAAUAUGAAAGAACGGAAAAGUUUUCCUAAAUGGCCAGUAGCCUCCUCAUUAUAAGUGUGGCGCUCUACACACUCAUAAAAAGGACCAUACUAGGCACGGUUUCAUAGAUAGCCUAGGACACUUGAACUCUGUGCUUUGAUACCAAGUUUGUCACGCCCCGAGCUGAGGCCCUAGACGUGGCACGCACCCAAUACUAUUGCAAGUACGAGCAAACAUUUUGGCAUAUCAUAUGAGCAUACAGAUAACAUAAUGAAUAAAGAGGAAACAGAAUAGAAUAAGAUUUCUUAAAGGAUAAGUCUUUCAUCAAUGUUCAUUAAUAUCACUUAACGUCUGAAGAUACCCUAGUCAUGGGAAAUAAUACUAAAAAUUGCAUCUGCAAAGCCUCUAAUAAGUACCAAUACUAAAAGAAAAGAAAAUAUAAUGAAGUCAUCAUAUCUCGUUUAACCUCCUAAUAGGAAAGAGGCUCACCAUUAGCAGAAGAUAGAGAUCCUAAUGAGGCGCCUGACCGCGGACAUGAGAGCCAGAACCUACAUCAUGAAAUGAGGUAGCGCCAAAGGCGGUCAAUACGUGGAAUUUAUUGGUAUGCAAAACCAUUUCAGGAGGGUAGUACAUCAAGAGAUUAGAAAUGACAAUAAAGUUCAAACGUAAAAGAGGACAACUGGAAAGGAACAAGAAUAUAAACUAAAUUUAUAAUUGACCAAAUAAGGUAGAUUUAAUUUCUUUGAUUAUUUGUGGGAGAAAGUAGUGAACUGUCAUAAACAACCAUGGGAGCGCAUGGAGUCUGAUCUCGGCCCGAUCAGCUUAUGUUAAUAUUUUAGCCUUUUUGUGGGAUCACAUUGGAAUUCAACAACUUUGGUUUCACACAUCAUGAACUAACGCUCAGUAUUGUUUGGUGAGUCAUUGAAGGCAACGUCUUGCAACAUCAUUAUUACAAUAUUCUAAGUCAUAACUUCCAUAACUCUAAAUGGAACUAAAGAGGAAAUUGAGGGAAUCUGGUUGAGCUUCAUGGAUCACGGUUCAUAUGAAAACAAUAGGAGUUUCCAGUAUGAUGUCUUCUUAGAAACAUAAUUAAAAAUUCACAGUAUUUUGUUAAGAGAAAAGCAACAGGCUAGCCAAAUGGGGAACAACUGUUAAUUUGGAGUGUGUUGCAUAUGUCAUAACCAUCCAUAAUCGAGAUACCAUCUAUUUAUGAUUGUAACUUUGCAAGAACAGUGAAUGACAGCUUACUUCUAUGGAAACUUAAACAAAAUAUCUACAACUACUACUUGGAAACAAACAUUUGAAAUGGACAGUCCAAAAUGCCAAAGGCAGAACACAACAAGACCAAAUAUUUAGAACAGUUAAUGCAGAGUAUGUGAAUUCCAUAUGGAUCGAAAGAAAUCAUAUGUUCUUCGAAAGGAUAGCUAGAUACUGGGAAGUUUUAAUUUUCCAAAGAAAAUGCCUAUAUGUGCUGUGUGAGAUCAAAUUAUAGGGUGCAAAACUAGUUACAGUGUGCUAUGCUAGGCUAGAAUAUGAGGAUUGAUUCAAAGGCUAGUAGUAUGGUUUAGCUUUGCUUGAUUCUAUUUCGAGAUAGCCAGGAGUGUUAAUUGGCUAUGGAUUUAUAACUCUUGCAACAACUUGUUUAAUAAAUAUAAUUGACAUAAUAUCGAGUAUCCAUAGAAAAGAUUAAUGGACCAAGAUGUUUUUUAUUUAAAAAAAAACUUUCCAGGUAACUUGAGACAGGAGACUCGAUUAAUGGACUAAGAUUUUUAAAACUCCUUCCACCAUCAUUAUUUUGAAAGUAAUCAUAAUUAGAGGUGAAAUAAAACAAAGAGAAAACAUAAAAGAAAUAAUCUUACAUACCUCAAAAUGUUAGAGAAGUUAGUUACCGGAAGGGACAAAAACAAGAUUGAUUCUUGAGCCAAUUCUCUUGGAUUUCCUUUUUUUUUUUGAUUGAAUUUGAGAGGAAACCCUGAUUUAUGGAUGAUAAAAUAGUUUGUAUAACUGUUGGAGAAAUUGCAGUUUUUUUUAAUUGUGUUUAAUUGAGGAAGGCAGAGAGAUUGUAAUUGAUGGAGUUUUUAAUGUGAGUAAGUGAGGCAAAGAGAGAUUGUAACUGAUGGAAAAAUAAAGAACCUCUAUCUGCUGAAAUAAGGUCUUCCGGAGGAAAAACAAGCAUUUGAAUAUUGAUGAAUAAAAAGGAAUUUAAUCACUUGGGGUAAAGGUAAAAAGGAAAAUACGAAUUUUCCCUUCAAGGUACUUCACAAGUUACUGAGUGUGAGAUGUUACAAUAUCUUCCCCUUUGAAACAUUCAUCCUCGAAUGAAGGUUAUAGACAUAUGAAAAAAAAUACUCUAUGCGCAAAAACUAGGGAAUGAGACUUAAGGCAGACAUGACAUAGGACAUGGGUUUCUAGGGACAUGAAAAUAACAACUUAAGCGUUGAAUUCAUUGAAAUCACAGGCAUGAGCCAAAGGGGUAUUUUAGUUAUCUAAUUUGGGUUCACAGAGCAUGAAGGACAUAAUGAAGACUUGGACAUAAGUUCCCUUUGAUAAGAAGUUAUAUGACAUGAAACAGUGGUACAUUACACAUAGGAAUAGGAGCAUUUUCACCUCUAAUAUUGGUAUCCUUAGAUCUUAGCAACACCUUUUGAAGCUACCCCUUUUUUCUCUAAAUACCACACUUCAAUAUUUCCAACUCACAUGGACAUAUACAUAUACUAAAGUCUGAUUCUAAUUACACAUUCUUAACAUAUUCAAGCCUAACUCAGAGGUACAAGAUUCCACACCUAAAACAAUCAUGCUACUCUAAAUUUUUAAAUCCUAUAAUCUAUUUCCCCUUUAGGAACAUUCAUCUUUAUUGUUGACUUGAUCUUAGGUUUGUUCUAAAACUCAGGAAGCUCUCGCUUUUAUCUAAAGUUAUCUCUGACAAUACUACCUUUUUCUUAUUGCAAAAACUAUCAUCCUCGUGCUCUGAUUAAGAACUCACAAAUUUAAUUAUGCAUUUACCCAUAUAGGUAUCAACUUGAUAUCCAAGUCUACCACCAUAACCACUUCGUGGUAUCUUUAAAGUUAACACUAUAUAAAAAGAAAAAUUUUCCUAGUCUUCCCUAGAACCCCUUGACUGACAUCUUCAUGAACUCCUACUGGGAGGCAAACCAUAUGACCUCAUCUUACUACGUAGACACCUAAUUUCGUCCCUCCCCGAUAUCGUUUUUACCCAUUUUUUACUUUAUCCUACCGUGUACCCUCACCCAUGUAAUUAUAAUCCACAAAAAUACAAAAUAACAAAAAUUCAAUAAAUCCCUAACCUUAUCCUAACAAACUUUAUCCUAUACCCUACCCUACCUACCCCACUCACCCCACCCUCACAUUUUUAAUCCUUUUAACCAAUAUACACAAUACACACAAAAAAGAUAUUUUUUUUUGGGGGGGGGGCUUUUUUCUUUCUUCUCCAUUGAUAGACACAUAGGUACAGAGAGGGAGACACUAAUAGAAAGGUAGAGCACACACUCAUUCACCUUCUUCUCUACGGACACACUAACAAAAUAUAAGGAGGAGGAGACCACCUUUAUCACAAAAUCAACACACACCCCUCAUUGAAAAGCUCAACCACAUACCCACAACUCAUGAAAUAGACACUUCCAUCGGAUACACACAUAAUUUGGUCAAUAGAUAGUGAGAUUGAGAGAGAAAUAGUGAUGAAGAACUGAGAUCGGGAGAGGGGUGGUUCAGAGAACACUGUUCCUGCGAUUGUUCGCCGGAAUCAGUCACUAUUUUACCAGAUACAAUCAUCGUUAAUCCAUUGCUCGCUCCUCUCUACAUCGUAAAAUACAAAUCAACUAUCAAGCUAGCCAAAAUCGGCCUGCUUAGCUUGAUUCCAGCAAUAUUGGGGUAGCUCCGGCGACGAGUCCACCGGAAAAAUGACAUCAUUGACUUCUUUCUUCUAAGUUUGACUUGAAAUUGGUUCAUCGUUGCUAUUCUAUUUGAAUUUGCAUCACGUUUUGCUUGUUGGGUAUUCUUCAUAGGUCUUCAUACUGAUUUUGGGAAACUUGAUUACUGGUUUGGAAUUUGGAUCCGUUCGUGUCUAUCUAUUCGCCGCCAUUAGUUUUGGGCUUCGAUUUCUCAAUUACUGAGUUGGAUUAGUCGAACAUGAGGUUAUUCCAUCCGAAAUUCCAAGUUUUAUAUUCUUUAAUAUUAUUACCAACUGAAAUUGAUUAUCGAAAGGUCCAUUUCUUUAGCUCAUUCUCUUUUCUUUAUCGUAACUUGUUGAAUAGCCAUGAUUGUGUGUCGGGUUAUUAUGAUUGUUUGAUGUUGUUGAUGCUAUGACCAUGAUGCUUGUUGAUUCGAUUUUGGUAGUUUGAGGAAUGAAUUUGAUCAUGUUUUAAUGGCAAUUGAUGUAAAAGGAAGAUGAGCGGUGGAAUUGAAAAUUAACAAAAAGGAUAGAUUCGGAUCAAGUUUGAUUGAUUGUUGAAAUGAAAUGUGAUAUUAUUAUGAUACAUUGAAAUGGAGGCCAAUGUAGGUUCGGGUAGGCAAAUUAAGGACUAAGCUUUGUUUGAUUGAAUGUUGAAAAUUUCCUGGAAUGUUUAAAAAAUUGGUGAAUAGUUUGAUUUUGUCGCACUAAAAAUGUAUUCAUUUGGCUGGGAUAUGCCUCAAGGUAUUUGUAUUGAUUUAUUCGGAGAAUUCCCCGAUGUAUCAUAUACGCAAAGGAGGUUCGUGAUCAAGGCCCGGGGCAUCGGGUAAAGAAUCGGAGCAUAGUUUAGGAUUAGUUUAGAAUAGGAUUUAUAUUUUCAUAUUUUUUAUUUUGGAUUGUAUAAUUGGACUGGACACUAAAUUUUGAAUUAUUUUGUUGUGUUUGCUUGCUUGAUUGUUUUUGAGUUCUUUGUGUAGUUUAUGCACUUGUAAUGUCAAAGUUAGCCGAUACGCUCUACCAAGCGAUCGUGGUCGAACCAUGGGAUCGAGGGGUGCCUAACACCUUCCCAUCGGUAAACAGAAUUCCUUAGUCGGAAUCUCUAUUCACGAAUCAGUUUAAAAGAGUCAAAUCUAUUUUGAAAAAGGAUAUCCAAGGGUGACUUGGCAUACCCGAUUUAUGCCAAGUGGCGACUCUGAGUUUUGAAUAUAAAAAGUCCUUUUCGAAAUAAAUCUUCAUUUUGUUACUUCAAUAAUAAAAAUCCUUUCAAACUUCAAACGAAUCUUUUUUGGUUGUAGAAAAAAGAGGUGUGACAGCUCUGACAACUCUGCUGGGGAAAUUUUAGAAUUCGAGCUUAUUUUGGAGUUGUAUCGUCUUAGUUUUGCACUAUAGGUGUAUAGACAUUUUGUUUGUGUUGUUUUGUGUUAUUGUUUAUCAUUGUUGAGGGCCUACGUGCUCUUUGUUUACAGUUUUUACUUUAUGUGUUACCGCUUUAUAUCUGGCAUCAUAUGCAUAACCCGAGUCUUUCUUUCUGCAACAAGUCCGUAGUACAUGUGUGUACACGAGCUAUAGUUGAGUCACCCUUAUUUUAGGAGGGGGAUCCAUUGAGUUGUAUGGAGUAUGUGGACAACUAAAGCAAUCCACUAUCGACCAUACACUCCCCCGAACAGCCUUGUUAGUAAACCCCAGCAUAGGUCAAUCUUCAGGUCAUACUUAUCUGCAUAUUUUGAGACCUAGCGGGACCCACUUUUUUCUUCGUAGGUGACUCACUUCUAAAGCAUCCCUACGUGCUAAAUGUUGUAUCUUCGAGGGUAACAUGGUCAUUUAACGGACUGAUUUGGGGAAAGCAUGUGUUAGAAGUAAAGUGCAUAGGCAAGAAAUGUUGAAAAAAAAUAGAAAAAAGGUGAGUAGAAAAGAAAAAAAGAGAGAGUUUCAUAAUUUUUUAGAGUUCUUUAUGGCUUUUGAUUUUUUUUCACAAUCCAAAAAUUCAAAAGACUUUUUACCUUUUGCACUCAUUUUCUCAAAAAAACAUCAAAAAGAGUUUCCUUUUAUUUCUUUACCAUGCAUUCGUAAUUCAAAAUUUUCAAAUUUUUUUUUAUAGGAGCUUUUUAUAAAAGGAAAAAAAAAAGAUGACAGAAGUUUUGUAUAUUCCAUAUAGCGAUAAUACAAAAAAGAUUUUUUCUCUUUCAUAGUUAUUGGUAUCAGUUUUGUGUGAAGUGUCUAAUUGAAAAUCCAAAAGAUUUUAUUUUCAUCAUCCGUCUGUAACCGCGCCUCUCAAGUCAAGUCUUAGUUCAUUUUAAUCCUUAAUUGUCCAACUCGGAUGAACUACACACCCCUGAUUCUCCUCUUUCGGGAUGUGAGAUACGUAGGCAACCUAUUGUUGGUUUGGGGAUCUUAUUUCAAAACAUUCAAAAAAAUAUUUUCUUCACGCUUCAUUUAGAGUAGGUGUCUAUACAUCAAUAAAAGAAAACUACCUAAAGAUUUUCCUUUAAUAGGUUCAAUUUUCAAUUUCAUAUGAAAUUCGAAAUUGAAAACCCAAGAAGAUUUUCUUUGGUAAUCAUAAGUUUUAUUUUGUAUUGGAAUAUGAAAAAAAAAUCCUAAAAAGAUUUUCUUCACUCUUCAUUUAGAGUAGGUGUGUCAUAUACAUCUUCGAAAAGAAAGCCACAAAAAAGAUUUUCCUUUAAUAGUUUCAAGUUUCAUUUUCAUAUGAAAUUUAGAAUCGAAAAUUCAAAAAGAGAUUUUUCGUCAAUUCUUUUUAUAAUUUCUUAUUUUCUUUUCUUCUUAAAGUUCCAAGAAAAAGAAAAAGAAAAAGAGUUUAAUUGACCAUUUUGGCAAGACUUCACGAACUACACACACCUGAUUCUCCCCUCUAGGAGGUGAGAUACGUAGGAGCCCUUCUUGGGUUCGGUGAUCUUUUCAAAAAAUAAAAGAGAGGUUUUGAAAAAUAUUGAAAUCGAACAUAUUUGUUGCCUCUUUUUUAGUUAGUUUAAGGUGGUUGGUUUGUGGCUUCUUGGCUGGUCCUCCAUAUCACACCAAAUUCAAGGAAGAUUUAGUUGUGUCCAACAAGGAUAUAGAGAGUGGCACCCUGGAUGAAACAAAGAGUCAGGAAAUUGAGAUUUUAAAGGAAGAGAAUUUGAGACUGAGACAACAAAUGAUGAAAAUGUACCGAGCUUAGGCCAGUGGGCUGCCUGCACCUCCAUUCCCUACUUUUGACCCUGCAAAUACCUUGAGUCUUCCACCAAAAUUGCAAAGUCAGUUUUCUACUAUUGUUGAUGCACCACAACAUGCCUCAAAAUCUAUUCCACGUCAAAUGCACCUCAAUACUUCCACCACUCUUUCUUUAUCUCCUCAGUAGAAGUCUACUACAUUCAUAACACCACAUAUCGUCUGUGCUUUUGUUGCUCAACCUCCUACUAAGACUUCCACUUUGGCUAUCAAUCCAACGAUUGUGCUUCCCUAUUCUACUAGUGGAUCCACGUGCAAUACUCUUGAUGAUCAUUGUUAUACUCUUGAGCCUACCGUUAAAUUAAGGGGACCACCAAAAUUUCUUACUAAGAAGCCUAGCAAGCUAUAAGAGCUAGAGAAAGUGGUUGGAAAAGUUAAGAGUGUAGAAAAUGAUUUGAAAAAUUCCCCUGGACUUAUUGGCUAUGAAGAUGUUUCAUAUAAAAACUGGGGCAUGUCUUCAAGUAUUAACCUUCCUCCUAGCUUUGAGACAUCAAAAUUUGGGGAGCCUGAUGGACAGAAGGAAUCUGUGAAACAUUUGGGAUGACAUUGCAAUCAUCCAAGGAAAACUGAAGGAUAGAAGAAGGAAAACACACCUAUUGUCAUGCUAGGGCCAAAGAAGAGUUUGAGAGAUCCAACCCACCAAUACUGUCCUCCUCAAUCCCGAGCUUACACAUUAUAUCCAUAUAACCACUUGCAACAAGGUUUCUUUCUCCAAAAUCCAAGAAAUCCCAUUCCACUUCCUCAAUAUCCUUUGAACAAUGCACAGUUUUAUGCUCAUCUGUCUUCUUAGCCACAAUGGCAUGCACCUAUCCCUCAACAUCGUCCUCGACCCCCACAAAUUUACCAAGGAACCUCUAAAUCCAAGUUUUAUCCGAGGCCAGAUUUUGCAAAGAGGAGGAAGGAAAAGGAUAAUUUCACUCCUAUUAGGGAAUUCUAUGCCAGUUUGUUCCAGAGUUUAAGACAGAACGACAUGAUUACUCAUCUCCUUGGGUAUACACCUAACCCAUAUUCAAGAAAUUUUGACCCUAAUAUACAGUGUGCACAUCAUUCUAAUGUUUAGGGUCACAGUAUUGAAGAUUGUUGUACUUUGAAAAGAGAAAUAGAAAAUAUGAUUAAGAAAGAGUGAUUAUAGUGUAAAACGUUGACAUCUCGAGCAUCCCACAGAGUUCUUCACCAGUAUGCGGUACUGCAAAAUAUGUGGGAGGCAAUAAGUUAACAAUGGGGAUCCAGAACUUAUUUGCUGAAGGAAAUGUGUCUUACAGUGAGGGAAGCUCUAGUCAUGCUGAUAUGUAAAUUAGUGGCUAAGUUGUCAGGCUGAGCAAUUGAGAAGUCACCCCUCUCCCUACUAGGAAGAGGUCUAGCAGUUUGUUUUGUUUUCUUUUUUGUUUUCUGAAUUAUUUCAGGGUUGUAGUUCAGGAUCUAUCUUGUUUUAUCCCUUUGUCGUUCAUGUUCAAACCCUUCUAUAUUUUAUUUUAACUAAAUGAAGUGUCCCUUCCCCUUUGUGUUUUAAAUAUGCGCUGUUUGUUUUCUUUACACAGUCCAUUUUGUGUUGAUUCUAGUGAUAUGACAUGCUUGCAGAAUUUUCAGCUGGAUCUUGAAAACCAGUUUUAGCAUGAACUUUGAAUCAAAGGGCUAAGGUUAAAAAAAAGAGAUAAAUAUCUGAGAAAAUAGGUAGAGUGCUGAGACAUUUGGUGACAAGUUGAAGCCUUUUUUGGAAAUUAAGUCACUUAUUUUAAGAAUCACAAGAAUAACUUGGUCAUCAAUUAAAUGACAUGUCUCAAUUAGGUCAUAUAGUGACUGUAUGAACAGAAAGAAAAUCAGCUCCACAAAAUCAUGAGUCAUUCAAUGUGAGGACUGUACAACAAAGGUGGACUUUGUAGAAGAAAUAGUAAUGCACAAACUCAGUUAAAGUUAAUGCUGUAAAAGAUGUCACAAGUUAUCUUUAUCUUUCACUUUCAUAUUGCAUGAUAUGUACUUGCAUUUUUAAGGAUUGAUAUGACGAAGGCAUUUCAUUCUGCUAUCCAAACAUUGUGUCAUCUUUUGUUUACCCCCAAUUGAGCCUUUGUUUUAUUUUCUUUCAUACCCUUCUUUUGGAAUCAAGAUAGAGUCAGUAAAACUCAAAAGGAAAGUGUUGGAAAAAAAUAUGUCCAAAAGGAAAGAAAAGAGAAGAGUGUCAAAAAUAGUAUCAGAAAAAAAAAUCCCAAAGAGAAAAAAAGAAAAAAAAGAAACAAAAAAUCAGAAUCAAUCAAAAGAACAAGCUGCCAGAACUACGCGUGACCUGAUUCUCCUCUCUCGGGGGUGAGAUAUGUAGGCUGCCCUACUCUAGGCUCGGUCCAACCAAAUAAAUAAUUUAGAAUUGCCUAGUCAAAAGAAAGUGGGGGCAUGAGUUAAUCCUCAUUAUUUGAGUCAAUUCUAAAAUUUAAGUCCUACCCCACCUCAGGUGUCGUUUGGCCUCAUUCUAUCCUUUCUUUCUAACCCUAUCCAAAAUCCAAGUUACAACCAAAGAAAGACAUUCAGAUCAAUCUUUGAGUAUGUUAAGGCUACGCAUGCAAUGGAUGUGAUGAUCAUUUUGGGAACUACUUGUCUUCCUCAGCAUAAGGAAUCAUGAGAGAAAUGAAAAUGAGAGAGUCUUAUCGGUGAAAACCCUUACGGGCAUUGUAAGAUGAUGGUAAACUGAGAGAGAUAAAAUUGAGAGAGUCCUAUCGGUGAAAACCCUCACGGGCACUGUAAGAUGGCUGUGAGUUGAGAUAAAUGAAAAUAAGAGAGUCUCAUGGUGAAAAACCCUCAUAGACAACCUAAGGCAAUGGUGAGAUGAGAAAAGGAAAAUAAGAGAGGCUCAUUGGCCAAAACCGUUUAAGGCGCCACUAGUUGAAUGAGGUCUUAAAUGCAAUUGAUCUAACAAAGCAACUCAAUUUUGAGGUCAUUAAAAACAAUUUGUGAGUGUUUUGGAUGGAAAGAUCAGGCAGUUUAAUCCGAUAUGCAUGUCAUAAUCAUUAGAGUUAGAUAAACUUUUCUUUCAUAUUUUUCAAUGGGGACAUUCAUUAUCAUUUAUUUCUUUUCUAUAGUUAUAUUUUUAUUUUUCUUGAGUCAGUUAUCCAAAUAAAAUCAUUGCUAUUUUUCUCUUGUCUUUGAGUCAAGUCUAUGUCAAAACAAGUGAGAAAAUUUUUCAAAACUGGCUACCAACUUUUUCAAUUGUACAAAGCAAGGGAGAAAGGCCAACGCAUGAAAGAUACACGAUUGUGAGCCAAAAUGAGGCAAGAAGAAAGUUUUGUCAACAAAUAAGUCCGGAAACUCAUGAAAUACCAAGCUUCCGAGGGGUCUAUCUGAGAAGCAUGGCAAAGAAGAAAUGAUGUGUUUAUCUCAGUCACUCUUAAUAAUCUGAAUUCAGUCAAUGAAGCAUCAAGUCAAUGACACAGCGUAAUGGUUGGAAGCAAGGUUAAAUGUGAUGAUGGCAAGAGCGUUUUCCAUGAAAUCCAAAGCCACAAACCAGCCACCAUGAUUUUGAACUCACAACCUUUCUUUGCAUGAAACAGGAACACAUGUUACCUUUAAAUCAAGGAUUUCAAAUCCUAAACAUCAAGGCCUGUAAUUUCUCACUUUUAGAAAUGCAGGAAGCAAUGUUGCUGUACAGGUUUGAUAGUUCAAUCAUGGUAAAAACUCAUCAUCUUGUAUCCCUCGGAGACAAACUUUCUUGUCCAGGGAUUUCAGUUUUCAUUUGCUGGGUGAUACACUUCUUAAAUUGAACCUUCACUACUCCUAGAAGACGUACCUUCUAGUCGAGUCAUUCCCUUUGACCCCUAGAAGAUGUACAUUUUAGUCGAGUCAUUCCUUUUGACCCAUAGAAGACGUACCUUUUAGUCAAGUCAUUCCCUUUGAUUCCUAUAAGACGUACCUUUGAGUCAAGUCAUCUCCUUUGAUUCCUAUAAGACGUACCUUUUAGUAGAGUCAUUCCCUUUGAUUCCUAUAAGAUGUAUAUUUUAGUCGAGUCAUCUCCUUUGAUUCCUAUAAGACGUACCUUAUAGUCGAUUCAUUCACUUUGAUUCCUAUAAGACGUACCUUUUAGUCGAGUCAUUCCCUUUGACCCCUAGAAGACGUAGCUUUUAGUCGAGUCAUUCCCUUUGAUUCCUAUAAGAUGUACCUUUUAUUCGAGUCAUCUCCUUUGAUUCCUAUAAGGCGUACCUUUUAGUCGAGUCAUCUCCCUUGAUUCCUAGUAAGAAGUAACUUUUAGUCGGGUCAUCUCCCAUGAUUCCUAUAAGAUGUACCUUUUAGUCAAGUCAUUCUCCUUGACCCCUAGAAGACGUACCUUUUAGUCGAGUCAAUUCCUUUGAUUCCUAUCAGACGCACCUUAUAGUCGAGUCAUUCUUCUUGAUUCCUAUAAUGAUGUGACUUUCGCAAAAGUCCUUUGAUGAUAAACUGGGGCAAAAUUUAAUUCUUGUGUUGGAACUUCACUUUCCUGGAAUAUGAAAUCUCUUUAUAAUAAUCUUUGUUUGGGGUAAUUUUCUUUCUAGUUUUGAUGUGAUUUUAGGAGCCCGCCCGAAGCAUAGGGUGAGUAAAUGGAAAGUCAAGCAGCAAGGUGAAGAAAUUGAAAGUCAAGAAACAAGGUAAAGAAGUUGAAAGUCAAGUAACAAAGUGAAGAAAAUGAAAGUCAAUAGAUCGAAAAUAGCAAGUCAGGAGCCCGCCUAGAGAACAGGGUGAUGAAAUUGAAAACCAAGCAACAAGUUCAAGAAAUUUCAAAUCAGGAGCCCGCCUGAAUAAUAGGGUGAUGAAACUCAAGUCAAGAGUCCAAUAGAAGCGGCGUAGAUAGCAUUUUGUAAUUUCAUUUACGUUUUUAACUUGUUAUUUUCAUUUUUGAUGUAAUUACAGAGCCAUGGACUGGAACCUCAAUGGGACCUCACUCGACUCUCCAACUCGGCAUAGUCCAUUUCCUUCCAAUCCUUUUGAGACACCGUCACUUGAUUUCUCCAUAACUUGGGUGGGUAGGAUGGCUUAAGUCAGAACUCGGUUGUUCUUCUUCUUUCUUUUUCUUCCUUUGAAUAUUGGUCGGGACAAAAUUCUAUCUUGUUGUCUACUUGUUUGUUUGAAAACACUUCGUGUUUACAUUCAAAGGGGGCAUGAUGUAGACACCUAAUUUCGUCCCUCCUCGAUAUCUUUUUUAUCCAUUUUUUACUUUAUCCUACCGUUUACCCUCACCCAUGUAAUUAUACCCCACAAAAAUAUAAAAUAAAAAAAUUCAAUAAAUCCCUAACCUUAUCCUAAAAAACUUUAUCCUAUACCCUACCCUACCUACCCCAUUCACCCCACCCUCACGUUUUUGAUUCCUUUUAACCAAUAUACACAAUACACACAAAAAAGAUUUUUUUUGGGGGGGUGUCUUUUUCUUUCUUCUCCAUUUAUAGACACAUAGGUACAGAGAGAGAGAGAAACAAAUAGAAAGGGAGAGCACACACUCAUUCACCUUCUUCUUCACGGACACACUAACAAAAUAUAGGGAGGAGGAGAUCAUCUUCAUCAUAAAAUCCACACACACCCCUCACCGAAAAGCUCAACCACAUGCCCACAACUCACAAAAUAGACACUACCAUCGGAUAGAUACACACAAUCCGGGCAAUCGACAGUGAGAUUGAGAGAGAAAUAGUGAUGAAGAACUGAGAUCGGAGAGGGGGGUUCGGAGAACACUGUUCCUGUGAUUGUUCGCCGGAAUCAGUCACUAUUUUAGCGGAUGCAAGCAUCAUUAAUCCGUUGCUCACUCCUCUCAACGUCGGAAAAUACAAAUCAACCAUCAAGCUAGCUAAAAUCGGCCUGCUUAGCUUGAUUUCGGCGAUAUUAGGGUAGCUUUGGCGAUGGGUCCACCAGAAAAAUGAUGUCAUUGACUCCUUUCUUCUAAGUUCGACUUGAAAUUGGUUCAUCGUCGCUAUUCUGUUGGAAUUUGCAUCCCGGUUUGGCUUGUUUGGUAUUCUUCAUGGGUCUUCGUACUAAUUUUGGGAAACUUGAUUACUGGUUUGGAAUUCGGAUCUGUUCGUAACCAUUAGUUUUGAGCUUUGAUUUCUCAAUUACCGAGUUGGAUUAGUCGCAGCUGAGGUUAUUCCAUCCGAAAUUCCAAGUUUGGGCUUCUUUAAUAUUAUUACCAACCGAAAUUGAUUAUCGGAAGGUCCAUUUCUUUAGCUCAUUCUCUUUUCUUUAUUGUAACUUAUUGAAUGGCCAUGUUUGUGUAUCGGGUGAUUAUGAUUGUUUGAUAUUGUUGAUUCUAUGACCAUGGUGCUUGUUGAUUCGAUUUUGGUGGUUUGAGGAUUGAACUUGAUCAUGUUUUAAUGGCGAUUAAUAAAAAAGGAAGAUGGGUGGUGGAAUUGAAAAUUAACGAAAAGGUUAUAUUCGGAUCAAGUUUGAUUGAUUGUUGAUAUGAAAUGUGAUAUUAUUAUGAGAUGUUGAAAUGGAUAGGCCAAUGUAGGUUUGGGUAGGCAAAUUAAGGACUAAGCUUUGUUUGAUUGAAUGUUGGAAAUUUCGUGGAAUGGUUGAAAUUUUGUUGAAUAGUUUGAUUUUCUCGCACUAAAAAUGUAUUCAUUUGGCCGGGGAAUGCCUCGAGGGAUUUGUAUUAAUUAAUCCGGGGAAUGCCCCGACGUAUCAUGUAUGCAAAGGAGGUUCGUGAUCAAGGCUCGGGGAAUCGGGUAAAGAAUCGGAGCAUAGUUUAGGAUUAGUUUAGAAUAGGAUUUAUAUUUUGGCAUUUUCUUAUUUUGGAUUGUAUAAUUGGACUGGACACUAAAUUUUGAAUUAUUUUGUUUUGUUUACUUGCUUGAUUGUUUUUGCUUGCUUUGUGUAGUUUAUGCACUUGUAAUGUCAAAGUUAGCCGAUACGCUCUACCAAGCGACUGUGUUCGAACCACGGGAUCGAGGGGUGCCUAACACCUUCCCCUCGGUCAACAAAAUUCCUAAGCCGGAAUUUCUGUUCGCGAAUCUGUUUUAAAGAGUCAAAUCUGUUUUGAAAAAGGAUAUCCAAGGGUGACUUGGCACACCCGAUUUAUGCCAAGUGGCGACUCUGAAUUUUGAAUAUAAAAAGUCCUUUUUGAAACAAAUCUUCAUUUUGUCACUUUAAUAAUAAAAACCCUUUCAAACUUAAAACGAAUCUUUUUUUGUUGUAGGAAAAAAGGGUGUGACAACUAUUACGAAUAUCUAAUCGUCAUCUCACACUUCCUCCAGACUUAUGAUCUUAAAUGAAACCAUUACACCAUAGUCAUCAUAACAAGAAACAUCUACUCGCUUCUAUCCAACCAUUACUCAUGCAUUGAUAUCUUACCACUGCCAUGACAUAAGGAAUACCACUGAAGGUCUAGAAUAAGAGCACUAGGAAUAGAAGGGAUACUGCUUAUGUCUAAUAGGAACAAAUACUUCAUGUACCAAAACACAUAAGGUGUGAAUAAAGAGUCAUUUUGGGCAUCGGGAUAACAUAGCACAAGCUAAGAACAUAUUAUAAAGUUUGGUUUCUUAGAACUGAACCUAUCGUAAGCAUGUGUUUUUGGCUCAGGAACAACGUAUCGUAGAACCUGGACUUCUAGAACCUUAGAGUAAUAUUAGGAUCAUGGUGUGAAGUUAUUGUUUCCUAUUCUAGGGUUAGAACAUGGACAUGACUUUGCACAUAAAAAUUUGGAUCUUAGACAUAGGCACGAUAUGAAUGCAUAACUCAUGGGUAGAGUGUCAUCUUGGCUGAAGUCAUGAAAUACGCUAGAAUAAGAUUGAAUGAUAGUGAAACUCAUCAUCUCUCUUUUCUGAAAACCCUAACUAUCUGCAUCUCAAGACCCAUUUUUUUUUACCCUAUCAUCUUUCCCUUAGGUCAAAGUCGAUAUUAAAAGUAUGCAGACCUAUUCUCAAAUAUAAGCUAUCAUCGCCUUACUCUCCUGAAUACUAUAUCUUUAGGUACGCAACCCUUGCUAGGACUUCAUCCUAAGAUACUUAUCUUAACAUUCUCUAAACUUUGUAGACAUCAUUUUAUAAUUUAUGCUCUCAUUGGCAUACACAACCACUUCUUCUAUACCUGAUCUUCCCUUCUUAGUCUACUAACAUCAUACCCCUAAAUUCUAUCCACCCACUCUAAUGGAAAUUAAAAUUGAACGAAAAGGCUCAACAUCGUCCAUUUAUAAUACUCUCAAUUCAGCUCUCAAGAGCUCCCCAUACUAGAUAACUAGGCUUCUCCACACUUAGAAACUCAAGGGUACCAACUAGGAUCACAUAGCAGAAAAUAAAUUAGAAUCUUAUAUAAUAACAUACUAUCUCGGGUGCACCAUUAUUUUCAUAUAACUUAAGGCCCUUCUUUAUCUAAGGACUUAGCUAAAAUUCACUGUUUCACUUCUAUUCCACAUAUGUAUUAUUUUUUUUGCAGGUUCACACUAUUCCUAAAUUAUCAAACUUAAGCUCUUCAACACACAAAAAAUCAAGCCUACCAGAUCGAUUUUCCAAAACUAGUGCUAUCACCCUUAUACCGCCAUUCAUUCAUCAUUGUGGUUGUCUAAAGCUCAAGCUUAGUGUCUACUAAACAUGGAUGGCAACACUAUCUAAUAAUACUAAUUCGAACUGUAUCUUAUGAAAAAAAAUCAAGAGCCACUAGUCUAUUCAGGUAUCAUGACAACAUAGCUAAUCUAAAUCACACCAUUUAUCUCAUAGCCUACAAACACAUCUCCUUCACAAAAUUACUAUUAUUCCUUACUAACAUAAACUUAAGCAAUAAUAAACUUCUUUCUUAAACAAAGUAUACUCCAAGUCGUCUUAACCAACCUAUUAACUAACAUAAAAUUUUGCAAGUAUUGAUACACCCUAGCCAACACCAAAGGACAUUCCAUCCGAUUUCUCGCUUAAUAAAUACAACUCUUGCUACAUACUCCAAUCAAUCGCUAUCCUCACUUUUCGUCUUCUACUCUGAUGACUUCAUAUUUUCGAACUUGAGAUUAUACUACUACUUAUGGCAUACCACAAAACAUCCCAAAUAGCAAUAUCUCUCGGGUGACAACACUAUCCAAGAGUCUAGACACACUCUUCCCCCUGUUAAAGGUGUCUUCUGGAAUAAGUCUUUGCAGAAGGCCUGGGAGAACAAUCUUACUAUAGCUCAAAAGCAGGGUUUAUAAGAAUAAGAUUGUAAGUUUUUUUUUUUUUUUUGAAUUUAUAGACUCAAAUAGACUAAUGGGCUACUAAAAAGCCCUUGUACGGUCAGUUGAUAAGGAUAUGAGUUUCAUAACUCCUACUACCUUAAAGAUGAGGAUAAGAUAGCGAAAUGUGAGAAACACAUGAAUUUGAGUAAUUUUUGUUUGGCACCAUUUUAUCGCAUGGUCUAGAAUAUGAAAGAAUAGAAAAGUUCUCCUAAAUGGCCAGUAGCCUCCUUAUUAUAAGUGUGGUGCGCUACACACUCAUAAAAAUGACUCUACUAGGAACGACUUCAUAGACACCCUAGGACACUUGAACUCUGUGCUUUGAUACCAAGUUUGUCACGCCCCGAGCCGAGGCCCUAGACGUGGCACGCACCCAAUGCUGUAAUGUAAGGAAUGAGUAGGCAUUGGAGUAACUCAAAAACACUGAGAUAAGAAUGGGUGGAGUCUCACCCUUACUUUCUGAUGCUCUAUAUCAUACUGACAUUACUACUAGAAUCUGAGAGUCUGACUUAGUCACUGGUACUAUUAUCUCUUUCUUAGCAUUAAGCCACCAUCUUAAGCUUGAGAGAUCCCUUACUAGACUCUAAACAGAACUACCCUUACUGCACUCUGGGGUAUGAAAAACGACAAUACACGUAAUUAAUAGAAAUUAACCCGAAUGACUACAUAUGAAAGUGGAAAACCCACUAUUAAUACCACCUUCUGAGACACACUCUAUCAUUCCAUAGCCCCAAUAGUUAUCACAUAAUACUAGAACACUUACUUACUUCAAAUCCUCAUGAGUAUCCCUGCAGUUGGAGUGCACAACCUCUAGCACUUCAACUCUUAUUUCUAAUAGCACAACCCUCAAGGACUCAAACUUAGAUUCUAAUACUUAACAUGGAUGUCACCAAGUCUUUAAUGAAUCACUCUACUUCUGUCAUAGCCUACCAAUAUAGCCACCUUAAAAUUAUAUUCCUCUACCAUGAGAAUCAGGAUUAUAUCAAAAAGGCUCAACACUAUCAAUUAACGUUCCUUAACUUGGCUAUUUAGAAUACCAUGUACCAUAUAACUAGUCCUUUUCCCACCUAGCAACUCAACGGUACCACUAGCCACACACAACAUGUAAUAGCCUUAGAAUAAAUACCGCAGUUUUAAACCACCCUGGGCAUACUUCUACAUCAUACAUACAUCGUCAUACUUUAUUAUGAAAUCAAUUAAACUUAGGCACUCGCAUACACUAUUCAAGCCUAUAGAUCACUUCCCUAUAACUAGUAUCAUUAAUCAAGAAAUCAUCACAUCCACCUUCAUGGCCAUCAAUUGUUUCAAACUUAAUGUCUAGUGCUAAACAUAAUUUACAACCCAACCAUACACACAAAUUUUUCACUUGGAAACUAUGGAGUAAACAUCACGAAAACACUAGUGCACUAGAACUUCAUAACCAUAAUAAGCGAUCAUGACCUAACUGUUUUCCUUAUCAUAAUCCAUUAGCAUGUACUAUUUCAGCACAUCAUUCCUACUAAUUUAAUCACACAAAACAUGCAUCAUCAAACUCUUGCCACUAUUUACCACCACACCAUUUAAAUUCAAGCCUAUAGUUUAGUAUCAAUCAUUUACCACCAAUGAAGAAUGCAACAUAAUAUAAAUAUACUAAUCCAUCAAAUUGGGACAUUCUACCCAAAUAUCUCAAAAAUCUACUACAUACCUUCGCACAAGUAGUACUAGUUUACAACUACCAAUGCAAAGAGGGGCAAGGGGGUUUAAAGCCUCAUAAUAGACAUGGUCAACCUUAUCCUUAUAUUAUAACCCCACACAAUCGUAUCUGCUUAUACUUCUUUCUCACAUCACAAUUACUUACCCAAGCGUACAUUUCCAUUACCUUCAAAGUCCACAACAACCAUGAGUCUAUACUUAUAACCUACUGGCUAAUCUGGCCAUUUCAUACUUCAAGCAAGGACAAUUCACCUCACCUAAUAACUCCUUCUCUAUCUUCUACUAAUAAACUAACACACAAGGAUGAAUCGCUUCAUUACCAAAUCUAUCUCAUGUAAAAAGAUUCAGCUAUACAUAUAUUCAACCAACAUAAGAACAACACGUUGAAUGACAAAUUGCUAGUGAAUCGAAAUAGGCCUCACACGGCUUCACUAGACCUUGAUUUUUGUGGUUUGAACAAGAAAAUGAAAUGAAUGACAAGGCAACUAUGCUAGUGAAUCGAAAGAGCCCCACACGGCUUCACUAGACUUUUUAGUUUCAUCAACACGAUGAUAAAAUAUUUUCAAGAGAUGGAAAAUUGUCACACAAUAUUCCAUAAUUUGAGAAUACACAUCUUACUUUGUAUAGAUAAAAAAAAUCUGAGUCAAAUAUUCCCCGCCACAGAUUAUCAUACAAUCCACACACGCUACUAGCUACCAAUAGGUCAUGACACCGACACUUUAACUUAUACAACUAUUUGGGUGGAAAUACAAUUCGAACACUUCUACUACACAUCUUUUCCCUUAAGCAUGACAUCUGCAACAUAAAUUUCUGAAAAGGGCCGAAUAUACUCAAUACAGAAGGCUGAAAAGCACGAUUUCAUCAUGAUCAAGGUUCACACUAGAACCAAUACACUCUGAAGUAAUAACGGACUCUUCUCAAGUCCUUGCACAAUUUUAAGAUCUUAUAUGACGCGAUCCGAAGGGACCAUACCAUUUAGACUCUAAACUUCUGUACUUGAAUCACCCCAGUAAUAUGAUAGGUCUGAGAACAUCAAAGUAAGGAAAGAAUUUGGGAUGAUUUUACUUUCGUAUGGACGUCACCAUAUCACGAAUUAGAGUAUGAAGGAGGAACAUUCUGACUCUAUUGCACAAACUAGAACAUGAAGAAAGAGAGACAUUCGUAAAUGUCUUGUAGCCUCCUGCUUAUAAGUGUGGCGCACUAUACACCCAUAAACACGACUUAAACCGAUGCGAUUUCACAGACACCCUGGGACCAUGAACCAUGCUUUGAUAUCAAGUUUAUCACGAUCCGAACUAGGCCCCUGGCCGUGAUGAGCAUUUCGAACCAUGAAGGCCGGAAACACCCCUAUCUAUUUGGUAAUCAUGCAUAUAAUUCAUAUGAUAAUAGGAUAUGCGGAAGAUUCACAAUAUUAUGAAACAUGGUCAUAAAUCAAAUGAAAUCAACAAAGGGGAAAUAAUGUCCCACAACAUCUAUCGACAUCUGAACACCCAUGCGCCAAAUCUCUACUACAUGACUGAAAUAAACAACUGUCUGAAAACUGGGACAAGGCCCCCAGUAGACCCAAAACUACUAAAUAAUAAUUAAUCUGCCAGACAUUAGGCCUUCCAAAAGAUAGAAGGCUCACCACCCGACUCUGCAGAUCUGUUUGAAGAAUCUACUGAUUAUCUGGACCUCUAGACUGUGCCUCUGAACCUGGGAGGGAAGGAGGUCAAUAUAAAAGUAUUGGUACGCAGAGAAAUCCAAAACAAAAAUAUUAGAUUUUUACAGAAUAUAAGUGAGAGCCAUUAUAAAGCAGUUUCGUAUCAAAUCAUUUGAAAAGCACAUAGGCAUAAUGUAAUAAUUUUCCAACAACAUUGCAAUACAGCUGAGCUAGGUGGAAUACCCUACAUAUAACAUUUACACCAACUGUCAAACCUCGGUUGCCGCCGAGAUUAGAGUAUAAGUGAGGGGAAGACACACAAGAUCACACAGCAGAGUGUCUCGCCCCAAUAAAGUAUCGUAGUGCAUAAGAUCACAAAGCAAGGCUCCUAACCAUAGUCCCAAUUUGGGAAUGACAUAAAGUCAGGUAUACAAGAUCCCUUAGCCUGGUACCAUAUUCCCAUGUCGGCAAACACGGUUUCCAGCGAUUAGCCCUUACACUCAAAGCCUCUUUCGGGCAUCUACCUAUCUCGUAUAAAAUCAAUGCAUUCAACUCCAUUUAAUUCAAUCAAAUAUCAUAUUCUAUAGGGUACCGUCAUACCCGACUUGCAAGCCAUCAAUAUCAAAUCAUUUUUUCAUGCAACCAUUAUAUUCAUCAUAUUUCAACAUAACAACCCUCUCCUUGCAAGUCAAAAAUCAUAUCCACUUUCAAAAUAUUUCAUGUCAUGCUUGUUAAGAUGAUUUCAAACAAUUCACAUCUUAUGAAAAUUUAUAAUAAUUUCAUAUCAAGAGAGGGGUUUCAUAUAAUUCAGGCUCUCAAGUUAACAUCUUUUUGAAUCACAAGCAUAUACAUACAUAAUAUAUCAAAUCACUCCGGAAUAGGCCUAAAAACCAAAUCAAUAUCAUAGAGAUGCUUAAAACAUGAUUAUAUUCAUAGUUUCAAAACCCUCAUUUUUAAAACAUGAAUUUUUAAGCCCAUGAGAUUUUUGAGAUAACCCCACGUACCUCUAUAUGCAAAAAUAAUAGGUGCUUCUUGAAUCUUACGAUCUGGGGAUUCCAAAUCUCUAGUUUGUUUUGAAUUUCCAUGGUUGAAUCUUGAGUUACUAGAGAUAAUUGGAUUGGAAUUAUAGGGAGGAAACCCUAAUUCUUGCAAUGGAAGAGAGAAAAAAUGAGAUUUUUCCCUUUACUAGGACAUAUAUAGAGGGUAGGAAUGGGUAGAAAAGACCAAAAUACCCUUGAGGGAAAUUCUGAAACUGGAACCCCAUUUUUGACCCCAGCGUGAUGCGGAGCUUGGAAAAAUGCCAAUUAGUAAGACUGGAAGUUUGGGCAAAGUGGGACUAUCUCGGACGCUUGCUGGAAAUUGACGAGUGCCAUUUUGGCCUCUGGCGCGAUGUGCCAUGCACUGAAAUGGCAUUCGUCUUACAGCUGAAACUUAAAAUAGCCAUAACUCCUUACGUGGUUAUCGGAUUUCGACAAAUCUUAUAUCGUUCGAAAGCUUAUUCAAUUAUCUACAAUUUGGUAUAGAGUAGGUCACCCAGUUCAUCAUAUAUAAUGAGUUAUGGUUGAUUGAAGUUGACCCAAGUUUUGAUGUUUACUCAAACACAAAUGAUUGGAAAUCUUUCAACUCGUCCUUUUGUUAGGGGACUUCUAUGAUCUUAAUUCAUGCUCAAAUAGAUUUCCACACUACAUAAUUGAUAAACACACUAAAUUUUCAUUGGAUUUAUGGCUUUUGUAACCUUUAUGAGAAGAAAUGACGGCUAUCGUUCUAUCCCUAAAAUGCGGGGUGUUACAUUAAUCCUGCGCGAUCUACAUUUCAAAGAUGUGGUGGUUGUCAACUUUGAGUUGUGGUUCUGAUAUACUUAUUUGAGAUUGUUUUAGAAGUUGCCCGUCUUUCAGUACUAAUUGGUACCACGGCUUUGUGGAUUCUUCAUCUGAUAUUUGCUUUCAUACUCAGCUUUCUAUGCUAUUAUGGAAGGCGUGUUUACAGUAUUUCUAGGAGUACCUUUGCAAAAAUUCAAAAGAAAAAUUAUAAUUAGGAGACCUUUGAAUGAAUAGAUUUUAGUGAGUUGAUUAGCUUCUGAUUUGCUAUUUGAAUUAUCACCAGAGAAACUUGUGCAUGUUAACAUGCUCUUUUAUGCAGAUAUUAGGCUAUACGAGUACAUAUCCUAUUGCCUAUCUCAGUUAUCAUACACAGAUAAGAGCAUGAGAAAGCUGAUAGAGUUGUUUAAAACGUAUGAACGUGCCUUAUCAGAAGACGCUGUGAUGGAGAAUUUUGAAACUAUUAUCAACAAGGUAAAAUUUGUUGUGGCAUCACAAGGCUUUAGGCUUGAACUAGUUUUUGGAAGUUAUUGGGAAUUCAUUUCACAGUGUUAAAGCUUUAUUUGCUUGUUUGAAUGUCUUCAAUUUGGGGAAAAAGUUUGCUAAACCUGAACUCAAAUCAUGCAUUGAGGAGUUUCGACAUCAAGAGGAAGAAACAAGAACUUACUGCCAAAAAUACUCAAAGCCAUCAACAGAAAGUGACAGCAUGGAGAGCAUCACGUUGGCUCAAAAAGAAGAAGAAGAGGAAAUUGCUGAAUCUGAAAUUACAGAAGGUAAUUUUCUCCAAGUCAAUUGCCUGUUCAUUCAGCUAUUACUAUUUCAUGUUUUAUUUACAAGGUUCUCAUUUUGAAACUUUUAUGACGGAGGGCAUCAGAGCUUCAUACUUGUCUCUAUGAGUUAUAUGGUUCAUUUAUGUUUUAAUUCCCGCAAAAGAAUAUAAAAACAAUGUAGAGGAGGUAGUAGCUGUUAUAAGAAAUCAUGUCGUAGUACCUUAUAUCGAUAGUUGAUCCUUCACUACUAUUUUUUUUAAAAAUCCAUAUGAUAGGGGUUUUCAGAAUUUGGUACACUUAAGAUGUAGAUACUGAUAAGAAGGCUCUCAAGUCAUUUGGCAAGAGAGCUGGAAAUAUAUAAAGAGGUUAGAGGCAAAAUGGAUUGAGGAAACUUACAAAGUCAAUGUGCAAACAUGGUGCAGAUUGUUUUAUCUGCUGCAUUUCUGAUGAUCUAUGAUGGGAAGGGGCGGGCAACAAUGCAUUAUUUGGUUCUCUUGAAUGUUCUGUAACUUCAUUUUCUUGAUCAUGUAACAGAUUCUGAAGUCACUGAUCCAUCAACGGAAGCGAAAACAGAAUGUUCCCCUUCAGAACCAGCAUGUGCUGAGUCGAAAUCAAAUUCUCAUGCUUCCAGUGAGGUGACUGAUUCAUCAAUUGAUGAAAGUGAAAUUCAAUCCCCAACAAGUCGCACCAGAGGUUCCUUAGGUCACCCUAUGUACUUAGCAACUUGUUUCUCUAAUGGGAUCAAUAGGCACUAACACUAUUACAUUUGCAGGUGCCACUAGAUUCAAAGCUAAGAAUAGCAGUAAAAGCGAUCAAAACCUUGGCACUUCUAAUUCCAUUCAAAGUCCACAUGCAAUAUAUCAUGUAGGUGAAUGCUUGGAAUUUGCUUUUCUAAUCUAAGUCUAUUAGAAACUUUUGUCUCGACUUCUUAGCUUUUGUCAAGCUGCUGCUGCUGCUCAAGCUGGUACUUCUGUCAUUCUGAUUUUUGUUUGUCGCCUGAGGGUAAACUCUUUUGUCUUAUAAGAAAUUUUGUUAUUUGGAUUUCUUUAAUUCUUUAGGCAUAACAUUUAUCACUAUUUUCAGGAUUGGUUUCGCAAUCACACUGGUGACUCUGAAGUUGAAAGUGCUCUUAGACGAGGAGAAGGCCUCGGGUUUGCACUAUUUUGUUUUCCACUUUGUUUCUGGAGUUGAAAGUGCUAGAUCUUACAUUUGAAGAUUUGUUGAGACCAUAUGUAUUCUCUUCCUGUUUCAUAGAGGUUAUAGUUUUAUUUGUGAGACCAACCUUCUAAUCUAUAUGGCCACCGUUUAAAGCCUAAUCUAUACAUAAAACUUAACGACCACCGUUAAGUAAACAACCUUAUAUUAGUAAACAACCUUAUAACCUUAACGACCACCGUUUAACCUUAUAACCUUAUAUUAGUAAACAACCGUAUAACCUUAACGACCACCGUUUAACCUUAUAACCACCGUUAAGUAAACAAACUUAUAUUAGUAAACAACCUUAUAACCUUAACGACCACCGUUUAACCUUAUAACCUUAUAUUAGUAAACAACCGUAUAACCUUAACAGCCACCGUUUAACCUUAUAACCUUAUAACCUUGUGGCCACCGUUUAACCUUUUUACCACAGUUAAGUAAACAACCUUAUAUUUGUAAACAACCUUGUAACCUUAACGGCCAUUGUUUGACCUUAUAACCUUAUAUUAGUAAACAAUCUUGUAACCUUAUAACCUUAACGGCCACCGCUUAACCUUAUAACCUUAUAUUAGUAAACAACCUUAUAACCUUAUAAGCUUAGCGACCACCGUUUAACCUUAUAGCCAGCGUUAAGUAAACAACCUUAUAGUAGUAAAAAACCUUAUAACCUUAACGACCACCGUUUAACCUUAUAACCUUAUAUUAGUAAACAACCUUAUAACCUUAACGUCUACCGUUUAACCUUAUAAUCUUAUAUUAGUAAACAACCUUAUAACCUUAACGGCCACCGUUUAACCUUAUAACCUUAUAACCUUAACGGCCACCAUUUAACCUUAUAACCAUCGUUAAGUAAACAACCUUAUAACCUUAAUAGCCACGUUUAACCUUAUAACCACCGUUAACAACCUUACAACCUUAUAACCUUAACGACCACUAUUUAACCUUAUUACCAGCAUUAAGUAAACAACCUUAUAUUUGUAACAACCUUAUAACCUUAUAACCUUAUAACCUUAAUCUCUGCCAAAUAUCUCAUAUCGUAGAAUGUAGAUCAUUGUAAAGUACCAAUGCAUGGAACAACAUCAACAUGAGCUAUUAGGCCUUUGUCAAGUUUGCUAACAAUUUCAGUUGUUCAUUUUACUGUAUGUUUUUAACAUUUGUGUUGUAGAAUAUUUGCUGUUUACUAUUCAGAAUGAUCCUACAUCUAUUAAUUUCAGGUCAUUUUCAACUUCCCGUCGUGUAUUGAGUUCUCUAAUAAUCACUAAACAAAUCUGAUUUUGAUUUGAUAGAAGGAAGGUUUGUGUAAGGUUUAUUCUGUUAAACAUGUUAAAUAAGUAAAUAUGUUGGUACGUAUGUGCUAUGAGAAAUGAAACUCAAAAAUAUUAUUAUGUGAUUUUGGAAGUGUUGUUGCUUCAGCAUUAUAGGACAUCUAAUUAUUAGACUAGAGAAUAAUCAAGUUUUUUCAUCUUGGAAUGUCAUUCUCUUUUGAACUGUGGAACUGCGAGAUAACUGGGUGUAACGCCCCAAUUUUCUGAACCGAAAUGAUACCUGGUGCUCAUAACCCUGAAGGACCACAAGCUAACUCAUGAAUGAUAUCUAUACCUGUAAACUGCAUAAUAUCUCAUAAAAUAUGUGGAAACAUGAACUGUAAGGCCAUAAGGUUCAAUACUGAUACAUAUCUGAAAAACAUGGUAUAACAAUACCAAAAAGAAACAUAAAUACUAAAGGCUGAACAUCUUAUCUGACAUCUAGUCUGAAAGCCUCUAACUGAACUGAAUAAGGAGUUGAAGGAACAUGUCUCGAACUAACUCCAUAAACUGAAAAACUAAUCUAAAAUACUGUAAUAAAGUAAAAAUAAUAUUGUCCUCGACUGAAGAGGAGCAUUGACUACUGAAAUUUGCAAUGCUACUGCUGCUCUGAAACUCGUACCUCUGUACUUAUGGCGUCAAAUAAACACCAUACCGCGAAUGCGUCAGUAUGACUAAAUGUACUAAGUAUACGAGUGAGGUAGGCUAAAUGCAAAGGGUUUUAUAUACAUGAACAAUGCUGACUGAUAUGAACAUGAGAAUACAUACAUAAAUAUGUAACUGCAACUAAACUCGUGGUGAUACUGACUACUAAGUCUGAAUACUGACAACAUGAGUUUACUGAUGCUGAGAUACUGAAUGACUGAGUUUACUGAUAUUGAUAUGUAAUUCACUAAUAAGUGAGGAACUGAUACUGUAUUACUCAAUACUGGGAGACUGAUACUAUAUUACUGAUAAAGGAAUGAUUGUUUCUGAUAGUUCUGAUUAUGAAGAACUGAUUUGAUUGACCGUAUAUAACAGUCCUAAAACUGAGCUCGUGAUAACAUGACUACUGAGUAUGAAUACUGAUGACAUGUAUUUACUGAUAACAUAUCCUGAAUGAUAACUGAAUUCUAAUAACUGAUAUAUCUAAUAACAUGAGUUCUGAUAACUAAUAUCAUGAAUGGCUGUAUCUAACAGUCCUAAAUCUGAUGGAACUAGUUGAGUUCUGUACUGUAUUUGAGUUGACUGUAUCUAACAGUCCUGAUAUCCUGAAGAACUAUCUGAGUUCUUUUACUAAGACUGAUACUGAAACUGUGGGAAGUAGUUAUCUAGUCGACAUGCCCCAAAUACGCUAUAAUAGCUAACCCGGGGUCCAAUCUCUGCCCUGAUAAGAAGGGUGUCAAUACCACGACACUGGUAAGGACAAGUUGUGAGUGACCCUCAUCUGGCAGGUACUCUAAUGAGAACGGUGGGAACCCUCAUCUGAUAGGUAAAGCCACCUCAUCUGCCCUCAACUAACAGGUAUUGAUGUCUCAACCUAUACUGGCUAAAUAGUUCUGGAACGUAAGGACUGCAUCUAAGAAUCACACCCUCUACUGGCAGGUGAGUUCCCAUUCUUGGGUUCGCUCGGUGCUGAAUCCUACUCCCAACUGAAUGACACUGAACUGAUUUCCUAGUUCAUACUAGAAUUAACUUAACUUUUACUGAUUGUUCUGUUUAACUAAACUGAACAUGGACUGAGUUUAUUGAGUUCCGAUGACUAGCGGAACACUACUGAAUUCUGUUAACUGACUAAAUGCUACUGAGUUCUAUUAGCUGACUGAGUUUACUGAUGUUUGAACCAAAUACUGAACUAAACUGUGCUGAUACUGAGAUUUACUGAAUUCCAUAGACUAAUGAAAUAUUACUGAGAUUACGUAGAUUACUGAGUACUGAGUAAAACUGAACUGAUACUACCUUUACAUGAGUUUUCCUGAGUCUUGAGGCUGAUUGAAGUCUACUAAACAUAGCUUGACUGAGAGUAUUAUGAAAACAUGACAUGGCUCUAGGCACACAACUAUUUUUUUCGAGUACAAGUACCCCCAGGACUCGAUAGAAGGAAACUGACACUUCUUGACAUUCUUGAAUACAUGAUAAAUAUCAACCAUUCAUAAUAAAAUAAGUUGGUGAUUUCAUGAAUUACAUGAAUAUCGUAAUAUUNNNNNNNNNNNNNNNNNNNNNNNAAGAUCAUAAUUUCAUACUCUAACAUCAUGACAUUCCAACAACAUAUUCAUUGUAUAACAAUAACAUGUAAGCCAUUCAACAAUGAGGUCAAUGGCAUGAAUUCACUUUUUAGGCCAUAUUAAUCCAUACUACAUGUUUCUUGUUUCUCUUAAACAUUUAAUCAAACACCUUUCAUGCACAACUUAGGCAUAGGUGAAAUCAUAAAAUUUUCACAAAGUAUAAAUCACCAAAUUCAUGGACUUCAACUUAUAUUUGAAUAGAGUUUCAUGAUUUCACAUAAAGAUCCCAACUUGAGAAUCAUUUAACACCAACCACAUGAUCAUCACCGUCCAACUUACAAUUUCAAGAACUCAACAUAAAGUUCAUAUAAAUAAUAUUACAAAAUAAAUUAGUUUUCAUGAUUCUUGAGAUAACUCAUGAAAUUAAAAACUCAAUUUAACAUCAUCAACAUGAACAUAAUCAACCCACCACAAAAUAUUCAUGAUACAUAACUUAAAACUUGAUUCUUGAGAUCCAUGGAUGAACACUAAGCAUACCUUAGUUCUUCAUUUUACGAAGAUCGACAGAGAGAAUUUCUUGAAAUUAAAUCUCCAAUUGCAAACCCGCUUCUUGUUCUUGAUGAAUUUUGAGAGAAAUCAAGCAUAUGUUGCUAAAUUAUGCUGAAUCUCAUGUUUGUGUAUAUAUAUAGAGAGGUGGGAAAGACUAAAAUACCCCUGGAGAAAGAGAGAAAGACGCAGCUGUCCUCUGUUGUUUUUAGGCUGAUAGGCUGAAGUAAAUUAAUUAUAACUUUUUACUCCAAUAUUCAAACUGGAUGAAGCCAAUUGCAUUGGAAAGGAGACUCAAAGAUAUUUGUAUUGAUAUAUAGAAUCUCUCACAGUUCAUUAUAUGUAGGAAGUUAUAUAGUUUGAAGUUGACUGAAAUUUUUGACCUGAAAUGCACCUGGAAUGCGAGAGCAUUUCAAACCAGUUAGUUAGCCACUAAAAUAUGCUCAAAAUACACCCGGAAUGUGUCCAAUACAUACUAGGGACUUUCCCAAUCGUAACGCAACUUGAAAAUCUAAAAAUGAAGGUCAGGAAGGUCACCAAAUAAAUCCCCGAAGUUAGGAGGUCUAAAAUGAGAGUAAGUGUUGAACUUGAACACUUAGCAAAAAAAUUUUCUAAGUGUUGGAAUCUCACAUGGAUCUUAACGAACUGAAUUUGACAUGCUAUUUUUACGGAGUCUUACACUGGAUCACAUAUAUGCUAGACCUAUAUAAAUGUGAAGCUGCAGUUUUCUCUUUUGGCAAUUUCAAUUGUUCUUUAAGUUUUAUCAUCUCACAUUUGGAUGUUUGUAUUUCUUUCUAACCAUGAUUGGUUGAUUUGCCUCUUCACUAGCUAACUUAUAUGUGAUUUACGUACUUAUUUUGUUGUAGAAUAGUCCCUUUUAUGUUGUCAUUUAAGUGCUAAUUUAUAUUAUUUGUUCUCUUUUUAUAGGUGUCCAAAAUGAAGAAAGAGAUGAAGAAAAUGAUAAAGAUAUUGACUUUACUUGAGAAGAUUUUUGGGUUGUGGAUAAAUGCUCUAAUAUCAAUAGUUUUGUGUUGAAUAUUUUGAAACUUAUCGUGACUUGAACUUGAUACAGUGUAAAAACUUAACUAAUCAUUUUGGACUUGAUUACAUUUACAUUUCGGUUUAAAUUACUAGCUUAUUGCGAAUUAUGAGAUUAUUAAUGAAUGAUUUUGUUUUGUGAUGUGUAUAUUUUCUGUUAUAAUUUAUAAAGGGUUGCAACAUAAUAACAAAAGCGUCGCAAUAGAUGCUAUGGAAAUGGUUUAAUGUCAUUGUAAUAGAGUCUAUUGCAACGGUUCGUAACUGUUGCAAUAGAUGAAAAUAGGCGUUCCAAUAAGUAAUGAAAUAGUUGUAAUAGGUAGUCAAAAAGCAUUGCAACAGAACAACAGAAGCAUCACAAUAGCUGCUAUUGCAAUGGUUAGUAACCGUUGCAAUAUCAUCUAUUGCGACGGUUAUAAACCGUCGCAAUAGAUGAAAAUAAUCAUUCAAAAAAUAACCAUCGCAAUAGGUCUAUCUAUGGCGAUGGUUUCAAAAACCGUCACCAUAGCUCUUCCUAUGGCGACAACCAUCGCAGAAACCGUUUCAAUAGACCUAUCGCAACGCCCACCUAUGGGACGCUUGCAGAACCGUUGCGAUAGGUCUAUGGCAACGGUUUUUUGGUCUAUUGCAACGGUUUUACAACCAUCACCAUUGAUCUAAUUUCUAGUAAUGGAUCAUAUUUUGAGAUUCUAUCCUUAAUUUUUGAGAUUCUAUCAUAAUUUAUGUUUGAAAUGUUGUGACCUCGCCGGGAGGAAUGCAGUAACGUUAAAAAUUUUGAUUAAAAAAGAUUCUAAGUUCCAAAAGAACACAGAUAAUUGAGGUAUAACUUCUACCAAUUUAAUUAACAUAUGAUUUAUUAUUUUCGAGAGCUAGAUAAUCUAUCUACAUUUAUUAUUUAGGAGGAAAUAAUUCUCGCAAUAAUUUUUUUGAUUGAUCAUAUGUGGGCCAAUUGAUUAGUCACAAAUAAAUUGAGGUUAAAGCUUUUACUAUGCAUCAUGAUAUCGCCGUGAGUGAAUCAUUAAAUAUUUACAUCUAAUUAUGUACGUUCUUUUAUUAAAGAUAUAUACAAUAUUUAUUUUGAGUAAUUGAAGAAAGUAAUAAGUUUAUCCAUGUACGAUCAUUAGCUAUAGCAAGGUAGAGGUGUGAUGUAGGACAAAAUAGAAAGAUAAUAAUAUAUUCUUACAAANNNNNNNNNNNNNNNNNNNNNNNNNNNNNNNNNNNNNNNNNNNNNNNNNNNNNNNNNNNNNNNNNNNNNNNNNNNNNNNNNNNNNNNNNNNNNNNNNNNNNNNNNNNNNNNNNNNNNNNNNNNNNNNNNNNNNNNNNNNNNNNNNNNNNNNNNNNNNNNNNNNNNNNNNNNNNNNNNNNNNNNNNNNNNNNNNNNNNNNNNNNNNNNNNNNNNNNNNNNNNNNNNNNNNNNNNNNNNNNNNNNNNNNNNNNNNNNNNNNNNNNNNNNNNNNNNNNNNNNNNNNNNNNNNNNNNNNNNNNNNNNNNNNNNNNNNNNNNNNNNNNNNNNNNNNNNNNNNNNNNNNNNNNNNNNNNNNNNNNNNNNNNNNNNNNNNNNNNNNNNNNNNNNNNNNNNNNNNNNNNNNNNNNNNNNNNNNNNNNNNNNNNNNNNNNNNNNNNNNNNNNNNNNNNNNNNNNNNNNNNNNNNNNNNNNNNNNNNNNNNNNNNNNNNNNNNNNNNNNNNNNNNNNNNNNNNNNNNNNNNNNNNNNNNNNNNNNNNNNNNNNNNNNNNNNNNNNNNNNNNNNNNNNNNNNNNNNNNNNNNNNNNNNNNNNNNNNNNNNNNNNNNNNNNNNNNNNNNNNNNNAAUUUUGGAGUAUGCUCGUACAACACAGAACCUUGCACCUCCUUUGCAAGAUGAUGAUAUAGCUUAUGUGUGCCUGAUAAUUGUUGAGAAACUUUAUGUAUCUCCUCAUGAAUUUGAACUUACCAAAUCCAGAAUUGUUAAAAACUAAUAUGAUGAAAUUGAAGAAAUAGUUUGGAGAGUUAAUUAUAAAGCAAUCAAGGGAUUGGGACAAUCACACGAACCAUCUUUGUAUGAAAAAUUACAUGGAUUGAAGCCCGUGAAGGGGAUAUAAAACAUGCUGUGAGGAACACAAUAAAUUGUUGGUGCAUGCAUUUAGAUGAGAAUUAUGAAAGGGAACUAGUAUAGACUUUAACUAAGCAAGCUAGGAGAGAAUUCAUGUCGCUGCCUGCUGUAAGAUCAAUAAUGCAGUCUUUGCAAAGAGUUCAUCUUUCGAAAAAUGAAUGGACAGACGAGUGUGUGAUAUGCAAGGAGAGUUACUCACCUGGUUCAGAACUAUACAGCUAGCCUUCUUGCCAUAGUUUCCAUUAUGGCUGCAUCGAUACUUGGCUUCUUAAAAACCCAAAUUGUUCCAUGUGUCGUUACAAGUUGCCACCAACGGAGUCCAAAUAGAAGUGAUCUCUUUCUAGUAAUUAAAAUGUAUUUUAAGAUAGGUUAAUUCUGUCAAAAAUUUAUCUUUUUUCUUAUGGCAAAACAAUUCUAGUUAUUGAAUUUAUUCAUAGAAUCUUGGCACCUUUUUACUCAGAAAUCAAACUAGCAUAUACUCACCAUAUAUCAUCAUCAUCUAAAUAACAGGGGGAGGAAAAAAAUAAAAUAACAGAAAGGAACCCAUUAAAGAUUCCACACACACUGAGCACAAAAUCUCUUAAUUCAUAGAUCACCACCAACGGACAUUGAAGAAGAACAAGAACAGUAGAUCACACACACCUCAGUCCACGCACACUCACCAUUGAACAUGGUACACACCUAGAUUGAAAAAUCAGAAGAAAAGCAAAAAAAAUUAAAAAUUGGAGCGAUUGGGAGAGGAAACUGAGUGAUAGGGAUAUAAAGAUAGAGAUCGAAGCAAAAACAGUGAAUUGAGGGAGAAGUGAUUUGUGAACGCGAGAGAGAGGAGAAGGAGGGAAAACGAACCUUGGUUUGGUUUUCCAAUGACCUACUCGCUGGAUUCACCACUGAAAAUACACUGCCAGCGACCUUCAUCCCUGUUUCCGGCUGAUUCUACCAGAAAACCCCUCCGUCCAACUGUCCAGGUCAGUUUUAGCGAUACAGUUCAAAAAGAAACCGACCAAAACCCUUGAUGUAGACUCGUUCCCGUCCAUUUCCACCGGAAAACGACCACGAUAUUGAAACACUUGUUCGGGUUGAUCGGAGAUUAGUUUAGUGUUGGGUUUUAUUCAAUUCUCGAGUUCGAAGUCGAGGCUUUUUCGAGGUAUUCCGGUCGAAGCUCUAAUCAAAAUUUUGACGGAUUGAAAUAAAAAUCGAGGUCCAAUUCUAUUCACUCUCUUUUAUUUCAUUUUUUUGUCAUAUUUGAUGCAUUGAAUUGAAUGUUUGAUGUUGAGUUCUCCAUUGGUAAUGGAUAGUUGCUUGUGUUGAUGCGUCGUUCAUUUACUUGGAUUAUGUGAUGAAAUGGUACCUCAUUUGAGAAUUAUAAUGGAUUGUUUUGGGGCGGGAAUUGCAAAAAUCGAUAAAAAGUGAAUAUUGUCGUAUUUUCAUUCAUUGUUGAUGUUUAAUGUGGUAGUUUCAUGCUUUAAGUCGAAAAGGGUAGGCAAACGAUAAGGGGUAGGAGAAGUUUUAGGAAUUGUGGAAUAUUGAAUGCUUGAAACAUGUGUUGAAUGGCUUGGUUUUAUUGCUUUUUGGAUCAAAUGUAUCAUUUGGCCGGGGAAUGCCUCGAGCUAUUUGUAUUUAUUUGCCAGGGAAUGCACCAAAAUAUUUUUGUACCCGGAGGACGUUCGUGACAGAGGCCCAAGGCAUCGGGUAGAGCAUCAGUCUAAAAUUAGUUUAGAAUUGGAUUUACAUUUUCGCAUUUUUCUAUCUUUUGGACUGUAUAAUUUGAACUGGACAUUAUUUUGGUUUUGAAUUUUGUUUUGUUUGUUUUUUGUGCUUAUGUGGUUUGUACAUUUUAUAGUGUCCAAAUUAGCCGAUACAUCCCACCGAGUGACCGUGGUCGAACCACGGGAUCGAGGGGUGCCUAACACCUUUCCCUCGGUCAACAGAAUUCCUUAGCCGGAAUCUCUGUUCGCAAACCAGUCUUAAAGAGUGAAAACCAUUUUGAAAAUGAUUUCCAAAGGUGACUUGGCACACCGGAUUAUGCCAAGUGGCGACUCUGAGUUUUGAAUAUAAAAAGUCCUUUUCGAAACAAAUCUCCAUUUUGUCACUUAAUAAUGAAAACCCUUUCAAACAUAAAAUCGAAUCUUUUUGGUUAAAAAGGGGGUGUGACACCUGUUUAACCUUAUAAACUUCUAUUAGUAAACAACCUUAUAACCUUAUAACCUUAAUCUCUACCAAAUAUCUCAUAUCGUAGAAUGUAGAUCAUUGUAAAGUACCAAUGCAUGGAACAACAUCAACAUGAGCUAUUAGGCCUUUGUCAAGUUUGCCAACAGUUUCAGUUGUUCAUUUUACUGUUUGUUUUUUACAUUUGUGCUGUAGAAUAUUUGCUGUCUUCUAUUCACAAUGAUCCUACAUCUAUUAAUUUCAGGUCAUCUUCAACUUCCCGCCGUGUAUUGUGUUCUCUAUUAAUCACUAAACAUAUCUGAUUUUGAUUUGAUAGAAGAAAGGUUUGUGUAAGGUUUAUUCUGUUAAACAUGUUAAAAGAGUAAAUAUGUUGGUACGCAUAGGCUAUGACAAUUGAAACUCAAAAAUAGUAUUAUGUGAUUUUGGAAGUGUUGUUGCUUCAGCAUUAUAAUCAAGUUUUUUCAUCUUGGAAUGUGUUUCUCUUUUGAACUGUGGAACUGCGUGCUAACUGGAUCAAAUAUAUNNNNNNNNNNNNNNNNNNNNNNNNNNGCAAUUUCAAUUGUUCUUUAAAUUUUAUCAUCUCACAUUUGGAUGUUUGUAUUUCUUUCUAACCAUGAUUGGUUGAUUUGCCUCUUCACUAGCUAACUUAUUUGUGGUUUACAUACUUAUUUUGUUUUGGAAUAGUCCUUUUUAUGUUGUCAUUUAAGUGCUAAUUUAUAUUAUUUGUUCUCUUUUUAUAGGUGUCCAAAAUGAAGAAAGAGAUGAAGAAAAUGAUGAAGAUAUUGACCUUACUUGAGAAGAUUUUUGGGUUGUGUAUAAAUGCUCUAAUAUCAAUAGUUUUGUGUUGAAUUUUUUGAAACUUAUCGUGACUUGAACUUGCUACAGUGUAAAAACUUAACUAAUCAUUUUGGACUUGAUUACAUUUUACUUUUGGGUUUAAAUUACUAGCUUGUUCCGUAUUUUGAAUUAUGAGAUUAUUAAUGAAUGAUUUUAUUUUGUGAUGUGUAUAAAUUGUGUUAUAAUUUAUAAAGCAUUGCAACAUAAUAACAAAAGCGUCGCAAUAGAUGCUAUGGCAACGGUUUAAUGUCAUUGCAAUAGAGUCUAUUGCAACGGUUCGUAACCGUUGCAAUAGAUUAAAAUAGGCGUUCCAAUAUGUAAUGAAAUAGUUGUAAUAGGUAGUCAAAAAGUGUUGCAACGGAACAACAAAAGCGUCACAAUAGCUGCUAUCGUAAUGGUUAAUAACCAUUGCAAUAUCAUCUAUUGCGACGGUUAUAAACAGUCGCAAUAGAUGAAAAUAGUCGUUCAAAAAAUAACCGUCUCAAUAGGUCUAUCUAUGGCGAUGGUUUCCAGAAACCGUCACCAUAGCUCUACCUAUGGCGAUGGUCUAGACAACCGUCGCAGAAACCGUUGCAAUAGACCUAUCACAACUCCCACCUAUGGGAUGCUGGUAGAACCGUUGCGAUAGGUCUAUGGCAAUGGUUUUUUGGUCUAUUGCAACGGUUUUACAACCGUUACCAUAGAUCUAAUUUCUAGUAGUGGAUCAUAUUUUGAGAUUCUAUCUUUAAUUUUUGAGACACUAUCAUAAUUUAUGUUUGAAAUGUUGUGACCUCACUGGGAAGAAUGCAGUAACAUUAAAAAUUUCAAUUAAAAAAGAUUCCAAGUUCCAAAAGAACACAAAUAAUUGAGGUAUAACUUCUACCAAUUUAAUUAUCAUAGUAUUUAUUAUUUUCGAAGGUUAGAUGAUCUAUCUACAUUUAUUAUUUAGGAGGAAAUAAUUCUCGCAAUAAUUUUUUUGAUCGAUCAUAUGUGGGCCAAUUGAUUAGUCACAAAUAAAUUGAGGUUAAAGUUUUACUAUGCAUCAUGAUAUCGCCGUGAGUGUAUCAUUGAAUAUUUACAUCUAAUUAUGUACGUUCUUUUAUUAAAGAUAUAUACAAUAUUUAUUUUGAGUAAUUGAAGAAAGUAAUAAGUUUAUCCAUGUACGAUCAUUAGCAAUAGCAAGGUAGAGGAGUGAUGUAGGACAAAACUGAAAGAUAAUAAUAUAUUCUUACAAAGUGUUUUUUUACUUGUGUUUUCUUAAUUUUAUGACUUAUUUGCUCCCUUUUUGUUAUAUUUUAUACCCUGAAUUUAUUUAAAUGGAUUUGCGUGGUAAUCUAGAUACCAUAUAUGGUAACUUUUUCUUUAUCUUUAUCCAUAUAUAUUUGGUAAGCUAUUUCACGCGUAUUUUGGUAACAGCUAGGAAUCCAAGUGCAAGUCCUAAUCUACACAAAAAGGGAAAACACUUUUUUUUUCUCUAUAUAUACUUAGGAGUCCAGUUGCAAACUUCAAUGUUUACGCUUGAUUAGUUUCAUCAAAUAAUGGAGUCAUCCACAUCUGCCAGUCAAAUUCAUGUGUUCCCUCAAUUUCGUAAUGCUAGAAGUACUCUUCCUUGUUCAGUCAAUAUUUCAGGCAAUAAUUUUAACUUGGAGAUUGAUCUACUUGUCAAGUUUGCUUACACUUGUGUUGACAACAUUAUCUAAGAGUACCCCUUUCAUACUAAGUGGUAUGGGAAGUACAACUCAUUAUCACGGGAUAUUGUUGACACGGUGCUGCCUUCAGAAACUAUCUUUCAUUGUCCACUAAAAAGAGUUAAGUGGGAUGGUCUUGAGAAAAUCUUGGAGAGCAAACAUGAUUUAAUCAAACAAAUUUUGGAGUAUGCUCAUACAACACAGAACCUUGCACCUCCUUUGCAAGAUGAUGAUACAGCUUAUGUGGGCCUGAUAAUUGUUGAGAAACUUUAUGUAUCUCCUCACGAAUUUGAACUUACCAAAUCCAGAAUUGUUAAAAACUAAUAUGAUGAAAUUGAAGAAAUAGUUUGGAGAGUUAAUUAUAAAGCAAUCAAGGGAUUGGGACAAUCACACGAACCAUCUUUGUAUGAAAAAUUACAUGGAUUGAAGCCCGUGAAGGGGAUAUAAAACAUGCUGUGAGGAACACAAUAAAUUGUUGGUGCAUGCAUUUUGAUGAGAAUUAUGAAAGGGAACUAGUACAGACUUUAACUAAGCAAACUAGGAGAGUAUUCAUGUCGCUACCUGCAGUAAGAUCAAUAAUGCAGUCUUUGCAAAGAGUUCGUCUUCCAGAAAACGAAUGGACAGACGAGUGUGUGAUAUGCAAGGAGAGUUACUCACGUGGAUCAGAUCCAUACAGCUUGCCUUGAAGCCACAGUUUCCAUUAUGGCUCCAUCGAGAUUUGGCUUCUUAAAACCCAAAUUUUCCCAUGUGUCGUUACAAGUUUCCACCAACGGAGUCCAAAUAGAAGUGAUCUCUUUCUAGUAAUUAAAAUGUAUUUUAAGAUAGGUUAAUUCUAUCAAAAAUUUAUAUUUUCUCUUAUGGCAAAACAAUUCUAGUUAUUGAAUUUAUUAAUAGAAUCUUGGCACCUUCCAACACUUUCACUUUUCCUAUGGAAAAACUAGUCAUAUUUAGCUUCAUGAUACUUGUAUUCACAAUGCAUGAUUGAAAGCUCGAACACUUUUUAUGCCAGGGUAAUUUUUGAUCACAAAAUUAUUGCUUNNNNNNNNNNNNNNNNNNNNNNNNNNNNNNNNNNNNNNNNNNNNNNNNNNNNNNNNNNNNNNNNNNNNNNNNNNNNNNNNNNNNNNNNNNNNNNNNNNNNNNNNNNNNNNNNNNNNNNNNNNUCACAAAAUUAUUUCUUUAAUUCAAAUGCCACAAGCUUUAUAUUUAUGUAUGUUUAUAUAUAUAUAUAUAUAUAUAUAUAUAAAACUUUGUAACCCGAUUAUCUUCACAGAAAAUUGGAUGAAAUUUGACACACAAGAUUAAAGAAGCAGAGCAGUCUGCAAUUCAAUUUAAGAGAUCGAGGACAAAUACACAUCUUAGUCUACAAGAAAUCAAUUAUUAGAAUAGUCUAAUAAACAAGACUAAUACAUCUAGAGACGGACGAUACAGUAGUGUGAUUUUCUAGAAAACCCAUUUCUCAAUCAAUCGAAUAUCCAUUAUUCCUCAAUCUAAAAACAUUGUUAAUCUUUGAUUUUGUUACUUUGUUCUUCUUCAUCUUUUGUUUUUAAAUCAAUUACCCAGAUUAGCUUUGAGUCAUCUAGUAUUAGCAAAAAGGGGCAGAGGGGGGCUAGUCCUCACCUCCUAGCCCACCUCGAUACAACACACAACCAUUAGUGAUAUCAAUCAUAAGUGAUAUUAUCACAACCCGAACCAGGGCCUGGCCGUGACGAGCAUUUCGAACCAUGGAGGCCCGAUACACCCCUAUCUAUCUGGUAAUCAUGCACCUAAUUCAUAUGAUCAAAAUAAUGCGGAAGAAACACAAUAAUUCGGAAACAUGGUCAUAAAUAUGAAAAGAAACAAUAACGGGGAGGUAAGGUUCCCUCAACAUCAAUUAACCUCUAAACAACAGUCUGCGAAAAUCUCUAACAAAUGACUGAGCCAAGUAACCGUAUAUAAACUGGGAGAAGGCCCCCAGUAGACCCCAAAACUGAAUAUAAGAUAAAAGAAUUGCAAGACAUAAGACCUUCUGAAACAUAGAAGGCUCACCACUUGUCUUUGCAACUCUGUCUGAAUGAUCUACUGAUUCUCUUGACCCCUAGACUGGGCCUUUGAACCUGAGAGGUUGGAGAGAAGAGGGGGUUAGCACAAAAGUACUGGAAUGCAGAGAUAUCAAAAUAAAACAUAAUAUUUUUUACAAAAUAUAGUUAAGAGCCAUUAUAAAGCAAUUUCGUAUCAAAUCAUUAGCAAACACAUGGGUGUAAUGCAAUAGUUUCUCAACAACAAUGAAAUGCAACUAAGCUAGGUGAAAUACCCUACAUAAUUUACACCAAAUGUCUAACCUUGGUUGCCGCCGAGAUUAGAGUAUAAGUGAGGGAGAGACACACAAGACCACAUAGCAUGGUGACUUGAACCAAUGGUAGUGCCCAAGAUCACUUAGCCCGGGCUCCUACCUAUAGUCCUAAUUUGGGAAUGACAUAAAGUCAAGUACCCAAGAUCACUUAGCCUAGUACCAAAUCUCUGUGUCGGCAAACACGUUUUCCAGCGAUGAGCCCUUACACUCAAACGCCUUCUUCAGGCAUCCACCUAUCUCAUGUAAAAUCGAUGCAUACAAAUUUCAUCUAAUUCAAUGACAUAUCAUAUUCUGUAGGGUAUCUUCAUACCCGACUUGCAAAUCCUCAAUAUCACUUCCACAUAUGCAAAACCAUGUAAAAACCAAGGUGCUUCAUCAUUUACAAGUGGUGAACAAUAUUUAUUUCAAAUUCAUGCUCUCUUUUGUUGAUCACAAUAUGAUAUGGGGUAUCAAGACAUUAUCAUGGGAAUUUGAAAGAAAUUUAUCAUUCAUAUUUAUCAAACAUCCAUGGAAAAUCUCAAAUCACAUAUGCAUGGUUUGAACCAUUGAAGUUUAUAGGCAAACAAUUCCUAUGACAUAAAGAAAGAUGACUUAGAAAUCAUAUUGAAAGCAAGUUAUUAGCAUUUGAUUGAAAACCCCUAUUUAAAAGACUGCAUGUUCAUAAAAACUACACCCAAGAGAUUUUAGGAUAACCCCAUGUACCUCUACUUCCAAGGAUAAUAGAUGUUUCUUGAAGCUUGCGGAUUGGUGAUUCCCAAUAUGUAAUUAUCUUUGAAAACCUACGGUCGAAUCUUGAACUAUUUGGGUUUUUAUUUUGAAACCCUAAGGAGAAUCUUUGAGCACUUUUGAUGAAUGAAGAUGUAUUUUUGUGGUCCUUGGAACUGAAUUUGGUAUUUUAGGGCUAAGUAAGGGUGUAAAAGGACCACUUUGUCCUCAAAACGGAGUGUUUAAGUCACUAAAAUUCUUUACAUAGGCGCCGCCCAUCCCAUUGCCUAUUUCACAUAGGCGCCGCCUAGGCUAUCGCCUAUGAUUACAUAGGUUCCGCCUAGGCUAUCGCCUAUGUUUACAUUGGCGCCGCCUAGGCUAUUGCCUUUGCUUUCCAGUGGCGAUGGGCGAUUGAUUAGGCGACGCAUAUCACUUAGAAAGGCCAUAAGUUCUUGCUCGGGUGUCGGAUUUUAGCCAAAUUGGUACCGUUGGAAAGCUUACUCGAAUACCUAUCAUUUGACACAUAGUAGGCUUACUAAUUGGACAUAUACAGAGAGUUAUGGUCGAGGGAAACUGACACACUUUACAACAUCCACUAAAACCUAGUCGAUCGAAAUAGUUUCAACUCAUCCAUAAGUUGAAGGACCUCUAUGGUCUAUGUUCAAGAUUGAAUGGAUUCACAUGCUACACAAUAAUUAACAUGCUGUAUUGGCAUAGGAUUUUAUGGCUUCUAAAUUAACAACGCAUCGAAAUCAUGGUCUAUAUUGUAGCCCGAAAUGCGGGGCAUUACAUUAUCCCCCCUUUAGGAUCAUUCGUCACCGAAUGAUGAUACGGGACACAGACAGACACGAUUUCAAGCAUAAUAAAGGACUAGGAAAGAUAAGAUAGGAAUAGUACCUUCUAUAUCCUCUUCCAUCGAAGCAAACAAAUUGGGAUAUCUAAUUCUCAUGUCAUCUUCUGACUCUCAAGUUGCUUCUUCGACUUUCUGAUUCCUCCACAGUACCUUUACUGAGGCUAUCUCUUUCCUCCUCAGCUUUCGAACUUGGCGAUCUAAAAUUUCAACGGGCUCUUCUUCAUAAGACAAGGAGUCUGUCACCUCGAUACCCUCUACUGGCAAUACCAUAGAAUGAUCUCCAAUGCAUUUCUUCAAUAUGGAUACAUGGAAUAUCGGAUGAACGGAACCCAAACUUGUAAGCAAUUCUAGCUCAUAUGCAACUGUACCAAUCUUUUUCAAAAUAUGAUAUGGCCCUACAUAACGAGGGCUCAAUUUAUCCCUUUUUCCAAAUCGCAUAACUCCUUUCAUAGGAGAAACUUUGAGAAACACCCAAUCACAUAUUUCAAACUCUAGUUCCCUUCUCCGAACAUCGGUAUAGGACUUCUGACGACUCUGAGCAGUGUUGAGUCAUUCUCUAAUGAUCUUCACUUUCUCCAUCGCCUGAUAAACAAGAUCAGUCCCAUUCAACUAUGUCUCACCCACUUCAUACCAUCCUAUCAGAGACCUACAUCUCCUCCCAUACAAAGCCUCAAAAGAAGCCAUCAUGAUGCUGGCAUGGUAAAUAUUAUUGUAAGCAAAUUCAACCAGUGGCAGGUGAUCUACCCAACUACCUUUGAAAUCAAUGAUGCAUGCCCUCAACAUAUCUUUGAGGGUCUGAAUGGUAUGCUCAGCUUGCCCAUCCAUCUGAGGGUGGGAAGCUGUGCUCAAAUUCAGUUGUGUACCUAAGCCCUUCUGAAAAGAUCUCCAGAACUGGGAUGAAAACUGCGUACCUCUAUCGGAUAUAAUGGACACUGGUGCCCCAUACAAUCGAACUAUCUCCUCAAUGUAAAUCUUAGCAUAAACCUCUCNNNNNNNNNNNNNNNNNNNNNNNNNNNNNNNNNNNNNNNNNNNNNNNNNNNNNNNNNNNNNNNNNNNNNNNNNNNNNNNNNNNNNNNNNNNNNNNNNNNNNNNNNNNNNNNNNNNNNNNNNNNNNNNNNNNNNNNNNNNNNNNNNNNNNNNNNNNNNNNNNNNNNNNNNNNNNNNNNNNNNNNNNNNNNNNNNNNNNNNNNNNNNNNNUUUUCAGAUCAUGGUACAUCUUAGUAGAGCCUAGGUGAAUGACAUACCUCCAUGUGUGCGCCUCAUUAAGGAUUCUUUCCCGUAGCCCAUCGACAUUCGGAAUGCACAACCUGCCCUAAAAUCUCAGAAUACCAUCACCACCAAUUUCAAAUGACAUAACCUUUUCUUGACCCACAUCUUUCUUGAUUUGCAUCAAGAUGGGAUCUUCAACCUGCUUCUUCUUAACUUCAGCACAAAGGGAUGACUUAGCUAACUCAUGAACAACCACCCCUCCAUCUUUGGAAUCUAAGAGUCGCACUCCCAGAUUUGCAAGGCGGUGAAUAUCCUUCACCAUCUCUUUCUUUCCUUCUUCUACAUGAGAAAGGUUGCCCAUAGACAACCUGCUGAGGGCGUCGGCUACAACAUUUGCCUUGACCGAAUGGUAAUGCAGACUCCUAUCAAAGUCUUUCAAAAGCUCCAUCCAACGUCUCUGUCUGAGGUUCAAUUCUUUCUGUGAGAAAAUAUACUACAAACUCUUAUGGUCAGUAUAAAUAUCAACAUGUACUCCAUAGAGACAGUGCCUCCAGAUUCUAAAUACAAACACCACGACUGCUAACUCUAAGUCAUGAGUGGGGUAAUUGUGCUCAUGCACCUUUAACUACCUAGAUGCGUAAGCUAUUACCUUACCGCAUUGCAUCAAUACACAACUAUGUACCACACGGGAUGCAUCACAAUAAACCACAAAAUCAUCUAUACCCUCGGGAAGGGUCAAAAUAGGAGCAGUAGUCAACUUGUCCUUCAACUUCUCAAAACUAUUUUUACACAAGUCAGACCACGUAAACUUCAUUUUUUUCUAAGUCAGUUUAGUAAGCGGAGCAGCUAUGGAAGAAAAAAUCUCUAUGAACCUAUACCUUGCCAAACCCAAGAAGCUCCGAAUAUUGGUUGGAGUCAUGGGUUUGGGCCAUUUUCUUACUGCUUCAACUUUCUGGGGAUCCACUCUUAUCCCAUCACUGGACACAAUAUGCCCCAGGAAGGCAAUAGUGUCUAACUAGAAUUCACACUUAGAAAAUUUGGCAUACACCAGAUGAUCCUUAAGGGUCUGAAGAAUAAUUCAAAGGUGAGUGGCGUGAUCCUCUUUACUCUUAGAAUAGAUCAGAAUAUCAUCUAUAAAUACAAUGAUGAGCAGGUCAAGAAAUUGACGAAACACUCUAUUCAUAAGAUCCAUGAAGGCUGCAGGGGCAUUAGUCAACCCAAAGGACAUGACUAAAAAUUCAUAGUGACCAUAUCGGGUUCGGAAGGCUGUAUUAGGUAUGUCUAACUCCCUAACUUUCAACUGAUGAUAACCCGAACGAAGGUCUAUUUUUGAAAAACACUUGGCACCCUGAAGCUGGUCAAAAAGGUCGUCAAUCCUAGAAAGAGGAUAUUUAUUUUUAAUCGUGACCUUAUUCAACUAACGGUAGUCUAUGCAUAUCUGAAAGGACCCAUCCUUCUUUCGCACGAAGAGCAUGGGUACACCCCAUGGGGAAACACUAUGACAAAUAAAUCCUUUGUCUAGGAGGUCUGCAAGUUGUUCCUUUAACUCCUUUAGUUCCACGGUAGACAUUCUAUAUGGCGGAAUAGAAAUAGGACGAGUGUCUUGCAACGCAUCAAUGCCAAAAUCUAUCUCCCUAUCAGGGGGUAUCCCUGGGAGAUCUUUGGGAAAGAUUUCUGGGAGUUCAUUCACUACAAGGACUGACUGCGGAGGAAGGUUUUCAACUUUUGAAUCUUUUAAUCGGAUUAGAGGAUACAUACAACCUUUGGAGAUAAGCUUUUAGGCUCAAGAUAAGAGAUAAAGUGACCUCUAGGUUCAACAAAACUCCCUGCCUAUACAAUUGGUGUCUCAUUCGGGAAAGAAAAAGUGACCUUUUGGGUUCUGCAAUCAAGGGUGGCAUAACACGAAUGGAGCCAGUCCAUCCCAAAGAUGGCAUCAAAAUCUAUCAUAUCUAGUUCUAUAAGGUCUGCCACAGUUUCCCUACUAUGAAUAGACACGACACAAUUUCUAUACACCCUUCUAGUAAUAACAGAAUCACCUACAAGAGUAGAAACAGGAAAGGGUUCUACAAUGUCUUCAGGCUCAAACCCGAAACCAACAGCCACAUAAGGGGUCACAUAAGAUAAAGUAGACUCGGGAUCAAGCAAUACAUAAACAUCAAGAGAAAAGAUUCGUAAUAUACCAGUGACAACAUCUGGUGAAGCUUCCGCCUCCUAGCGGUUAGUCAAAGAAUAUAACCGAUUGCGACUGCUCCCGGUACCUGAAGGGGAACCCUUAGGAAAAAAAGCUGUGGAGGCGACUUGGGACUUAGCCGCUCCACCCCCCCCCCCCCCCCCCUCCUCACCCCCAAGNNNNNNNNNNNNUCUCUUAAGGUGACCCACUUUGUCACAAGUAUAGCAGUUUCUUCCCUCAAACCAGCACUUCCCUAGAUGAUUCCUUCCACAAACCUUGCACCACGGAUAAGUACGAUGCUGCUGGGCCACACUGCCCUGAGACUGUGUACCUAGAGCUUUGGAACCAUGAGGAUUUUGAAAAGUCUGAGUUUGUCUGUCUGUCGAUGGUCUGGGUGCUGGCGCGCUGGCUACUGACAGUGCAUUAUUCCUAAACUUCUUCUUUUUCGACCACUUAUUACCCCAGUUACCACUCUGUGGUUGACUCUGGUGCUGGUUCGCAGAUCAAGCUCUAUUAGCCUAACUGUCUUUCUCUCUAGAUUCAAUAAUCUUUUUCUUCUUCUCUUCCACUUGCUGCAUGUCAAUGGUGAGUCGAGCAAAGCUAAGUACCAGGUUAUCAGCAAGGCCAGAUGCAAAUUUCCUCAUCCGAGCUCUUAUAUUACUAGUCAAAUCUGGUGCAUAGCGGGCUAGUUUAUUAAACUUCAAAGUGUACUCCUAGAUACUCAUACUGUGCUGCUUCAGAUUCAUAAACUCUUUCACUUUGGUCUCCCUCAACUCCAGAGGAAAGAAUCAAUCAAGAAAAGCUUCCAUAAAUUUAACCCAAACUGUGGGCUUAGCACUUUCACCUUUUGCAUCUUCCCAGUCGGUAUACCACUGAUUCGCAACGUCCUUGAGCUGAUAGGUUGCUAGCUCCACCCCUUCUACCUCAUCCACAUUCAUCACCUUAAAGAUCUUUUCCAUCUCAUCCAUGAACACCUAUAGAUCUUCCUCCACCUUGGUGCCAGAGAAUUUAGGUGGGUUCAUCUUCAUGAAAUGUCCGACUCUAGUUGCCUCAGACGUAACAGAUGCAGACCCUACAUCUUCCAAUCAUUGAGCCUGGUUAGCUUGUAGCUGUGUCAGCAAAUGAAUGGACCGUCUAAAUUCUACAUUUGAAAUAUCUCCCGGAGCAGUUGGAGGAUGGUUGGCAUUAGUCUGCGGAGCUCAAGGUGGACUGGUUGGGACUGGAGGGACUCCUGGAGUAGGGAAAAAUUCUGGAGUGUAAGCCCUAUUACGGGUUCGCAUCCCAUGGGUGGGACAGACCUCAUCUGCUUGAGCAUUCUGAUCGAUGAUACGAUAUGGAGGCAUAACUGUGUUUCUGAAACACAAGUGAUCAUUGAUUAGGGGACAGUUCAGACUAUGAAGCACGAACUAAAUCACAAAGAAGGAAAACAUUUCCUAAACUCCUAGCAGCCUCCUGCUUAUAUGUGUGGCGCGCUACACACCCAUAAACAAGGCUCUACCUGACACAAUUUCAUAGACACCUUGGGACCAUAAACCGUGCUUUCAUACCAAGUCUGUCUUGACCCAAACCAAGGCCUAGCCGUGACAAGCAUUUCGAACCAUGGAGGCCCGAAACACCCCUAUCUGUCUGAUAAUCAUGCACAUAAUUCAUAUGAUCAAAGUAAUGCGAAAGAAACACAAUAAUUUGGAACAUGGUCAUAAAUAUGAAAAGAAACAAUAACAGGUAGUUAAGGUUCCCUCAACAUCAAUUAACCUCUAAACAACUAUCUGUGAAAAUCUCUAACAAAUGACUGAGUCAAGUAACCGUAUAUAAAAUGGGACAAGUCCCCCAAUAGACCUAAAAACUGAAUAUAAGAAAAAAGUACUGCAGGACAUAAGACCUUUCAAAAUAUAGAAGGCUCACUACUUGUCUCUGCAACUCUGUCUGAAUGAUCUACUGAUUCUCUUGACCCCUAGAUUGGGCCUCUAAAACUGAGAGGUUGGAGAGAGAAGGGGGUCAGCACAAAAGUACUGGCACACAGAGAUAUCAAAAUAAAACUUAAUAUUUUUACAAAAUAUAGUUGAGAGCCAUUAUAAAGCAAUUUCAUAUCAAAUCAUUUGAAAACACAUGGGCGUAAUUCAAUAGUUUCUCAACAACAAUGAAAUGCAACUGAGCUAAGUGGAAUAUCCUACAUAAUUUACACAAAUUGUCUAACCUCGGUAGCCGCUGAGAUUAGUGUAUAAGUGAGGGAGAGACACACAAGAUCACAUAGCAUGGUGUCUCGACCCAAUGGUAGUGCCCAAGAUCACUUAGCCCGAGAUCCUACCGAUAGUCCCAAUUUGGGAAUGACAUAAAUUCAAGUACACAAGAUCACUUAGCCUGGUACCAAAUCUCCAUGUUGGAAAACACGUUUUCCAGCGAUGAGCCCUUACACUCAAAUGCCUUCUUCGGGUAUCCACCUAUCUCAUGUAAAAUUAAUGCAUUCAAAUUUCAUCUGAUGCAAUCACAUAUCAUGUUCUGUAGGGUAUCGUCAUACUCGACUUGCAAGUCCUCAAUAUCACUUCCACAUAUGCAUAAUCAUGUAAAAACCAAGGUGCUUCAUCAUUUACAAGUGGUGAACAAUAUUUAUUUCAAAUUUAUGCUCUCUUUUGUUGAUCACAAUAUGAUAUGGGGUAUCAAGACAUUAUAAUGGAAAUUUGAAAGCAAUUUAUCAUUCAUAUUUAUCAAACUUCCAUGGAAAAUCUCAAAUCACAUAUGCAUGGUUUUCAACCAUUGAAGUAUAUAGGCAAACAAUUCUCAUGACAUAAAGAAAAAUGACUUAGAAUUCACAUUGAAAGAACGUUAUUAGCAUUUGAUUGAAACCCCCCAUUUAAAAGCAUGUAUGUUCAUAAAAACUACGCCCAUGAGAUUUUAGGAUAACCCCACGUACCUUUAUUUCCAAGAAUAAUAGAUGUUUCUUGACGCUUGCAGAUUGGUAAUUCCAAAUAUGUAAUUAUCUUUGAAAACCUACGGUCGAAUCUUGAACUAUUUGGGUUUUUAUUUUGAAACCCUAAGGAGAAUAUUUGAGCACUUUUGAUGAAUGAAGGUGUAUUUUGGGGUCCUUGGAACUGAAUUUCGUGUUUUAGGGCUAAGUAAGGGAGGAAAAGGACCACUUUGUCCCCAAAACGGAGUGUUUAAGUCUCUUGAAUUCUUUACAUAGGCGCCGCCCAUACCUUUGCCUGUGUUUACAUAGGCGCCGCCUAGCCUAUCGCCUAUGUUUACAUAGGCGCCGCCUAGGCUAUUGCCUAUACUUUCCAGUGGCUAUGGGUGACUGUUUAGGCGACGCAUAUCACUUUGAACGGCCAUAACUUCUUGCUCGGGUGUUGGAUUUUAAAAAAAUUGGCAUCGUUGGAAAGCUAACUCAAAUACCUAUCAUUUGACACAUAGUAGGAUUCCUAAUUCGACAUAUAUAGAUAGUUAUGAUUGAUGGAAUCUGACACACUUACAACGUCCACUAAAACUUAGUCGAUCGAAAUAGUUUCAACUCGUCCAUGAGUUGAAGGACCUCUAUGGUCUAAAUUCAAGCUUGAAUAGAUUCACAUGCUACACAAAUAAUUAACAUGCCGUAUUGGCAUAGGAUUUUAUGCUUCGGUAUUAUCAAUGCAUCGAAAUCAUGGUCUGUAUUGUAGCCCAAAAUGUGGGGUGUUGCAGCAUCAUCCAUUUGUAUAAUUGGAUGAAGCCUUUAGCCUGUCUAGGAAGAUGAGAAAGGGACUGAGUGAUAAGAAUCUGCGUAGAGGUGGACGCCAAUUUGGCUAACUAGUCAGCAACUUGAUACCCCUCCCAAAAACAGUGAGUUAAUUGAAUCGCAAUUCUAUUCUUGAUACUUUUGACGUUGUCCACAACUUGUUUCAGCUUCAUAUUAGUGACAAGAUUGUUGUUCAGCAUGUUGGUUAUGAUCGUGGAGUCUAGUUCGAGAGUGAAAUUAGUGUAUCCUUUAUAUUCACACCAUUUCACUCCAAACAGUGCUGCCAACGCCUCUGCCAUAUUACAGCUACUACAAUUGACAGAAAUGGAAAAUACCAUAACCAUAUCACCUCGACUAUUCCUUACAAUUCCACCAAUACCAGCCUUACCACUUUCAUAUAAGUAACUACCGUCUGUAUUGAUUUUAAUACAGUCAGCUUGAGGGAAGCUCCAAGUAACCUGAUGUAACUUUUGAAAUGGCCUGAGCUUCUUUAUUGUGAGACACAGAGUUGGCCAGUGAUUGAUGUCUUGCAAGUCUUUAAAAUAUUUCAUCAUUACAGAUUUGAUAAGACCAAAAGCUUGAUAAAUCAUCUUACUGUAGCAGAAGUGUCUUUGGCCUCCAAAUUUACAAGAACACCAUUGUUUCCAAAUUUCCCAACAAAUGAUACUAGGAGUGAUCUUCAAUAAAAUUUUAUGGAUAUCAUUCUCUGGUCUUACACUCCACCAAGUGUUAAAGAUGUCGACAAUUGGUUGAUUUACAUGUUGAAUUCCAAAGGGAUUUCCCAUGCUAUUCCUUAUGUGCUUUGCUGCGUCACCUUGCCAAAAACAUGAUGCAUAGUAUCAUUUUAUACAAUCCUACAACAAAAGCAAUCACUUUGUGAGUUAAUAUUCAAUUUAAUAAUGACGUCAUUAAAAGGUAAUCUCCUUUUAAUCAUCCUCCACGCCAGAAAAGAGAUUUCAAAAGGAACUCUAUUAUGCCAAAGAUUAUUCAGGAAAGCAGUGUUGGGUCUUUGAUUCCUAACAAUCAGCCAGGNNNNNNNNNNNNNNNNNNNNNNNNNNNNNNNNNNNNNNNNNNNNNNNNNNNNNNNNNNNNNNNNNNNNNNNNNNNNNNNNNNNNNNNNNNNNNNNNNNNNNNNNNNNNNNNNNNNNNNNNNNNNNNNNNNNNNNNNNNNNNNNNNNNNNNNNNNNNNNNNNNNNNNNNNNNNNNNNNNNNNNNNNNNNNNNNNNNNNNNNNNNNNNNNNNNNNNNNNNNNNNNNNNNNNNNNNNNNNNNNNNNNNNNNNNNNNNNNNNNNNNNNNNNNNNNNNNNNNNNNNNNNNNNNNNNNNNNNNNNNNNNNNNNNNNNNNNNNNNNNNNNNNNNNNNNNNNNNNNNNNNNNNNNNNNNNCUUUUCCAAGUUUGUGAGUCAGCUGACGUAGGAACUUUGCUCACUGGAUGUGAUCUCUUGCAAUAUUUCUUCAUUAAAAAAUCAGCCCAAAGAGAUGGUUGGGUCCUGAACCUCCACCAUCUUUUAAGUAUCAAUGAAUUGGAGAUAUCAUGCAUCCUUCUUAUUCCAACGCCACCUUCUUCUUUCAGGAAACAUAGAUUUUCCCACUUUCUCCAAUGAUACUUAUUUUUACCAUCACUAGUUCCCCAAAGAAAGUUAGUAAAAUGCAUCUCGAUAAGGCAGAUGGUACCCUUAGGCGGGUUGAGGGCAGAGAGAGUAUAAAUAGGUAUGGAUUGCAGGACAUGCUUAAUAAGUGUAAUUUUUCCACCAUCAGAAAGCAUGCUACUUUGCCAUCCAUUUAGUCUCUUAACAAUUUUUGCAAGCAUACUAUCAAAAUAGCUGAGAUUUUUCUUUCCAUUAUAUAUUGGAUAACCCAAAUAAUUGAAAGGAAAUUUUUUAUCCAUAUAACCAGUCAUUCUUCUUAUUCUGUUAAUCCUAUGAGGAGAAGUAUUUGGAGCGGUUAUGAAAAAGCUCUUGUCAUUAUUCAUUUUUUGACCAGAGGCUUUUUCGUACCUCCUGAUUUGAUGCUUAAUGAGUUUGAUCAUCUUGUUGUUACCCCCGCUAAAAAUCACUAUAUCAUCAGCGUAAGCUAGAUGAUUAAUGAUACGACGAUUGUGAUUCAUGCUGAAAGGAGUAAAAUUAUCAUCGGAGUUGAGAUUGUUCAACAUUGUAGAUAAAAGCUCAGAGCCAAUAAUGAAGAGAGAAGGAUUGAGGGGAUCACCGUUUAAGGCCAUGGGAGGAGCUAAAAAAACCAACUCUAGUUCCAUUAAUGAGAAUGGAAUACCAGACCUUGGCAAUAAUUCUCCAAAUCAUAUCCAGCCAAAUACCAGAAAAACCGAACCUCUUCAUAACACUCAUUAAAAAAUUCCAUGACAUUUUAUCAUAUGCCUUGGCCAUAUCAAGCUUCAUUAUUAGAUUGCCGCCUUUAUUGUAUUGCUUAAUACUCUGAGCAAUCUCUUGAGUAAGUAAAAUAUUAUCAGUAAUUAAUCUACCUUUAACAAAACCACUUUGAUUAUCAGAGAUUAUCCUACCCAACAGGGGAUUAAGCCUAUUAGCAAGAAUUUUGGAAAUAAUUUUACAAGUGAAAUUACUCAAACUAAUAGGUCUAAGUUCAGAAAAAUUAGAUGGCGAAUCUAUUUUCGGAAUAAGAAUCAGGCAAGUAUGUGAAUAAAACUUAGACAAGUUCUUCCCCCUAAAGAAAUCCUGACCACAGUUCUUAAUAUCGUUUUGAAUAAUAUCCCAGCAACUAUGAAAAAACAUACCAUAAUAUCCAUCAGGCCUUGCAACACUUGCCGCACUCAUAUUGAGUUCAUCGGAAGUUGUACGGUUUGUUGUUGCUGAGAAUUGAGAUAAGAACACAAAAGCCAUAGUUUCGAUCGUCAGGUAACAACAUUCUUAAUCUUUCAUUUCGUUUAAAAAAAGUUGUUACUUUGCUCUUCUUCUUCAUUGUUUUAAUGUAUUAUUACUAUUUUUUUUUUGUAGUGGUACUGACGAGAGUGUUAAUGAAAAUUGGAUUUUGGUAGAACAAUUUGUUAAGUACUUUGAGAGGUAUGGAGAGAUAAUAGACUUGGUGAUUAUGAAAUAGGCAUACAGGUAGAUCCAGAGGUUCUGGGUUCAUCACUUAUGCAGAUCCAACCGUUGUAGACACUGUUAUAGCCAAAAACCAUAUUUUCAAUGACAAACUUGUAGACACUAUUAUAGCCCAAAACCAUAUUAUCAAUGACAAACAAGUGAGUAGUUUAGCUUCUGCUUGUAUGUACCUCCUCUUUUCAUGUUCAAUUGAUGUUGAAUUGGAGUUGUGAGAUAUUAUAAAACUAUGCUCAACUUUGUUGACUACCUUUAAUAUAUAUACACACUUUAGUUAGUCAUGCUUUAGGUAGAGGGUCUAUAGGAAACAACCUCUCUAUCUCUAAGUAGGGGUAACAUAUGUAUAUGGGAUUACACUGGGUAUAUUGUUGUUGGAGUUUAGUUAGUCAUGUUCUAAGCCGAGUGACUUGUUGAAUACAAAAGAAAGAGGUCUCAAGUGUGGAAGAUUCUAGAAGAAGCAAUAAUAGACUAGUUGUUUUUCUAUUAUUAAUGUUUUCAGUUAGUUACACUAGUGCUAACAGCUAGUUAGUUAGUUAGUUAGUUAGCCUAAUCUCUAGCCUACAAAAUGUAUAUGACUAUACACAUUGAAGUACAAUGAAUAUAGGUAGUUACUCUUCUCUCUCAUUUUCUUCCUCUCUCAAUUCUCUUCCUUCCUUUGUUCUACAAACACUAUCAAACUUUGUACUUCCUUCAUUGAUGAAUUAAUAAGAAGCUUACUGCUAUCUUGUAUAAUUACAUGGUAUCAAAGAGAUUCCUUCUUGUGUCCUUAUUAUAUACAGAGAUGGAUCAUAUUGACUUUGAACAAACUGAGACCUUAGUAAGACUUCUGAUAGCUUUGUGUUCCAUUGUCUAGGUGCUUGCUUUAAGCCAUAUAGGGAUUUGGCCAGUCUGCAUACUGAAUUCUCCCCCUGACUGGCAAAUCCCUGAGGUACCUCCAUGUAUACUUUAUCAGUGAGGUCACCAUUUAGAAAUGCAUUGUACACAUCCAUUUGAUGAACAAACCAAUUCUUCUUUGCAGUAGUACUACAAUGGAUUACAAUCAUCCUCUCUUUCUCAGUCCCUUUGAUAUUAGUGGAACACAGAUCAUCUCAUUCCAUUGAAAAGUGUGGAAAAUUUCCCUAUCUGGUUUAGGUCUAUGCGUGUAGCUCUGUUAGGAAGGAAUAAAUUAGGACUUGUUGAUAGUUCUUGCACAAAAGAAAAGUUUUCUUCUGAUCUGGGAAACCACUGGGAAAGAGUAAAUGCUAUUGUAUUAUUAUGGAUUAUGAACUCUGUUUCUAAAGAUUUAUUAGGUGGAAUCAUGUAUGCAUCAUUUGCAAGUGUUGUGUGGAAUGAGUUGCUUGAAAGAUUCAACAAAUUAGGUGGUGCUAGAAAUUUUAAUCUGCACAAGAAAAUUGCAACACUAUCUCAAGGAACAGCUUUUGUGUCCUGCUAUUUCUCAAAACUGAAGGAUCUAUGGGAAGAAUUUGAGGCACUUGUGCCUACUCCUAGUUGUAAUUGUGAAAAGUCCAAGGAGUUUGUUCUACAUCUACAAAAGCUAAAGUUGUUUCAUUUCCUCAUGGGACUAAAUGAGACAUAUACAUAGGCUAGAAGUCAGAUACUACUUAUGGCUCCUCUGCCUACUAUCAAUUAGGCAUAUGCCAUGAUAAUGAGUGAUGAAAGCCAAAAAUCUAUAGCUACUAAUGCAGGUGUGCUAGGAUUUGGUCCUGCAGGCAUUGGUAGAAGUCUUGGCUUGGCCAUGUUAACAAGAAAUAGGACACCGAUAUUCAUGAAGAACUACAAUUUGCAAUGUGACUUCUGUAAGCUAAAAGGUCAUACUAAGGAAAAUUGUUGGAAGUUAGUUGGAUAUCCUCAAGAUCACAAGUUCAAAAAGUGGUUCAGGUCCGAAGGAGCUAAUGCAUCAUACAAGGUGACUAGUGAUUCUCAAGAUACUACAAAAAUGACUACAAGGCAAGGUUCACAUUCAAGGUCUGUCCAAAGUAACUGGUUCAACGAUGGAUGCCAUCAAGAAGAAUCUGAAAUGCAGUUGGAUCAACUAGGUCAGAUGGGAACAAAAGCCUUUACUAAGGAACAAUAUGAUCAAAUCCCGAAGAUAAUCAACAAAAAUAGUGGUGCUAGCACUUCUACUGAGACAACAAAUGCAACAAAUGCAACAAAUGCAGGUAUUAGUGUAUUUCUAGCUUCAUAUGCUUCAUGAAAUUGGAUAAUUGACACUGGUGCCACAAAUCACAUGGUUGGAAAGCUAGACCUACUAGUGAAUAAGUCCAUAACAAAACUAGAUAAGCCAAGAAGGGUGCAUUUACCUAAUGGUGAUCUGACUGAAGUUACACAUGUAGGAUCUAGUUAUGUGUCUACUGAAAUUGGAUAAUUGACACUGGUGCCACAAAUAACAUGAUUGGAAAGUUAGACCUACUAGUGAAUGAGUCCAUAACAAAACUAGAUAAGCCAAGAAGGGCGCAUUUACCUAAUGGUGAUCUGACUGAAGUUACACAUGUGGGAUCCAGUUAUGUGUCUAUUGAAAAUAGUAUAACAAAUGUGUAUCAUAUUCCUCAGUUUACAUGUAGCUUGCUUUUAGUAUCACAACUGACCAUGGAAUGGAAAUGUUUAGUGAACUUCUUUCCUGAUUUUUGUGUUUUUCAGGAUCUUUGUACUGUAAAGGUGAGGGGGAUUGGUAAGCUUGAUGGAGGUUGGUAUCUCUUAGUGAAUACUUAAGAAAAGAAGGUUGCAAUAGCAACAAAAGUCUCUACUAAAGCUAAUAAAAGUAAAGCCUAAGCUGAGGUUGAUCUGUGGCAUAGAAGAUUAGGACAUGCCUCCUCUAGUAUACUUCUAAAGUUGCUACCUACUAAAUUUCAUGUAGUAGAAGAUAGAGCAAAAAAAUGUACUAUCUAUCCUUGUGCCAAGAAAACCAAACUUCCUUUUCCUACAAGUAAUACUCAGUCUGCAUGUUGUUUUGAUCUAAUACAUAUGGAUCUAUGGGGACCUUAUAGAAUUCCUACUAUGAAUGGUAAUAAAUUCUUCUUAACAGUGGUUGAUGAUUGUUCAAGGUUUACUUAGUUGUUCUUAUUGAAACUCAAGUCAAAUGUGUAUGUGCAGAUACAAUAAUUUCUUGAGUAUGUUAAGACAGAGUUUGGCAAAACUGUGAAAGUAAUUAGAACUGACAAUGGAACUGAGUUUGUGAACUCAUUAUGCAGUAGUUUAUUUGCAACCAAAGGUAUUGUACAUCACACCUCAUUUUCUUAUUCACCUCAACAAAAUGGUGUGGCUGAAAGAAAGCACAGACACAUCCUAGAAGUCACAAGAGCAUUGAGGUUUCAAGCAACAAUACCUGUUAAGUAUUGGGGAUAUUGUGUUUUAUCUACUGUGUAUCUCAUAAAUAGGUUACCUAGUUCAAGUAUUGAUUAUUAUAUUCUAUAUGAGAAAUUAUAUGGUACUAAACCAUCUUGUGAGAACCUAAGAGUAAUAGGUUAUCUCUGUUAUGCUAAGGUACUAAAUGAGUUUAACAAGCUCAUGCCAAGAUCAAGAGCAGCUGUGUUGAUGGGAUAUUCUAGUACUAAGAAGGGAUAUGUCUUAUAUGACAUAUCUACUAAUGUUUUCUUUGUUAGCAGGGAUGUGUCUUUCAGGGAAGAUGUGUUUCCUUUCAAGCUUAAAGCAGCUGAUGAUCAGAUUCCCUAUCAUGUGUUUCCAUUAGAAGAUCAAUAUUCAGCAGCAAGUGAUGUUAUGGCACCCUUGUAGGCUCCUAUAAAUGUCUCAUCUCAAGAGGUUCCAAACAUUGUGAACCAGGAAGAAAACCUACAGCCUCAUGUACCUAGUACUAGACAGACCAUAACCAAGGUAUAUCAAAAAAGAUCAAGAAAACAUCAAGAGGUUACUUAGCAAGAACAUCAACUACAAAGGGUUCCUAAUACUACACAGCCUGCAACUCAACCAUCAGCAGCUCUGUAAUACCCCGUAUUUUUGGGCUAGAGUUUAGACCAUCAUUCCUACGUAUAUAGACCUGAACUAAAUUAUUCUUGUAAUGCCCCGCAUUUCGGGCUACAAUAUAGACCAUGAUUUCGAUGCGUUGAUAAUCCCAAAGCCAUAAAUCCUAUGCCAAUAUGGCAUGUGAUUAUUUUCAUAGUAUGUGAAUCCAUUCAAGCUUGAAUUUAGACCAUAGAGGUCCUGCAACUCAAGGACGAGUUGAAACUAUUUCGAUCGAUUAUGUUUUAGUGGACAUUGUAAUUUUUGUCAGCUUCCAUCGACCAUAACUCUCUGUAUAUAUUGAAUUAGAAAGCCUACUAUGUUUCAAAUGAUAGGACUUUGAGUUAGCUUUCCAACGAUACCAAUUUUGCUAAAAUCCGGCACCCGAGCAAGAAGUUACGGCCUUUCAAAGUAGUAGGCGGUGCAUAUGUAAACAUAGGCCAUAGCAUAGGCAGCACCUAUGUAAACAUAGGCGAUAGCAUAGGUGGUGCCUAUGUAACCAUAGGCGAUAGCAUAGGCAGCGCCUAUGUGUAAUGCCCCGAAAUAUCAUCCCAAGAUGCCACAUGGUGCCCAUGGCUACACGUAGCCUCAAGCUAACCCUUUAAGACAAAACACUACCCUUGGGUUCCAACACAACAACGUACACACUACUCUAAGGAUAUAUAUAUAAGUGCAUAUCAUAUCAAAUCGCACAUGGCACGGAAUAUCAUUAGACUGUACAUAUAUAGAAUGUCUAUACACAAACCAACCCAACAAUACACUAGUCUGACAUAACCUCUAUACAGCAAAAUCAAUGAGCCAUUGGGAAAAACCCCCAACUAACUCAACAGACCAAAGGGAUCACAAAACAACAACACCAAAACUAGCAACUUGGUCCUCGAACCAUGAGGACUCACCACUGAAGGAAUAUAGAUGCAGCACUCGGUUAUCACUGUCGUGGCUGCGACUGAGUACCUGAACCUACAUCAUGGUAAGAAUGUAGCCCAUAGAGAAAUAUGUAGGUCAGCACAAGAUACGUACUGAGUAUGUGGGGGCACAUGCAAAAUAUAAAUAAUAUCAUAAAUUUUUGUAAAAAUGUACAUACGGACCAUAAUGACACACCUGGCUUGAGUGACAUUGAAUCAUGCAACUCAUAACAUCUUAGAUAGGAAAUGUAGGAGAAAAAUCUCAUAAAUCAUCAUAGGCAACUUGACUUACCACAUCAAAACUCGGAGUGACUCGGUAUUUCAAUAAACAUGACUCUUAUGGACAGGGGAGUUUCCUAUAACCGACAACCCCACGUGAGCUAUGUGGAAUACCAACGUUUGAAACCCCCAUUAGCGGGAGCGUCAUACUAUUUUCCAGGGAGUACGACCUUAAAACUGAAAUAAUCACAAUCGAGCUCUCUGGCCAAUAAUAUCAUCAUCAAACAACCCUAUGGUGGCACAUAGGUUUGGGGAAAUAGCAAAUUUCCCUCUCGGUGCUAAGUAAUACUCCCCGACAAGCUCAGAACGCGUUAGGAAUUCCGCUGCAAAACAUCUCAAGGGUCAACAAUGAUGACCAAAAUCAUGUAUAUUUCUCAAAUUAUUAAAUAAUCAUUUGUGGAUCCCUAACUCGACUCAAAUCAAGAAUAUUUUCCAACAUCGAAACGUAUUCAAUAUCAAUAUUUCUCAAUUUGCCAUCCAACUCUCAUUUAAAGGUACUUGAGACAUCAACCCAUAGUAGGGAUAUAGAAUUUCCAAUAUCAAUUAUAAAUUCAUAAUAAGGAAAUAGUGGAAUGAUAGUCUAAAUCAAGGCUUAACAAAUUAAAUCAUCAUACUCUCAUAAUCAAAUACUUUUUGGACAUAAUUCCAUCUCAACAUCAUACACAUAUCGGAUGACAUAAUCCCAUAGCUCAUGGACAAUAAUAUAAGAUAAAAAAACCAUAUUUCCAAUUCUUGGUAAAACAUGUAAAAUAUCUUGUCAAUGUAAUUCAACAAAAAUACUGGGCACAAGAUCGAAAGGAUAAUCUUGUUCAAAGCCCCACAUACCUAAGAAUGGAAGAUGAAUAUGAACUUCCAACUUCGGAACUUUAUUCACAAAAAUAAAGGGUGCUUGUCGAAGCCCUUAACAUGAUCAACUCGAAUCCCAAAUCAAUUUUAAAUUUUUGCGGUUCAAUCAAGAGACAUAGAAGGAUGAAAUUUAGAGUAGUAGGGUUGGGGUUUGAGCCUUAGAAAAUUUUGGAGAAAAAUGAGCUACUGAAUGCUAUUAAUGGACUUAAAUCCAUCGUUUACCCGGAUGGAUUGAAGUGGGAAUGAACAAAAUACCCUUAAAAAUCAAAUAAUAUCAAAUCUGUCCUCUGGUGGACUGUUUUGAUAGGCUGAAGUAGAUCGAUCAUAACUUUUUGCUUCGUUGGUCAAAUUGGAUGAAACCAAUUUCAUUAGAAAGAGGAAUUUCAGAGAUUUAUGUUGAUAUAUAGUAGCUCACUCAUAUCAUUAUGUACAAGGAGUUAUGAUCAUUUGAAGUUGACCCUAAAAUUCAUCUGGCCUCAGUAUUUUUUUCCUGCACAUUUACUGUUCACCACUAUUCACGGUUAGAUCAGAAUGAUCAUAACUCAUCGCUCGAGUGUCUGUUUUGGAUGAUACACAUAUCGUUGGAAAUAUUAUUCGAUGAUCUACGUGAUGACGGAUCGCAUAUCAAGAAAUUCCACAAAGAAAAAUUAUUAAUCACGAUAAAGAACAGAAUUCAACACAUUUUCGUCCGAGAUCUUAAUGGAAAAUUUUUCUGGGGCAUCACCCUAUGUAAAGGUUUCAAGUGACUUAAACACUUCAUUUUUGGGGAAAAUGGUCCUUUUCCACCCUUACUUAGCCCUAAACACAAAAUUCAGUUCCUAAAGACCCCAAAAUAUACCUUCUUUCAUCAAAACUGUUCAAGAACUCUCUCUAGGGUUUCAAAAAUAAAAACCCAAGUAGUUCAAGAUUCAACCAUGAUUUUUCAAAACAAAUUGAAGAUUUGGAAUCUCCGAAACGUAGGCUUCAAGAAGCACCAAUCAUAUUCACAUAUAGAGGUACGUAGGGUUAUCCAAAAAUCUCAUGGGUGUAGUUUUAUGAACAUGCAUGCUUUUAAAUGGGGGUUUUCAAAAAUACUAAUAACUUGCUCUUAUUAUGAUUUUAAAUGUGUCUCUCAACUAUAUUUUGUAGAAAUAUCAUGUUUUGUUUUGAUAGCUCUGCGUACCAGUACUUUUGUAUUGACCCGCUUCCUCCCAGGUUAGGAGGCCCAGUCUAGGGAUCCAAAAAAUUAGUAGAUUCCUCGGACAGAUUUGCAGAGUCACUUGGUGAGCCUUCUAUAUUUCGGAAGGCCUGAUUAUCUGACAGUGUCAUUUAUCACUAAUUAGUUUGGGGUCUACUGGGGGCCUUGUCCCAGUUUUCAGAUAGACAUUUAUUUCAAUUAUGUAGUAGAGAUUUCGCAGACGUUAUAGGGGUGUUGAUUUGAGAUUUUGGGACAUUAUUCCCUAUUAUUGCUUUCAUAUGACUCUUGACCAUGUUUUCCAUAAUGUUAUUGUCUUCCGCAUCUCUUUAUCAUUUGAAUUAUAUGCAUGAUUACAAGACAGAUAGGAGUUUUUUGGGCCUUCAUGGUUUGGGAUACUCGUCACGGCUAGGGCCCCGGUUUGGGUCGUGAAAAACUUGGUAUCAGAUCACGGUUCAUGGUCCCAGGGUGUCUGCAAAAUCGCAUCAGGUAGAGUCUUAUUUAUGCGUGUGUAGCAUGCCACACUUAUAAGCAGGAGACUACAAGGCAUUUAGGAAGAUCUCUCUUUUUUCAUGUUCUAGUUCGUGCAAUAGAGUCAGAAUGUUCCUCCUUCAUACUCUAAUUCGUGCUAUGGUGACGUCCAUACGAAAGUAAAAUCGUCCCAAAUUCUUUCCAUACUCGGAUAUUCUCAGACCCAUCACAUUACUAGGGUGAUUCAAGUGCAAAAGUUUAGAGUCUAAAUGGUAUUGUCCCUUCGGAUCGCAUCAUAUAAGAUCUUAAAAUUGUGCAAGGACUUGACAAGAGUCCGUUAUUGCUUCAGAGUGUAUGGGUUCUAGUGUGAACCUUGAUCUUGAUAAAAUCGUGCUUUUCAGCCUUCUAUAUUGAGUGUAUUCGGCCCUUUUUAGAAAUUUAUGUUGCAGAUGUCAUGCUUAAGGGAAAAGAUAUAUAGUAGAAGUGUUGGAAUUGUAUUUCCACCCAAAUAGUAGUAUAAGUUAAAGUGUCAGUGUCAUGACCUGUUGGUAGCUAGUAGCGUGUGUGGAUUGUAUGAUAAUCUGUGGGGGGAAAUAUUUGACUCAGAUUUUUAUCUAUACAAAGUAAGAUGUGUAUUCUCAGAUUAUGGAAUAUUGUGUGACAAGUUUCUAUCUCUUGAAAAUUUUUAUCAUUGUGUUGAUGAAACUAAAAAGUCUAGUGAAGUUGUGUGGGGCUCUUUCGAUUCACUAGCAUAGUUGACAUGUCAUUCAUCCUAUUUUCUUGUUCAAAAAAAAAUCAAAGUCUAGUGAAGCCGUGUGAGGCCUAUUUUGAUUCAUUAGCAAUUUGUCGUUCAACGUGUUGUUCUUGUGUUGGUUGAAUCUAUGUAUAGAUGAAUCUUUUUGCAUGAGAUAGAGUUGGUAAUGAAGUGAUUCAUCCUUGUGUGUUAUUAGUAGAAGGUAGAGAAGGAGUUGUUGGUUAGGGUGAUUUGUUGGUUGCUUGAAUGUGAAAAUGGCUAUAUUAGCGAGUAAGUUAUGAUUAUAGACUCAUGGUUGUUUGAGGAAUUUGAAGGUAGUGUAAAUGUAUGAUUGGGUAAGUAAUUGUGAUGUGAGGAAGCAGUAUAAGUAGAUACGAUUGUACGGAGUUAUAAUAUAAGGAUAAGUUGACCAUGUCUAUUAUGAGGCUUUAACCCCCUUGACCCUCUUUUCAUUGGUAGUUGUAGUAAACUAGUGCUACUUGUGAGAAGGUAUGUAGUAGAUUUUUAAGAUAUUUGGGUAGAAUGUCCCAAUUUGAUGGAUUAGUAUAUUUAUAUUAUGUUGCAUUCUUCAUUGGUGGUAGAUGAUUGAUACUAAACUAUAGGCUUGAAUUUAAAUGGUGUGGUGGUAAAUAGUGGAAAAAGUUUGACGAUGCAUGUUUUGUGGGGUUAAAUUAGUAGGCUUGAGGUGCUGAAAUAGUACAUGCUAAUGGAUUAUGAUAAGGAAAACCGUUAUAUCAUGAUCGAUUAUGGUGGUUAUGAAGUUCUAGUGCACUAGUGUUUCGUUAUGUUUAUUUAUAGUUCCAAGUGAAAAUUUUGUGUAAGGUUGGGUUGUAAAUCAUAUUUAGCACUAGACAUUAAGUUUGAACAGUUGAAGUUCAUAAAGGUGGAUGUGAUGAUUUCUUGAUCAAUGAUGUUAGUUAUAUGAAAGUGAUCUAAUAGGCUUGAACGGUGUAUGAAAUGGCUUAAGUUUAAAUUGAUUCGUAAUGAAGUAUAAUGUUGUAGGUAUGGUGUAGAAGUAUGCCAAGGUGAUAUGAGGUUNNNNNNNNNNNNNNNNNNNNNNNNNNNNNNNNNNNNNNNNNNNNNNNNNNNNNNNNNNNNNNNNNNNNNNNNNNNNNNNNNNNNNNNNNNNNNNNNNNNNNNNNNNNNNNNNNNNNNNNNNNNNNNNNNNNNNNNNNNNNNNNNNNNNNNNNNNNNNNNNNNNNNNNNNNNNNNNNNNNNNNNNNNNNNNNNNNNNNNNNNNNNNNNNNNNNNNNNNNNNNNNNNNNNNNNNNNNNNNNNNNNNNNNNNNNNNNNNNNNNNNNNNNNNNNNNNNNNNNNNNNNNNNNNNNNNNNNNNNNNNNNNNNNNNNNNNNNNNNNNNNNNNNNNNNNNNNNNNNNNNNNNNNNNNNNNNNNNNNNNNNNNNNNNNNNNNNNNNNNNNNNNNNNNNNNNNNNNNNNNNNNNNNNNNNNNNNNNNNNNNNNNNNNNNNNNNNNNNNNNNNNNNNNNNNNNNNNNNNNNNNNNNNNNNNNNNNNNNNNNNNNNNNNNNNNNNNNNNNNNNNNNNNNNNNNNNNNNNNNNNNNNNNNNNNNNNNNNNNNNNNNNNNNNNNNNNNNNNNNNNNNNNNNNNNNNNNNNNNNNNNNNNNNNNNNNNNNNNNNNNNNNNNNNNNNNNNNNNNNNNNNNNNNNNNNNNNNNNNNNNNNNNNNNNNNNNNNNNNNNNNNNNNNNNNNNNNNNNNNNNNNNNNNNNNNNNNNNNNNNNNNNNNNNNNNNNNNNNNNNNNNNNNNNNNNNNNNNNNNNNNNNNNNNNNNNNNNNNNNNNNNNNNNNNNNNNNNNNNNNNNNNNNNNNNNNNNNNNNNNNNNNNNNNNNNNNNNNNNNNNNNNNNNNNNNNNNNNNNNNNNNNNNNNNNNNNNNNNNNNNNNNNNNNNNNNNNNNNNNNNNNNNNNNNNNNNNNNNNNNNNNNNNNNNNNNNNNNNNNNNNNNNNNNNNNNNNNNNNNNNNNNNNNNNNNNNNNNNNNNAGAGUCACGUACUCUUCCAGUUCCAAGAUAAUGAGUUCUAGUUCAUCAAGUAGUCGGAAUCACAUUCCUUAUGUUAUGAACUCUAGUUGAGGUCAUGCAACUCAUGACGCAUGUACUCACUCUUUAUAGUGUGCUCAGUCGUGUAUAAAAAUCUUUUCAUGCUUCAGGAUCUUAUGUUUUAACCUUUUAGUGACCCUCCCUAUGCAAUGAUAGUGGUGAUAAUGUAAAUGUUCUUAUAGAUAGAAGAUCAUAGUAUGUUUGAUUAGAUAAGGCCAUAAGUAAGAAGUAAGAGUUAGGGCCAAGUCUUUGAUACACGUGAUGGUUAGUGGAAGAGUUUGUGUGUGUAUGUCUUAGGGUAGCGCAUGGGAGUUAUAUUGACAAUAGUUUAGAAACUAUGUGAAGUAUGUAUUUAUGGGUGGUUGCCUUGAAGUUAACAUGUGGUUAUAAAUUAGGCUUGAAUGACAUUUUGGGAUUGUAGUGGAAGGUCGUAAUAUGCAUUAGCGACUUCAUAUUAAGAGUUCAGAGUAGUCAUUGAAGUGGUAAGGAAUGUUAUACGUAGGAUGUGAUCUUUAAAGGAGAUAUAGAAGGUGGCAUCAUAUGGUUUAGAAUAAUAGCGUGGUCUGGCAUGUUGUAUUUUUUGUGUGACUUAGAGUUAGGCUUGAUCACGGCGAAGGGAUUAAGUUAUUUCCAACACCAGUAGAAAGAUUUGUCAAUGCUCAUAUGAGAAUUUUAAGCUGAAUUGAAUGAAUAUGAUAUUUAUAGGAAUAGUAUAGUUAAGGGAUAUUCGAGAAGUGUGCUAAGCUUGAAAGUAAGAAGUUGUAUUUCCAAAGGUCUGGUAAUUCUAUCCUAAUUUAGGAGUUAUAUGUCUAUAUUCUAGACUACAGAGUGGUUUUAUUAUGUUGAUUCCUUAGUGGGUGUCUUGUGUAAUCCAUACCCAAGAUUCGUGGCUCCCUAUUACUGCUAGAACUUUUUUAGAGAGAGUGUUGAAGAGAAUACUCCAGUUAAGUAUGAGGGUGUAGUAUAAUUCAGUUUGUAUGGCCAAUAAGUCAGUUUAGCAGUCAGAUCCACAUGACUUGUUUUCUCGUCUUUGCACUUAUUCAUGCUACCUGAAAUCUGAGACAUGCUACUAUUCCAAGAUAGAGCAUACUAGUAAUUGUGAAUAUAGAUCAGUUUGUGCGUCAUGCAUUAGAUUCAGAUUCCAGAGGUUCAGUUAUAAUUCAAUUCGUAGGUGCCCUAUGCAUUGCCUCAGUUUUUCGAGUGUCUUAGUGAAUUGAGCAUUCAUAGAGGGACAUAGGGUCCCAAGGGGGAGAUACCCCAUUCAGCUGCAUGCAUAGAUUGUUAUUACAAGCUUCACACCAGUUAUCAUUUCAUAUUUAGUCAUACGUUAUAUGUCAUACGUCAUACGUCAUACGUCAGUUCAGUCAGAUAUGCAUGCAUUAGAAAUGUAUGUUCAAUAGAAAAGUUCAGCUUAUCAGUGUAUUCAGUUCUGCGUUCAUAAGAACAACUCAGUAACAAAUCCAUGCAUCAUAUAUGCAUGAUUCAUUAUGAGAAUUCAGCCUAUGAGUCGCUUCAGUUGUGUAUUCCAUGCAUCAGAAAUGCACAUCCAGUAUAAGAAUUUAGAACAUCAGUAGUUCCAGUCUUAUAGUCAUGUUUCAGAUCAGUGUAUUCUUUCUUAGAGAAACAUAUCAUGUCCGCGUUAUUCCAUACCUCUAAGCUUUAAUAUGUUCCUACCUAUCAUUCAAGGACAAAUGAUCCCAAGGGGGAGAUAAUGUAACACCCCAUAUUUUCGAGCUAGAGUUUAGAUCAUCGUUCCUACGUAUAUAGACCCGAACUGAAUUAUUCUUGUAACGCCCUGCAUUUUGGGCUAUAAUAUAGACCAUGAUUUUGAUACAUUGAUAAUCCCUAAGCCAUAAAUCCUAUGCCAAUAUGGCAUGUUAAUUAUUUGUGUAGUAUGUGAAUCCAUUCAAGCUUGAACUUAGACCAUAGAGGCCCUUCAACUCAAGGACGAGUUGAAACUAUUUCGGUCGAUUAAGUUUUAGUGGAUGUUGUAAUUUGUGUCAUCUUCCAUCGACCAUAACUCUCUGUAUUUAUCGAAUUAGAGAGCCUACUAUGUGUCAAAUGAUAGGUCUUCAAGUUAUAUUUCCAACGAUACCAAUUUUGAUAAAAUCCGGCACCCGAGCAAGAAGUUAUGGCCUUUCAAAGUAGUAGGCAGCGCCUAUGUAAAAACAGGCGAUAGCAUAGGCGGCGCCUAUGUAAACAUAGGAGAUAGCAUAGGCGGCGCCUUUGUAAAAUAGGUGAUAGCAUAGGCAGCGCCUAUGUAAAGGUUUCAAGUGACUUAAACACUCCGUUUUGGGGGUAAAAUGGUCCUUUUCCACCCUUACCUAGCCCUAAACACGAAAUUCUAUUUCCAAAGACCCCAAAAUACACCUUCAUUCAUCAAAAUUGUUCAAGAACUCUCUCUAGGGUUUCAAAAUAAAAACCCAAGUAGUUCAAGAUUCAACCAUGGGUUUUCAAAACAAAUUGAAAAUUUGGAAUCUCCACAACAUAGGCUUCAAGAAGCACCUGUCAUAUUCGCAUAUAGAGGUACAUGGGGUUAUCCAAAAAUCUCAUGGGUGUAGUUUUAUGAACAUGCAUGCUUUUAAAUGGGGGUUUUCAAAAAUACUAAUAACUUGCUCUUAUUAUGAUUUCUAAGUCGUUUUUUUAAGGUCAUGGGAAUUGUUUGCCUAUAUACUUCAAUGGUUGAAACUAUGCAUAUGUGAUUUGAGAUUUUCCAUGGAAGUUUGAUAAAUAUAAAUGAUAAAAAUGAUAAAUUGCUUUCAAAUUCCCAUGAUAAUGUUUUGAUACCUCAUAUAUAUUGCGAUCAACAAAAGAGAGCAUGAAUUUGAAAUAAUUAUUGUCCACUACUUGUAAAUGAUGAAAACAUCUUGAUUCUUACAUGAUUAUGCAUAUGUUGAUGUGAUAUUAAUGACUUGCAAGUCGGGUAUGACGAGAUAUAUGAUUGACUCAGAUCAAAUUUGAAUGCAUUGAUUUUACAUAAGAUAGGUGGAUUCUCGAAGAAGGCGUUUGAGUGUAAGGGCUCAUCGCUGGAAACCGUGUUUGCUGACAUGGGAAUUUGGUACCCUGCUUUGUGAUCUUGCGUACCUGACUUUAUGUCAUUCCUAAAUUGGGACUAUGGUUAGGAACCCUACUUUGUGAUAUUGUGCACUACCAUUGGGUCGAGCCACCCUGCUGUGUGAUCUUGUGUGUCUUUCCCUCACAUAUACUCUAAUCUCGGCGGUAACCAAGGUUUGACGGUGUAAAUGUGAUAUGUAGGGUAUUCCAUCUAGCUCAGCUGCAUUACAUUGUUGUUGAAAAAAAUUACAUUAUGCCCAUGUGUUUUCAAAUAACUUGAUAUGAAACUGCUUUAUAAUGGCUCUCAACUAUAUUUUGUAGAAAUAUUAUGUUUUGUUUUGAUAUCUCUGCGUACCAGUACUUUUGUAUUGACCCCCUUCCUCCCAGGUUUGGAGGCGCAGUCUAGGGGUCCAGAAAAUUAGUAGAUUCCUGGAACAGAUUUGCAGUCACUUGGUGAGCCUUCUAUAUUUCGGAAGGCCUGAUUAUCUGGCAGUGUCAUUUAUCACUUAUUAGUUUGGGGUCUACUGGGGCCCUUGCCCCACUUUUCAGAUUGACAUUUAUUUCAGUCAUGUAGUAGAGAUUUUGCAGAUGUUAUAGAGGUGUUGAUUUGAGAUUUUGGGACAUUAUUCCCUAUUAUUGCUUUCAUAUGACUCUUGACCAUGUUUUCCAUAAUGUUAUUGUCUUUCGAAUCUCUUUUUCAUUUGAAUUAUGUGCAUGAUUACAGACAGAUAGGGGUGUUUUGGGCCUUCAUAGUUCGGGAUACUCGUCACAGCCAGGCCCCCAGUUCGGGUCGUGACAUGCUGAAGAUCAAAUGAAAUCAACUAGAGAAAGGAAGUCACCAGCAUGGAUGAAUGAUUUUUUCUCUAAUAUUACAAAGAAGGUACAUCAUGCUCUUGUUAAUCAUGUAUCAUAUCAUAAACUAUCUAAGUCCAAUAAGAGUUGUGUAGUGAAAACCUUAUCUGUUAUUGAGCCUACAAGCUACUCUGAGGCCUGCAGAGAUCCUAGACGGAUAGAUGCAAUGAAAACUGAAAUAGAGGCCUUAAAUUCCAACCACACUUGGGAGGUUGUUCCCUUGCCUCAAGGUAAAAAAGCCAUUAGUUGCAGGUGGAUAUAUAAGGUGAAGUAUAAGGCUUCAGGUGAAGUGGAAAGAUUUAAAGCUAGACUUGUAGCAAAGGGUUAUGGACAAAGAGAAGGGAUUGACUAUAAAGAAACCUUCUCACCAGUUGUGAAGAUAAAAAUAGUACGAACUAUUCUUGCUACUUCUGCAUAGAAGAAUUGGUUUGUUCAUCAGAUGGAUGUCUACAAUGCAUUUCUAAAUGGUGACCUCACUGAUGAAGUAUACAUGGAGUUGCCUUAGGGAUUUGCCAGUCAGGGGAGAAUUCAGUAUGCAGACUGAACAAAUCCCUAUAUGGCUUAAAUCAAGCACCUAGACAAUGGAACACAAAGCUAUCAGAAGUCUUACUAAGGUCUCAGUUUGUUCAAAGUCAAUAUGAUCCAUAUCUGUAUAUAAGAAGGACACAAGAAGGAAUCACUUUGGUACUUGUGUAUGUUGAUGAUAUGCUAAUCACUGGUGAUCUCUUGAAACUGAUAGAAGAUUCAAAAGUUAUGCUACAACGAAGCUUCAAAAUGAAGGAUCUAGGUGAGUUAAGGUUCUUCCUUGGUAUAGAAUUUGCAAAGUCAAGCAAAGGGAUACUAAUGCACUAGAGGAAGUACACUCUAGAGUUACUAUCAGAGUUGGGAUUGGCAGCAGCUAAACCAGUGGUUACUCCUAUGGACUACAAUGCCAAACUGACCUCAAAACAAUUUGAUGAUCAUGUCAAACAGCUACAACCUACUGAUGAUCAAGGUGUAUAUCAAAGACUGAUUGGCAAGUUACUAUACUUAACCAUGACUAGACCUGAUAUUGAAUUUAGUGUACAGACACUAAGUCAGUUUCUACGAGAGCCAAAGAAGUCUCACAUGGAUGCUGCAGAGUUGUGAGAUAUGUUAAAAGUCAACCUGUUCAGGGUGUGUUACUAUCUAGUGAACCAAGUGAUCAGGUGAGUGCCUACUAUAAUGCAGAUUGGGCAUCAUAUCCUCAAACCCGGAGAUCAGUGACUAGUUACUUUGUAAAAAUUGGGAAGUCAGUUAUAUGCUGGAAGUCAAAGAAACAAGCAAUUAUUUCCAGAAGUUCAACUGAGGAUGAAUUCAAAAGCUUAGCAGCUGUAAUAGCUGAGUUGAUUUGGAUACUAGGCUUGCUAAAGGAAAUUGGAAUGGAAGUAAAGCUGCCAGUCAAGGUGUUUAGUGAUAGCAAACCAGCUAUUCAAAUAGCUUCCAAUCCAGUUUACCAUGAGAGAACUAAACACAUUGACAUUGAUUGCUUCUUCAUAAGAGAAAAGAUAAGCCAAGGGAUGAUCACUACAAACUAUAUUUCUACACAAGAUCAACCUGCAGAUAUGCUGAACAAAGGUCUCAACAAGGCUCAACAAGUGCAUCUAAAUCACAAGCUAGGAAUGUGUGACAUUUUAAUGUGUGACAUUUUUUCACCUUCCUAGCUUGAGGGGGAGUGUUGAAUACAAAAGAAAGAGGUCUCAAGUGUGGAAGAUUCUAGAAGAAGAAAUAAUAGACUAGUUGUUUUUCUGUUAUAACUGUUUUCAGUUAGUUACACUAGUGCUAACGGCUAGUUAGUUAUUUAGUUAGUUAGCCUAAUCUCUAGCCUAUAAAUGUAUAUGACUAUACACAUUGAAGUACAAUGAAUAUAGGUUGUUACUUUUCUCUCUCAUCUUCUUCCUCUCUCAGUUCUCUACAAACACUAUCAAACACUGUACUUCCUUCAUUGAUGAAUUAACAAUAAGCUUACUGCUAUUUUGUAUAAUUACAUGACUAUUGUAAGCAACCUCACUAUCUCUAUCUCUUUCUCAUCUGAUACUGAAUGACAUGGUGAAGGUUUGGCUGGACUAUCAUACACUCGUAUGUAUCAUUCUUGUGGUAGAUUUUUAGCAUCUUGAUUUGUGUGUAUCAUUUCUAGGUGAAAGGUUAUAUAAAUGAAAUGGCCAUCUGCCUGGAAGAUGAAGAUGAAAGAAUUUCAAAUUUUGCCAAACUUUUCUUUCAUGAGUUGUUAAAGAAAGGUAGCAUAUCUACCAAACUUUUCUUUCAGCAGUUGGUAAUAAAGAAGUCAAUCUAUCUUAUCUCUUUCUAGUCUUUCUCUUGUUGAGCUUCUUUCGUCUGUUGUUGCAUGUUUUUGACUGUACACACACAUCAAAUAAUACUGUUUUUUUCUCUUUGAACUUAAUGUUUACAGGGAGCAAUCCAAUUUAUAACCUACUUCCAGAUAUUCUUGGCAAGUUAUCUAGCCAGAACUCGAAGGAAGAAUCAUUCUGAACNNNNNNNNNNNNNNNNNNNNNNNNNNNNNNNNNNNNNNNNNNNNNNNNNNNNNNNNNNNNNNNNNNNNNNNNNNNNNNNNNNNNNNNNNNNNNNNNNNNNNNNNNNNNNNNNNNNNNNNNNNNNNNNNNNNNNNNNNNNNNNNNNNNNNNNNNNNNNNNNNNNNNNNNNNNNNNNNNNNNNNNNNNNNNNNNNNNNNNNNNNNNNNNNNNNNNNNNNNNNNNNNNNNNNNNNNNNNNNNNNNNNNNNNNNNNNNNNNNNNNNNNNNNNNNNNNNNNNNNNNNNNNNNNNNNNNNNNNNNNNNNNNNUUGACAUUGAGGUUUACCACAACUUUCUGUGAGGUUUCACGGUUUUGUGGAUAAAUCACGAUACUAGGUUGCUCCACUUGCUAUUGCUAGCCAAGUCAUGCAGUUUACUGUCAGAUUUUAUAGUUCUUUCUCUAGUUAAUCCUAUGUGAUCUACAUUACAAAGAUGUGGUGGUUGUCAUCUUUGAGCUGGAUAUACUUAUUUGAGAUUGUUUUAGAAGUUGCCAGUCUUUCAGUACUAUUUGGUACCACAGCUUUGUGGAUGCUUCAUCUGAUAUUUGCUUUCAUCCUCAGCUUUCUAUGCUAUUAUGGAAAGCUUGUUUACAGUAUUUCUAGGAGUACCUUUGCAAAAAUUUAAAAGAAAAAUUAAAAUUAGGAGACCUUUGAAUGAAUAGAUUUUAGUGAGUNNNNNNNNNNNNNNNNNNNNNNNNNNNNNNNNNNNNNNNNNNNNNNNNNNNNNNNNNNNNNNNNNNNNNNNNNNNNNNNNNNNNNNNNNNNNNNNNNNNNNNNNNNNNNNNNNNNNNNNNNNNNNNNNNNNNNNNNNNNNNNNNNNNNNNNNNNNNNNNNNNNNNNNNNNNNNNNNNNNNNNNNNNNNNNNNNNNNNNNNNNNNNNNNNNNNNNNNNNNNNNNNNNNNNNNNNNNNNNNNNNNNNNNNNNNNNNNNNNNNNNNNNNNNNNNNNNNNNNNNNNNNNNNNNNNNNNNNNNNNNNNNNNNNNNNNNNNNNNNNNNNNNNNNNNNNNNNNNNNNNNNNNNNNNNNNNNNNNNNNNNNNNNNNNNNNNNNNNNNNNNNNNNNNNNNNNNNNNNNNNNNNNNNNNNNNNNNNNNNNNNNNNNNNNNNNNNNNNNNNNNNNNNNNNNNNNNNNNNNNNNNNNNNNNNNNNNNNNNNNNNNNNNNNNNNNNNNNNNNNNNNNNNNNNNNNNNNNNNNNNNNNNNNNNNNNNNNNNNNNNNNNNNNNNNNNNNNNNNNNNNNNNNNNNNNNNNNNNNNNNNNNNNNNNNNNNNNNNNNNNNNNNNNNNNNNNNNNNNNNNNNNNNNNNNNNNNNNNNNNNNNNNNNNNNNNNNNNNNNNNNNNNNNNNNNNNNNNNNNNNNNNNNNNNNNNNNNNNNNNNNNNNNNNNNNNNNNNNNNNNNNNNNNNNNNNNNNNNNNNNNNNNNNNNNNNNNNNNNNNNNNNNNNNNNNNNNNNNNNNNNNNNNNNNNNNNNNNNNNAGCUGUUACAAGACAUCAUGUCGUAGUACCUUAUAUCGAUAGUUGAUCCUUCACUACUAUUUUUUUUAAAAAUCCAUAUGAUAGGGGUUUUCAGAAUUUGGUACACUUAAGAUGUAGAUACUGAUAAGAAGGCUCUCAAGUCAUUUGGCGAGAGAGCUGGAAAUAUAUAAAGAGGCUAGAGGCAAAAUGGAUUGAGAAAACUUUCAAAGUCAAUGUGCAAACAUGGUGCAGAUUGUUGUAUCUGCUGCAUUUCUGAUAAUCUAUGAUGGGAAGGGGCGGGCAACAAUGCAUUAUUUGGUUCUCUUGAAUGUUCUAUAACUUCAUUUCUUGAUCAUGUAACAGAUUCUGAAGUCACUGAUCCAUCAACGGAAGCGGAAACAGAAUGUUCCCCUUCAGAACAAGCAUGUGCUGAGUCGGAAUCAAAUUCUCAUGC
rnacentral:lncRNA from 1 species